rnacentral:lncRNA from 1 species
GACUUGCUCCCCAAGUUAAAAUCUCUUCGUAUCUCUCACUGUCCAGAUCUCGAAUCACUAUGUGCACAUGAAAGACCUCUCAUUGAUCUCAACUCUCUCCAUUCUUUGAUAAUCUGCGGGUGCCUUAAAUUAGUUUCAUUUCCCAAAGGAGGGUUACCUGCUCCAGUCUUGACACAACUUUACUUAUAUGAUUGCAAAAACUUGAAGCAGUUGCCUGAGAGUAUGCCUUCCCUCCUCCCAUCCCUUAACCGUUUGGUAAUACAUGGUUGUUCAGAAGUUGAGUUGUGUCCAGAAGGGGGUUUUCCCUCCACAUUACAAUCACUUGAUAUCUGGAAUUGCAACAAACUCAUUGCUGGCCGCAUGCAAUGGGGCUUGCAAACGCUCCCUUCUCUUUCACACUUUACAAUUGGUGAAGACGAAAAUGUUGAAUCCUUCCCUGAAGAGAUGCUUCUGCCCUCAAGUCUUACAUCUCUUAAAAUCUAUAACCUAAAACACCUGAAAUCUCUUGACUAUAAGGGGCUUCAACACCUCACCUCUCUUAGAGAAUUGACUAUAAGUAACUGCCCUCUGAUUGAGUCAAUGCCAGAAGAAGGGUUGCCCUCCUCCCUUUCUUCUCUUGUAAUUAACGGUUGUCCUAUGCUGGGUGAAAGUUGUGAAAGGGAGAAAGGUAAAGAUUGGCCCUAGAUUUCUCACAUUCCUCAUAUUGAGGUACUUGCCUAAAUAGUUUAUUCUGUUUUCAGUAAUCAAAGGCAAUUUCAGUAAUACAAAUUUGGAUGAAUGAAAUACAGAUAUUGUCCUAGAAAGUUGUAUGUUUUUAUUUGUUGUAUGUUGAAAUACAGAUAUUUUCUUCCUCUUGUAAAUAAUAAUAAUCAUCAUUCUAUUUCAAUAUAUUUUUUGCUAUAAUUAAUGAUACUAUUGUUCCUCCAUCAAAUGCCGGCAAAUAAACAUCACAUGCUUCAGAUUUUGAACUGCCAGCGCCACCCUUAAAAGACAACGGGCCUAGCAGAGCUGAAAAGGACUAAAAAAUAUUUAAGUAAUCUGCAACAGAUUUUUCAUUGUUGAAAAAUUUAAGUUAAUCAAAAUUCUCUCCUUUUCUCUUUCUCUAAUCUAUUCCCCUUCUCCAAAAAUUCAAAAUUUAAGUAAUCAAAAUCAAAAUUCAAGUAAUCAAAAGGAUUGAAAUAAGUAAUUCAGGCAAAUUCAAAAUUUAAGUAAUCAAAAGGAUUAAAAUCUCCAUUCUCUCCUUUUCUCUUUCUCUAAUCUAUUCCCCUUCUCCAAAAAUUCAAAAUCCAAAAACUUUUGAUUUAUCUAUUUUGGAAUAGAUAUAAAAAGAAGAGAUAAUAUAAAAUUCAUCCAGAGAAAGUGGCCAAUGUCACUCAAGAGAAAGGAUUAAAGCACAGACAGUCAUCAGCUUGAGAACUCACAGCAAAGAGUUCAUUGUUUUGCAGUAGAUACGUAGCUAUAUUAACUACACUACUUCCAGCAUGCACAAAUGCGACUUCUUGAUGGUUACGCUGCUAAAGACAUUUACAAAUCCCCAUCAAUACUGGUGUUUAUUCCUCGUGAUGAUCCAGUGAGCUGACAAUAAAAGAAAACCUUGGCAUUACUAGUAAAUCGUCACUGCAAGCAUAAUGCAAGCAUGGAAGAGAUUCAGGUAGGAAUUACCCUUGUCUUCAUUGAGAGGCUUUAACCUCCCUAGCUCCUUCAUCAGCAGGCCCAUUGUUUGAUGCAUCCUCUGAAGCGUCUAAGCAAGGAUUGCUUUUACACUGCCUGACAGGCUGAGCAUUGGUCAAGAGACUAGAAAGUUGAGACCCCCUUUGCGAAAAGUUUGGUUUACCUUUCGGAGUCUCAGACAGGCUUCCCGUUGACAGCUUUGCUAGGCCCAUUGUCUUGUGCUCACACGGGAGCUUAGUUGAAAAAGGUGAUUCAGGUGUAUCAGGAUGCUUCCCAGGAAUAUCCAUCGGUCUAUGAAACAGCAAAUGAGCCACAGUCCGGUCUACGGGAUUGGUCUGUGUUUCCACCUCAGGCAUCUUAACCACCCUGCAGUAUACUCAUAAAAUCCAUGAGGAAAAUGACAGGAAAGUUUGAGAUUGCCAUACUCUAAACAAAUUGAUAAAGACUUGAUUAAUAAUUUUGUGCAAACAAAUUGAAUAAUUUGAAAUGGGAAGGACGAGAUGUAAAGGAACAAACCCAUUGGAACAAGAAACAAUCACAUUGUCGCUUACAACAAAAAAUCGAGUUUCAGAUCAAAAGAGCUUAUGGUUUUGGCUGGAAGUAUCCCAUUUAGACAUAGAUGAGCCGAUUAGAAGAUGAUUUGAGUUCUUAAAUUUUCUUGCUUAAAAUGUAAUGUAACAUGAAUCUGCAGAUGAUCAUUAAAUUUGAAGGGAAAUUUAAUAUUUUUGCCCUGUUUAUCUAAAGUUGUGCAAGUUCUCUGCAUUGAUGAUUUCAGUGAAUUUGUACAGAUCUUGUUUUCCUUCUAUUCGUCCUUGAAUAAACUUAUUGCACUUGUUUAACAUUCUUUGUCUCUCUCUCUUAGUUAAAUCUAGUAAAAUUUAUCAUGUAUGUUGUGCCACUCAUUUAGACUUGGAUGUGUGUGUUUAGCUCUCCUUUUCGGAUUAAGGUGAUUAUGCACAAAUUCACUGGAAUCAACAUUGCAGAAAACUUGCAUAGAUUUUGUUAAUAUUGGAAAAAUUAAAUUUAUUUCUAGAAUGAGAAUGGAAAACAGAAAAUGGUGAUGGCAUUAAAAGAUCCUAAUUUAACAUUUCCAUUGAGCAAAAAUGUUAAAAAAAAAGAGAGAGGAUAGAUUAAAUUUGAAAACAGAAGCAUGAGAAAUGCAUUGCCUUAACCAACCUUCUUUGACUGCUGGUUUUCUCUUUUGCAGCAACUUGUUCGUCCCUGCUACUAUUGUUUGUACUGCCAGUAUCACUAGCAUAAUGCCUUUGCAUUGCACUUUGAGCCAGCCGGAACAAGCUAUCCCGAAUACAAAGUCUAAUUCUGACAUCCAACUGUUGUAAAACAUUGGUUUGGAAUCGUAACCAAGCACAAAUUAUUUAGCAGGGAAUGCAAUAGUACGUGAAGCAUACCUUUGAAAUAAUAUCUUGAAGCCUGUAGAGUACUGUGUCCUCCAUUGAAUAAUCAUUAACCGCCAGAGAGACUGUAUUGGAAUCGUCUUGCUCAAUAGGCGAGUUUGGGUCAAAUGAAGCAAGUGUACUUAGAUCCUCUACUUCAAGGUCAGCUCCUUCAACAUGCUGAAUUUGAUUUUCUUGGGAACACUUUUGAUGAACAAGCUGCUGCUGCUGUUUCUGAAUGGCAAGCAUCGCCUGAAUUUGUUGCCGCCUCCUUAAUUUUUCAAUCUUUUCCUGAGGUGUCAUUCUCUGGGGUUUCACUGGACAGUCAGCUAACUUGUUUAUAGGAUUUGCAUUGCCUGAAGAAACUUCAUAACCAGAAAUUUUAGGUCGAUGAUUAAAUGACUAGAAAUUUUGUUGGAAAGUCAGAAAACUUUAACAGGAUUCACAUUACCUGAAGAAACUUCAUAACCAGAAGCUAAAGGUUGAUGCUUAAAAUCCCCAGACUGAAUGUGGGACAACCCAGGCAUAGAAUAUGGAUUUGUAAUACUCCCGUAUGCAGAAGGGGCCACAAAUGGAAUGGAAAUCUGCUGGUACUGCAACUGCUCGGAACCCUGUAGCUGCUUCUGUUGGCUGAGAAUUGAAGGGGGAGAAGAUUGCAUAAUUUGGGGUGCUAAAUGAUCCUUAAGUUGACAGGCUGGGAUUCCAGAUGAAGUCCAGUUUCCAUAAAAAUCUUGGUAUGAUUUCAGUUCACCUUUUUCUUCCAGUUUUUCCCGACCUUUCAAGAUCUUCUUUUGCCUGUAAGUCUGAUCACAGAACUAUAAACAUAUAAAUAGACAAAUUACUUAGAAUAGAUCAUCGUUUUAACCAUCUAGACCUGCAGGGGAGUGACUAAGGCACAGUUAGUAUUUUAAUUCAGUACAUGGUUUGUAAGGAUAAAUUCAAUGUUAUUUUUUUUUUUUUAACUGUAACUUAUGAUCCAAAGGGCUUCUAUUGUUCAGAAUAUAUUGAGGUAUUAGCUAAUCUAUGCCAAGCAAACAGAAUUUGCAUGUCCAGGAUAACUUAACUGAUGUCUCCUGAAUUUUCACAUGUUAUUCCUUUCUCCUUCCUACAAUGGAUUUACUUCAGGCAAUCGAUAUCAUGGUUAAGUAAUGGAUUUGACAUCCAGGAUAACUUAAUUGAUGCAUUAUUGAAGUCAUGACUAAAUCAUGUAAAUCCAUAUUCACCCAACAUCCAAGUUUAUUCUCAUUCCAAAAAAUAAAACUAAAAAUAAUAGCAAGAAAUAUGAAGAGACGAAGAGGAAUUUAAAUAAUAUAAUUUCUCUUUUCUGUCGCCAUUUUCCAUUCCAGAGAAGUACUCAGGAAGUUUUCACAAGUUCAAGUGUAAGGUAACUUUUACCCUUCCCAGCUCUAAUUAGGUUUCGCUGUCCCUCCAGUCUAAUUUAAGAUCUAACAUGUGGAAACCACACUGUAUUAGUGAAAGGAUUAUAAUAUCAAGAUUUUCCAAUUUCAAUUCACUGAUAUAACUUUUCUUGAAUCCUGGACAAAAGAACUUAGAACAUCAAAAGAUCAUAGCAGGAUUCUAAGAAACAAAGAUUGUAUUUGGUGCUUAUUGAGUCUAAAAGUUAUCCUGGAUGAAAAGGGUAAAAAUCAGUAACAUGUCUGGUUCAGUAUCAAGAUUUUGAAAAUAUCAAAAGGAAGAAAAAAAAAAGGUAACUUAUUCGCUAAUUCAUUUGGAAAAGCACCAUUUUCCUCUGUCAGUUGAGAGUUAGCCGCCGUGUUCUUUCCCACAACAGCCAAAUCUGUCUGCAAAAGCACAAAAAAAAAUUUAAAAAAAAAUGCUAAGCUUCUCUCAGCUCCAGCACUUGAGCAUGGGGCAUUAAUAAGUGAACUCAUUACUGAAAAUUGAGUCGCUAUACCUGCUCCUUCAGUAUAGGCUUGUUUUUACCUUCAUCAUAUUGCACCGCAUCAACUGACCCACAAAUAAAUUUGCAUUUUUCCAUCAGUUCCAAGCUACUUUGUAAGGAAAAGGGAGGGAAGUGCCUUCAAAGAUACCUUCUUCAUAGCUUCUUUAGAUAUGAAUCCACACGACUUUCGUAAUCACCAAUCACUAUGCGCAGCUUCUCUUAUCAUCACAAGUUCCCAAGAAAAAUUAUAUUCUUCCCUCCUCCAGCCCUUUCCCUACAUAUUUCCACCAGCUUCAUAGCAAUGCGGCCCGUGAAAACGACUCCCAAAUUAAAACACUUGAGAAGCUCUAAUAGUUUUCCACAAAGACCUACUUUUCUUAUUAUUUCUUCCUCGUCACAACCACUCACUUUCCCCUAAAUCCCAUACCACAACCACUCCUUAAUCUUCAACUAAAUCGAUAUCUCUUAUCACUUAUGAAAACUCCAUCUAAUUUCCAAAUGAAUCACACCAUUUGAACACUUUGCCAAUUCCUAAUUCCUUCAAAAUUUUCAUCCAUUAAAAAAAAAACUGCAAGUCAUACUUUUUCACUUUAACACAGUUGUCCUUAUAAUCAAUCUUCCAAUAUAACCAUACUCUUGCCUCUAAAUCUGGCACGCAAAGCUUCUACAUAACCUUCCAACGUUACUUCUUGCCUCCCAAACUCCUCAAAGUUCUGGUGCCAAUAUAAUGCUAUUCCAUCAAGGGAGUUUUUCAGAAUCUCCAAUCUUUUCAAGAUCAAAAUGUUGAUUGCAUCUAUACAACCACUUACGGGCAUCUUCCCCAUCAAAGCUGGGAAAGUCACAUAUGGGUUUGUGCAUCCUAAACUGAGAGUGCUCACCUUCACUAGGUAGUCAAGUUAUUGCAACUAAAGAGUUGUUUGUUUGUCUCGGGUAGUAUUAGCCUCCCCUGUGGAAAGUUGUAGUGUUUGAAGAAGGGAUGUUUGUUGAUAAGCUAUUCCACUAAUGAGACCCUUGAGUUCAUUAAACUUAGCUUCAUGGUUGCUUUUUGCGGUCACCAGUUUGUGAUUGUAACUCCAACAUUUUCAUCAUUUGUUCAUAAUCUUAUGCUUGAUCCUUGCUGACAGCUUCAAGGGAGCUCUCCAGCUUUUUGAUGUCUUGAGAUCUAGUGUCAGGAGCCAUAUUCCAAAGCUACAAUGGAGUCUACUAAUCAGAGGAAUCAAUAAACUCGCAGUUGAUGAAUAACAGAAGAAGAGAGAGAAGGACAUAAAUUGGUUAAGCCGAUAUUUUUCAUUCUUCUAUUUUCACGCUGGCAUUCUGUUACCAAUACUAACUGAAAGAGCGGCUAAUAACAACUUCCAUUUAUACCUUCGCAAUGUUUGUUUACCGGAAAUUCAUUCCAAAUUUUUUUAUGUUUGUUUAUUAUUAAAAAAAGUUAAUCAACAAAAAAAUUCUGGUUGUUUAUCGUUAGAAAAUUUCAACAACUUCCAAUUAUCAAGCAAUAGCCAACACGUGCCAGGAGUCUCAGCUAAAUAAUUGAAACACCAAUCUGGCCUUUUGGUGUUGCACGGUGCUGCUGCUUCUUGGCUCUUGAUUUCAUAGAAAUGCUGCUCCCUCAUCCCUGGUGUUACACAGGCAGCUGCUGGCUCCUCUUGUAUCUUUUGGGUUUUGGCUUAGUUUGGUUCCCGCCGUUGUUUGUUCUCCGGUCGUCGAAGCUUGCUGCAAUCAUCCGACUCUGUUCUCAUAGUCAGAUGCUUCCUCGGUUUUCUCCUGGCAUUAAAAUUACAGCUGACCCUCAAAUCUUAUUGCCUCUGGUCAUUUUCUUGAAUGGUGCUUGGUGUUGUCUUCUAGUGUUUGCAGUAUCGUAAUUUGCUGGAGUUUUUGUAGUAUUUGAAUUGUGGGUGAUUGAGCUGCAGAAUUAGAGGGAAUUGAAUCCGUGCUAUGGGUUAUCAUGUGAUAUCAUCAUUCAUCAACAAUUAAUUGAAUGGGUUUCUACAUUAAAUAUUUUUAGUUUCUUAAUCAAUAAUUUGAAGUUUUUAAUUGGACGUGAAAUUAUUCUUAGAGAAUAAUAUAAUUAAACUAAAUCUUGGUUAAUUGAUUGCUAGCAAAGGUGUAAAUUUACAUGGCUUGAAAAUGAAGCUUAUCUUCUACUUAAUUUUAUCAAAUAAUAUAAUUUUGAAAUAAAUUAUUUAUAGAGUAGUUUUGAGUGAUAUAAAUCAAAUAGGAAUUAAAUCAUGUUAAAACAUUUAAUUUUGUUGUCCCUUCAUAUAUUACUAACAGCAACAUUACGUAUCCUAACGCUUUAUAAAUUCCAAACCACUCAUUUGAAACUAACGCUUUGUAUUAUUUUUAUAAAAUAAAAUAAAUCCUAACACUGAUGUGGACUAAAAUGUUUUUCAUAUAAAAUAUGAGGAUAAAAAAACUUUCAUGAACAUUUAUGAAAACCUAUUUUUAUCUAAGUGGGCUAGGAAUCCGUAUGCAUGUAUGAAAAUGAGUUCGGGCUUAGGGUGAUAGAUAUGGGUCAGUAAAAUGAAUUAUAUUUUAAUAAAUUUUAUCUAUAUAUAUUUUCUAAUCCAAGUAAAAUGAAUUAUAUUAUUUGUUUAAAAUAAAGUUAAUCUCAAAUAAAAAUUUUACUUUCUAAAAUAAAAUAUGAAUUAUAUUAUUUUAAAAAUUUGCUUGAGUUACUUUAGGUUUUAUGGCAGCCCAAUAACGAUACUCUUAACAGAAUACUGAGUUAUUGGGCCUAAAAGGCUAAAAGGUCCUGCGUCAGGAUUUAAUUUUCAUGGGUCCUUUGUUAAGAUUUAGGACUAUUGGAUCUUGGGUUUCUAAAUAUAAUAAUUUCUCUAAAAGUAUUAAUAUUAAAUAUAUUAUAAUUUGUGUUCUAAAUAUUAUUAGUUCAAUUGUAAUAAAAAAGAUAAUAUUUAUACUCCAAAUAAUAAUAUUGUUGAUAUUAGAACUUUGAAUUAUAAUAAAAAUCAUAAUAUUCAAAACAUAAAUAAUACUAUUUUUCAUAUUAAUACUUUCAAUUAUAACAAUAAAAAAAAUAUUUAUACCGCAAAUAAUAAUAAUAUUUAAACCGCAAAUAAUAUUGUUUUUAGUAUUAAUACUUUCAAUGAUAAUAAAAAUAAUAAUCUUUGUACUACAAAUAAUAAUAUUUUUGAUAUUAAUGCUUUGAACUACGGUAAAAAUAAAUAUUAAUAUUUUCAAUUAUAAUUAAAAUAAAAAUAUUUGUACUGCAAAUAAUAAUAUUUAUACCACAAAUAAUAAUAUUUUUCAUAUUAAAGAUUUAAACUAUAAUAGAAAUAUUAAUAUUUAUAACACAAAUAAUACUAUUUUUAAUAUUAAUAUCUUCAAUUAUGAUAAAAAUAAUAAUAUUUAAGGCGAGGCUAUUGCCCUCGCACUGGGUCAGGCCCGAGAACCACGUGGUGUUGGUGUUGGUGAUGGCUUGCCCUUGUCCUGGGUGGGAGCCAGGCCCGCGCCCCCAUGUGGGACACAUGGCGCGUGGACUAGCUGCCCUUGUGCUAGGUCAGGCUAGCGCGCCACGUGGCGCUGCGGCCGGCUUGCCCUUCUCACAGGGCUAAUGGGUCCUACAUUUGGACCUAAUUUUCUUAAUUCUUUGUCAAGACCUGAGGCUAUUGGGUUUUAGGUUUCUAAAUAUAAUUAUUUUCCUUAUAAAUAUUAUUAUUUUUAUUAUAGUUGAAAGUAUUAAUAUCAAACAUAUUAUAAUUUGUGUUCUAAAUAUUAUUUGUUCAAUUCUAAUAAAAAUGAUAAUAUUUAUACCCAAAAUAAUAAUAUUGUUGAUAUUAAUACUAUGAAGUAUAAUAUAAAUCAUAAUAUUCAGAACACAAAUAAUACUAUUUUUAAUAUUAAUACUUUCAAUUAUAACAAUAAAAAAAGAUUUAUACAGCAAAUAAUAAUAAUAUUUAAACCGCAAAUAAUAUUGUUUUUAGUAUUAAUACUUUCAAUGAUAAUAAAAAUAAUAAUAUUUAUAGCACAAAUAAUAAUAUUUUUUAUAUUAAUACUUUGAACUACAAUAAAAAUAAAUAUCAAUACUUUUGAUUAUAAUAAAAAUAAAAAUAUCUAUACUGCACAUAAUAAUAUUUUUACUACAAAAUAAUAAUAUUUUUUAUAUUCAUGCUUUAAAAUAUAGUAGAAAUAUUAAAAUUUAUAACACAAAUAAUAGUAUUUUAAUAUUAACAAAUAAUAAUAUUUAUGGUGCUUGGGUUUACCCUUGCACUGGGUCAGACCCUGAACUGAGAGACUUCAACCACCAAUCAAAUUAGAAUAGUAGAAAUAUUCAUGCUUUGAAAUAUAGUAGAAAUGUUAGAAUUUCUGUGCCGUUGCAUUUCAUGCCAGCUAUGUUGUUGACACUGGACUGAGAGACUUCAACCACCAAUCAAAUUAUUCUUAUUGACUUUUUGUGCGGUUUUGCCGUCAAAGUUCAGAAACCUUGGCUAUUAGAAUAGUCAAAGUGUUUAUUUUUGUAUUUUAAACGUGUCGAGACCUGGCGUGUGAGCUGUUCUACUUGUGCGCCCGUGUCAGCACCCAAUGACAAUGGAUCGGGUGUAAGGAUUGAAUGGCAAUGGGUCUGCUUGUAGAUCCAAUUCGCUUUAAUCCUUGCCGGAUCUAAAUAAUUUAUGUUUUAAAUAUUUUUUAUUUUUUAUUUUUAAUAUAAUAAUAUAUGUUAUAAAUAUUAUUAUUUUUUUAUAAUUUAAAAUAUUAAUAUAAAAAUGUUAUUAUUUAUGUUAUAAAUAAUAUUAUUUUUAUUAUAACUCAAAUUAUUAAUAUAAAAAAUAUUAUUAUUUCUGUUAUAAUCAUCCUCAGAAUUUUUAAUAUAAUUAGAUAUGUUAUACAUAUUAUUAUUUUGAUUAUAAUUAAUAAAAAAUUAAUAAAUUAAAAAAAUAUUAAAAAAUAUUAUUUUUUGUAUUAUAAAUUUUUACAAUAUUUUUUAUAAAAAUAAAAAAUAAACCCACCACCACGUAGCAGGCAUCCACCUAGUUGGGUGCAACUGUGCAAUUGCCUUGUAAAAUUGCCUUAUUCAGUAGUAUUUGUAAUUUGGUGUAGAGCUGGUAUCAUUCUUUGAAAUCAUAGUUAUUACGUCAUUGAGUUAACUCGUGUGUUAAUUAUAGGAUCAAUCAUUUUACUUCAUUUUUUUCUUUAAAAAGAACAAAAUUUUCACAAACAGAUAAUCCUAUUGCAUCUUAAACUUCAAGUUUCCAGCAACUAAACAAUAUCUACAUUCAAUUAGAACUUGUGGUACAAUUACCUGACAGCGAAAUAAAAAAGGAGGAGGAGGAACCCCCCUGGAUCUAUUACCGGACAUAAUAAUAAUCAUCAUUCUAUUUCAAUAUCUUUUUUUGCUAUAAUUAAUUUUUAAAGUUGAUUUGAUUAGUAUUGUACUUUUCUCAUUCUAACAUUCAAAUCCUACUAUUGUUCCUCUAUCCUGUUCUGCUGCAAAUAAACAUCACAAGAUCCUUGUCUUCGAUCUAGGAAUUGCUGGUUCUACUAUCUUGUUCUGCUGGAGGAUCAUCACGUGCUUCAGAUUUUGAAUUUAGUAAUAGAAAAUCCAUUGCUAAAAAGGAUUAAAAAAAUAUUAAAUUAUUUAAGUGAUCUGCAACGGAUUUUUCAUUGUUGACGCGGCAACAUCAAAUCUGCAACUGAUUCAAAAAAUAAAUUAAACCCUUAAUUAUAUAAAAUCUCCAUCCUCUCCUUUUCUCUUUUUCUGCAUCUUCAAAAAUUCAAAUUUUUUUCUCCAUCUCUUUCUCUAGUCUAUUCACCGCCUUCAAAAAUUCAAAAUCCAAAAACUUUUUCAUAUUAAGUAUGAAUUUUUUAUAUCAAAAUCUAACUCAAUCAGGUUUCAAGUAUUCAUGAACGACUCCAAACAAUUUUGAUAUCAAGAACAAACCAACAUCAAAUCAGAACAAAUUGUUCAUAACCGAGAAAAGUAAAGCCCAGAACAAAGAAGAAAAUAUAAAAAACCGUUGGUUCCCUGAUGUGCUCCAGUUUCCGGCUUCCAUCAACGGUUUUCUUGUGUUUCACAAAAGAGGUUACUAUCUUGGGUAACGUCCAAAUUCCAUCUAUGGAAUGAUGCAGCCAAAACUUGGCAAAUUCUCGUAAUCGUUGUUCUCUGUAAUCUGUAAAGAAGCUAUCAAUAGCUAUGGCCAUAAACGGUGUAGGAGUUCUAAAUCCUAGCACCCACCCAGCAUUGUUUUGAAGAAGUAUAUCUUCUUUGCCUGUUCUUUACCCUUUUUUAUGUAUGUAAUACGUAUAUACAAGCAUUCAGAUUGCUUUGAUUUUUUUGUUAGGAAAGUAUUAUGUAAACUAGAUUCAUAAUUUCUAAUUUGUAAGAGAAUAUAUGAUCUUAUUUAAAUACAUUAAAAAAUUAAUUUCUUCAUUUCUCUUAAUUUUUAAGAAAAUCUUUCUUCUCUUAUAAUUAUAGUUAUUGUUUUUUUAAAUCUAAAAUCAAUGUCAUGGUUAAAUAGAAUGGUAUGUUGUCCUUAUUUUUAUUAAAUUAAAUUAAAAAAAAAAACUAAAUUUCUUAAAGAAAUUGCUGUUUACCAUGACCAUGAUAAAGUUGUUCUUUAACCAUUAAACCUUUUAAACCUCUAUGAUUUUUUAAUUUACAAAUUGUUUUCAAAUUAAGGAAAUUCUUAAGAAAAUCUAUCAUAUUAUAUAUUUUUUUAAUUUCACCCCUAUAAUUUUUUUAAUCUUUUAAAUUUAAUUUUUAUUAUUUUUAAUUACUAUUUGUUUUUACAGUUUCAUCUUUCUUGGAUUUUUUUUGCCUAUGAAAUUAUAUCCUUAUUUUUUUAUUGUUAUAUUUUUUGUUUUUGCAAGUCAUCCGAGUUUACUUGAUUUUUUUUCUUUUUUAAGCUGAUGUUUUUUUUUUUUUAGUUUUGUUUUGUUAUUUUUACUUUAUAGAGUUAGCUCUAAGUUACCAGAUUUAAAAUUAUUUUUUUAUAGUUUCACCUUUAAUAUUGAAUUAUUUGAUAAUACAGGGGGUACAGUUCUAGGGUUUUUUUAAUUUUUUUAAUUCUCAUUGUUUUAGUUAAUUUAUUGUAGUUGUAUUUUUUAUAUAUAUUUUGAACCAAUUAGUUGUAUCUCAAAUUUUUUAUUAUGUAAUAUUAUUUUUUUAAGUUAAAAAAAUACUUCCUCUCGCAGUGGAGCACGGACAAAUGUUCCAGGGUACAUUUUAUAAGAUAUGAUCCCAGGAUACGAUGUAGAUCUUGUUAAGUAGGUUGUGGAACUUGCAGGUUCAAAUGGUUUGAAGAUUCUGAAGACAUUAUUUAUCCAGAUUUCAAAGAAGAUAACAUAAUGGUUUUGGUGAAUUGUGCUCGAACUCUUUGCAUUUCAGGAUCCUCUACUGGUCGAUACAGGCCUUGACACGUCCUGGAUGACUGGAUGCUGCCGGAUGUGACCUGAACCAUAGCUUGAUGCCACCGACCUUUCUGUGGCUCCUGGCUCCAUGUUCCUUAUUCAAACCAUUCAUAAAGGUAUCUUAAAUAGUGCAGCCUGAGCUUUACCGGUUACGCUUUUUUUUAGGAAGAUUAUUGUUAAAUUAUUAUUUUUUUAAAUAUAUUAAAAUAAUUUUAUAUUUUUUAUAAUUUUUAAUAUUAACACAUUAAAAUUAUCAAAAAUAUUAAAAAAUCAAUAAUUUAAUAUAUUUUCAAAUAAAAUAUAUUUUAAAAAAACAUACAUUACCACUAUUCUCUCAAACAAAUAAUCCUAUUGCAUCUUAAAUUCCAACAAUGAGUACCCCGAUCAAACAAUAUUUACAUUCAAUUAAAACUUAUGGUAUAAAAUUACCUGACAGCGAAAUAAAGAAAAAGGAGGAACCCUGUAUCUAGGAAAUUUCUAUUAGGCCUACAAUCCGAGGCUGUAACUGGAUCUACACUGAAGAAAUUUCGUGGGAAAUGGGUUGGGAGAAAUUUCUGUGCUGAUGCCAGCUAUGUUGUUGACACUGGACAGAGAGACUUCUUCAACCACCAAUCAAAUUUGCUUGUAAUGUGAGGGAGUGUGGGAUACAAUUGGUUGCAGGCAAACACAAGUAAAUUUGUACAGAUCUUGUUUUCUUUCUAUUUGUCCUUGAAUAAACUUAUUGCACUUGUUAUCCCACUUUUUCGACGAUGGGAUCUCUUGGCAAAUAAAGCGAGGACAAACCGAGUAAAAUGUGGGACCUAACUCCAUUUUCCUGGAACACGCAACUCACGCAUACACUAACUCCCGCCCUUUUCCUCGCUGGAUCCUUGAUAUCUUCAAGGGGUGCAAGCGCCUUGUUCGAGGAUUGAGCAUAAAAGACUAAAAGAGUUAAAGAAAUACUAAAAGACAUAAAGUGAAGUUUUUUAUAAUAUUCAUAGCAAUGUUCAUCAGCUAAUUUAUAAUUUAUAAUUUAUAAUUUAUUUAUCUGCUAAUUAUCAAUGAAUGAAAAGUGAUAAAAGAAAAGGAGAAAAGGAGAGAAGAAAUAAAGUGAAGUUUUCUUCCGCAUUAUUAGCACAUCACGUGAAAAGAAAGAUUGGCAUCUACUAAAAGCAAUCCCAAUCAAACCCAUUUUUUCGACGAUGGGAUCUCUUGGCAAAUAAAGCAAAGGACAAACCGAGUCAAAUGGAGUCCACAGCAUAACAAGGGUCGAGAGAGAAAAGGCUUUUGCGAGUUCUGUGUUCUGUAUACUUCUCAAGGGGAAAAAAUAAUGUUUUGUUAGGGAUUUGUUUUUGAUAGAAUUGUUAGAGAUCUUAGCCGAUGCAUCUGGAUUAUAAUUUUUAGCAUUUAUACUAUUUUAUAGCGCUAAUAUCUUAAAAAACUUAUUUUCUAGCUUUUUUUAUGGUAUGAUGAAAUAUUAAAAAAUAUUUUUCAACUCAUUAUCCUUAAUACAAUUAAAUUUCAUAGAAUAGUCUAUUUUUUAGAAAUAUAGUUUACUAUAAGAUUUAUUUGAUAAAAGAAAUUCACUUUGUAACAAUGCACUAGAAACUAAAAAAAAAGAAGCUAAUGAUCAUUUAAAAAUAUAGUAUAUUGGAAUCAUCUUGCUCAAUAGGUGAGUUCGGGAGUUUGGUUGCUUAACAGGUGAGUGAAGGUUAAAUGUACCCAAUUAAAUAAUAUCUAUAUUCAAUUAAAACUUAUGGUAUAAUUACUUGACAGCGAAAUAAAGAAAAGUAGGAACCCUGUAAUAUCUAGGACAUUUCUAUGCUCUUUAAAUUAGGCGUCCAAACUGAGGCUAUAAUGAGCCCUGAAUCUACACGGAAGAAAUUUCAUGGGAAAUGUAAUUUCAGAAGACCAUGACUCAAAUCAGCGGCUGAAAUCCAAUCACUCAAGGGAUGGUGACACGUUGCCUUAUGUGGGAGACAGCUGGUCUCCAGUACGAAGAGAGACAACAAUAUUUUUUUUAUUAAAAGCGAGUGUACGAACUUCCACGUAUUUUAAUUUAUUUUAUUAAUUUUAAAUUUAAUAAUUAUAUAAAUUUUUAGUAAUUCUAAAAAAAUUUAAAUUCAUAACUAUUAAAAUACAAAUAUAAAACUUAAUCAAUUAGGUGACUCCACAAUAGUAUUUUCAUUAAAUAGAGUGUUUAUUUUUCUCAGUGUCUUUGUUCUCGUGACAGCUCAUGAUGAUGGGGGCUUAAAAAAAAUUAAAGAGAUUAUUUUCACUUGUGAUUUAUUUGAUUUAAAUAAGUAUUUAAUUAAAAUUAUAAUUAAAAAUGUUGUUUAAUAAAAAAAUAUUUUAAAAAUAUUUAAUUAAAAUUAUAAUUAAAGAUAUAUUGUAACUAAAAUUACUAUAAAAAAAAAGAUCCUAGUGAAGGUGGAGAGGAUGAGAAUAAUGAUUGGAUAUCUUAAUAAUUGUAAAAAGAAAGUAUCUUUUUAUGGUGAAGUUAUCGGUAAAUGAGAAAAUACUGAGUUUUGUAGCUCAGAAAAAAAACGUCAUUCAACUAAUAAAAUGAUCCAUCUACAUAAAAAAAAAAAAACAUCAUUCCCAGGUGUGGAAGAUAAAAUUAAUCAACAUAAUCUUAUUGGAUUGCAUUUUAUUAUUCAUAUCAAACAAUCAGUAUCCUUAAUAGUGAUUUUUGGAUAUUUUUAUUUUUGCAACUCAACUAUACUUUUUAAUAUAAUAAUUUUUUUACCUAAUUUUUUAUUAUUAUUAUUUCAGUAUCAUUUUGUUAUUUCUAACCGUUUGCAUUUAUGAGGUUAGUCCUGAAUUCAUGAAUUAUCGAUUUUUAAAAUUAAUGUAAGUUGAUUUUUAUUAUUUUUUAUUUUUUUAUUUUUUUAAAUUAAUUUAUUUAAAUUUUAUCAUUUAAUUUUUUUUUUCAAGAUUUCUUUUUAAGAGACUAACCCUUCAUUGACAAGCACUAAUGUACUCUGAAAAACAUAAUCUCAUUGCAUCUGACGCUUUAAAUUCCAACAAGGAGUACCUUCACAACGAAAUAAAGAAAAGUAGGAACCCUGCAUCUGGGAAAUUUUUAUGAGGCUCCAAUCUGAGGCUCUAACGAGCCCUGAAUCUACACACAAGAAAUUUCGUGAGAAAUGGGUUGAUGUCAGAGGGAGAUCAGGAAGCGUACUUUCAGAAGACCAUGACACAAAUCAACGGCUGAAAUCCAAUCACUCAAGGGAUGGUGACAUGUUGCCAUGAGUGGGAAACAGCUGGUCUCCAUCUGAAUGUUUAAAGAUGAUUGGGUAUCUUAGUAAUUGUAAAAACAAUUGAUUUUUUUUUUUGAUGAAGUUGUCGGUGUGGAUGAGAAAAUACUGAGUUUGUAGCUUAGUAAAAACAUGUUGAUGUUACUUUUUAUUAGCUCAUGGUUGGCCCGUAAAUUGUAAUGGGUCCCACAAUCACAAACCUAUGAUUCACAUGUAAUUUAUGUUUUAUAUAUUUUUUUAAAAUUAUUAUUUUUAUAUUUUUAUACCAUUUUCAUUUUAAAAAUUUUAAAUUUAAAAAAUAUUAUUUUAAUAUAUUUUUAAAUAAAAAAUACUUUAAAAAACAAUAAUAUCAAUCAAUGUUUUAUAAAUUCUUUACAAUCGCUUUUACAUUUUUUUAGAUCACAUCUAAGAAUGAGGGACACCACAAUAAAGUCCGUUGUUGCUACAUGAUUAAAGGUAAUUGUCUUGCAUUUACCUUUAAAACUGCUAUCAAGAAUUAAUUAAUUGCGUCAAUUCAAUUCUUUCUAUUGACAUUGAUACCAAACAUGUUAAUUCAUGAUAUAAUUAAGCAAUUCAAUACAAAUUUACUAAUAUAAUUUAUUUCGGCUUAAACCUUUGAAUAUAGCCAAACUCAGAGGUUAUGCAAGUGAAAUACCUUAAUAAUUAAAUUAAAAAAAGAAAACAAAAUAUAAUGUAUAAAAUAUAAUAAUACAAUGUAUAAUUUAUAAUUUAUUUAUUUGCUUUAUCAAUGAAAAGUGAUGGUAGGAGGGAGAGAGAGAGAGGAAAUAAAGUGAAGUCUUCUGCUGCCUGAUCACAUCACGUGAAGAGCUUGGCAUUUAGUGAAGUUUUUCCGAUCAAACCCACUUUUUUCAAAGAUGGAAUUUCUUGGAAAAUAAAUCAAACACAAACCGAGUAAAAUGGAGUCCAGAGCAUAACAAGAGCCGAGAUUGAAACAGGAAAUGCAGGAAAAAGAAGAUGGGCCCUUGUUUUCUCUUUUUAUGGCCGGCGACCGGAUAUAUAAAAGGGAGGAGAUGAAGCUUUCAAAUUAUUUACAAUUUUGCGGUCACUUAUUGUGUCCAUGUCAUUUUGUGUAAUCGCCCAGCUACCGGUACUAUUUUAACACUGUUAAAAGUCUAAAUAAUCAACAUUUCCCCAAUUUAUCUCUAAAAAAAAUUCACUUCAAUUAAUAGCAACUUUUUUUUAUUUCUUAUGUCAAUGUUUACCUCUUUUUGAUAAACUCGUAUGUUUUUGUACCAGAGGUCUCAAAUUAUUCUGUCCAGUUAUUGCUUAUUUAAAUUCAUUAAAAUGUUUUAAAUAACUUUUUUAAAUUUUAAUCCCAGAGUUUACAUACAUAAUACAUGAGUUAUAUACAUUAUGAUUCAAAAUAUUGUUAUAACUAAAUUUAAAAAAAAUACAAAUGAUCAAACCAUUGAUGCUGGUGAUGCUCUCGUCUCCAGAAUGGUCCGCUUGUACUUGGCUGAUGGAGCUGAGGGAAAGCCAUUGGCUGCAGAGUGCGCACUGUGAUUUUCGCGAAAUGAAUUAGGGCAGGGAGCUUUUUAGAAGCAAAUUUUGUUCUCCGUCAUUUUGUAAAUUCUCGCAGCUGCUUGUUAGACGCCAUAAAUAGUCUAAGCUUGUUGUUGAGAUUUUUUAUUUUCUGUAUAUGAAUUUAGAGUUAAUUUCUUGAAUAUUAAGUUUUCUGAUUUUUCUAUAUAAUUAAUUUUUUAAGUUGAUUUGAUUAGUAUUAUUGUACUCUUCUCAUUCUCAAUAAAAAAAAAAAGAAAAAAAAACCAGAAGAGUAUUUUCUUUCUAUUGAAAACAUUUGUGGUUAGAACAAAGUAAUUUUCACUGGAGUGUCGUUUUGGGAUGCAACAUGAACUUUACCUGUCUAAUUUGUACGGCAUGAGAAGAUGUUGCUUUCCAUGGCUUCCCCCUUAAAAAAAUUCCAUCACAUUUGAGAAUUUUGAUAUAAAAAAGAUAUAUCUCUUUUAAAGAAGAGAAGUGAUACCUAAAAUUUAUAAAUGAUCUAAACUCUUAAUUUUUAAUCGAUGUAAAAUGUUAGAGUAUCAUGUUCCUGAAAAAAUCUUUUUAAGUGUAUAAUAUGUUGCAUUGAUAGGUUUGAAUGUUUUUAUUACUGAAAUGCUUUUGAGAAGCGGCGUGCGUGCGGCUCCUUUGCAGGCCAAAAACCGCCCUCUACCUUGUUGUUUGGAGAGGAGCAUUAAGAGCUGGGGGUGGUGGUGGGGGCACAAGUCAGUUUUUUUUUUGUUAUUGUUGUAUUUUUUAAUUUAUAUUAUUAAAAUUAUAUAAAUUUAUUAAACUCAUUCGAAUAAAUAAAAUAUGUGUCUGAAUUGUUUUUUCUUUGAAAAUGCUUAUGUCUCCUUAACUUACUUUAUUUUACAAUAGAAAAAUGUAGGCCGGCUCGCGGGACCUUAUCUAGUAAUACAUAAGACCAGUAUCAUUUUUAGGCUUAAAUUUUGAUUAAAGAGAACAUUAACAUGUUUAGUAGUAGUGCAUACUGUUUAUUUUUGCGUUUCAAAAAUAUUCUUGAAAAAAAUUAAAAUAUAUUUUUUAUUUUUUUGCUUUAAAUUAAUAUUUUUUGUGUUUUCAAAUCAUUUUGAUGUGAUGAUGUCAAAAAUAAUUUUUAAAAAAUAAAAAAAAUAUUAUUUUAAUAUAUUUCCGAGUAAAAAAUACUUUAAAAAUUAACCACAAUCAUUAAAAAAAAAAAAAAAAAAAGAAGAAGCAAGAGCAGCAAGUUGGAAGCGCUUAUCUUGCUCCCAAAUCUUCUACAUAACCUUUCAAUAUAAUGCUAUUCCACCAAGGGAGUUUUUCAGAAUCUCCAAUCUUUUCAGGAUAAAAACAUCGAUUACAUCUAUACAAUCAUUUAUGGGCAUCUUCCCCAUCAAAGCUGGGAAAGUCACAUAUGGGUUUGUGCAUCCUAAACUGAGAGUGUCACAGGCUUAGACGCAAAGGCACGUNNNNNNNNNNNNNNNNNNNNNNNNNNNNNNNNNNNNNNNNNNNNNNNNNNNNNNNNNNNNNNNNNNNNNNNNNNNNNNNNNNNNNNNNNNNNNNNNNNNNGCAGACCAAGAAAGUUACUUGUGGGCAGUUACGAAGCAGUUACGAGGAAGUUGGUUUUCUUUAAAAUGUGCUGUCUAGAGUUAAUGAAUCUGUCAAAGUGCAUUUUUAUUUGUAACUUCCAUUGUAUGUAGGUGUAUUACAUAGGGCCUAAACAUGUGUAACAUGUAGAUCGGAUUGUGCAUAACACACAUACAUUGUUAUUGUGUAUUCCCUUUGUUGAUGGAUAAAUAUAGGUUGAGUUGUUUCCUGUAAAUUGCUUGUGUUGUGUUGAUCAUUAGCUUGUGUUCUUUGUCGCCAAAAUUGGUAAGAGGUGUGGGGAAAACCUCUAGGUGUGUGAAACACUUAGACUCUAGGCAAACACGAGUGGCUUAGAAAGAUGGUUGAGUCUAGUAACGGGACUAGACGCCCGCGCUGGGAUUAAAAUUGUGAUGAAAAUUUUAUCGUGACAGAGAGUGCUCACCUUCACUAGGUAUUAGCCUCCCCUGUGGAAAGUUGUAGUGUUUGAAGAAGGGAUGUUUGUUGAUAAGCUAUUCCCCUAAUGAGACCCUGAGUUCAUUAAACUGUAAUAUGUUGCAUUUAAUAGUUUGGGGCAAAAUUAUAUUAACCCUGAUUAUUUUUUAAGUGUAUAAUAUGUUGCAUUUGGGGCAAAAUUAAUAGUUUUAAAUGCGUUUAUUACUUAAAUGCUAUUGAGAAGCACUUACAGGGUCCUUUGCUGGCCAGAAACUGCCUUCCAUUGUGGUGUUCACGGCAGAGCAUUAGGGGCUGUCUGAUGGUGGGGCACAAGUCCAUUGACGAUUUUCUUCUUCACCUUUUUUUUUUUUUUUCUUCAUCUUCUUUUCUUUCUCCUCUCCUCAAAUACAAAAGUUUCCUUUUAUUUUUUUAAACAAUUUAAUUUUUUUUUUAUUGUUAUUUUUUUUAUCUUUUAUAAAUUUUUUUCUUUAAUUUUUUCUUUAAUUAUUUGAUUUUAUUUAAUUUUUACAUCAAAAUUUAUCCUUAUUCUUUUAAUUACUAUUUUUUUCUAAUUGAAUUUUUUUUUUAAAUUACAUCCAUCAACAUUUGAUUUCCAUUUAUUUUAAUGUCAAAUUCAAUUAAUUUUUUUUAUUACUAUUUGUUUUAUUUUAUAUCAUUUUUUAGUUGCCAUUUUUUUUAAAUUUUAUCUCUCAUUAUUUUGUGAAGAAGAAUUUAACUUCAUUAUUUUUUAGGGUUUAUCUUCUAUGAAAUUUGUCUUAACUCUUGAGCUCAUGACUAAGAUCACGAGUUUCAAAUAUUAACACAGAAUUACUCUCUAUUGUUACUCUCUAUUGUUCCGACCGGAUCGGGUCCGAUCCAAAGCUAAAUGCAUUGAACUGGGUCUGAUCCAGUUAAAAAAAAUUAAUUUUUAUUUUUAUUUUUAAUUGUGUUUUAUUCAAAAAAUUAGAAGGAGAUCGCUUGAUGACGUAACAUUUGCAGAAUUUGAUCGCAAUCUCAAUUUUGUUCCUGAUGUUGUUGCGCGCUUAAGAAAUCAAGAAAACUGUAGUCCUUGUCGGAUGUAUUUCGUACGUGAUGGAAUUGUAGAUAUUUUAAGGAAACAAUAAAAAAUAUUUUAUAUAAGUAUUACUUAUUUCAUGAUAUAAUAUCAAUAGUUAAACUUACAAUAUUUAAAUUAAAAACCAUCAAUAUAUAUAUAUAUAUAAUUAUUUUAUAACCCUAAUUUAAAAAAUAUUAUUUUAACUAAACAAAUUAAAUUAAUUUUUAUUAACAAAAUAAUUUUUUUUCAAACUAAAAGUUACCGCAAUAACAUAAUCACUCUAAACUAUCACUUUCACCACUCAGAAUAUUUGUCAUCUAAAACACUGAGCUGGAGCUAUUGGAGGAAGGAGAGAAAAGAAAUAAAGUCUCCAGCUGAAUGAUCACAUCAUCACGUGAAAAGCUUGGCAUUUUAAAAAAUGGAAUCUCGAGGUAAAUAAAUCAAAGACAAACCGAGUAAAAUGGAGUCCAGAGCUUAACAUGUUACCAGUUACAGAGCCGAGAGAGAAACUUUUUGCGAGUUCUUUACACUAAACUUUUUUGCAAUAUUGUUUUAACGGGUUAGUAUUAAAAAUAAUAUUUUUUUUUUAAAAAUAUUAUUUUAAUAUAUUUAUAAAAAAAUAUUUUAAAAAUCAACCACUAAUACACUAUUAAACACCCCUAAAUAUUUUAUAAAUUCUUCAUAGUAGCUUUUACAUUUCUUUAGAUCUCAUUUGACAAUGCUUUACACCACAAUAAAAAAAAAAUCAUGUUUUAUGUUUUUAUUGGCAAAAUGUAACUGCAACCGCAUUAAAGUUCGCUGUUGCUGCAUUAUUAAAGGUAAAUGUCUUGCAUGGAUUGACUACCAGUCAUAUUUUUUUUCCUUUGUUUUUUUGUAAGUUACUAAAUUUAUAAUGGUAUCAUUUUAAGAGAUUUUUUUUAAAAUACAACUAUAUUAAAAAAAUUUAUAAUUAUUUUUUAUUUCAGCAUAUCAAAAUAAUAUAAAAACAUCCAAAAAUUAUUAUUUUAAAGCAAAAAUAAAAUUAAAAAAUUUCAAAGUUUUUCAAAAGAGUUUCUGAAACGCAAAAAUCCAUAAAACUCAAUUAACAAAAGAAGGUAAAAACUGAUGCACAAAAACUACAUUUCACACUCAAUUUUUUAAUGGCCCCGUAAUAUAAAACACAUUUGGUUUGUUACCAAACAUUCUGUUACGUUUGUUUCACCGUAAACGUAAAAGCCAGCGAGAAACAGACGCAACUUUAAGUCUUAUUUGUUUGCUGAAAGUAGUUUCCUUUUGAAAAAUGGUUUUCUUGGAAAGUGGAUUUCUAAAAAGUGAAUUAUUUUUUGUUUGGUAGUGUAAUGAAAAAUAAAUUGAAAAACAUCUAGUGUUUGGUUAUGUCAUGGAAAAUGAGGUAGAAAAGAUCUUAUUAAUAUUUUUUUUCAAGUUUAUUAAAAUAAUAAAGAAUAAAUCUUACAAAUUAAAAAGGUGAAUGAGAAUGAAAUUGAAAAAAAAUUCUAAUUUCAUAAAUUAUCUCAAAUAAAAUAAAUAACAAUUAAAAUAAUGGAGAUCAAAUUUAAAAGAUAAAAAAUUGAAAGAUGAUGAAAUUAAAAUAAUAGUACUUACAAUUUCAUAAAUUAUUACAAAUAAAAUAAGUAACAACCAAAAAAAUGAGGAUCAAAUUUGAUAGAUAAAAAAUUUCAAUUAAAAAAAUAAUAGGAGAAAAGCAAAUAACAAUCAUAAAAAUAAACACCAAAGUUAAUAUAAAAAUCAAAUUUAAUCAAAUUCUAAGGAGUGAAAUUGAAGAAAAAAAAUUCAAAACAAAAUAUAUAGCAAUCAAAAGUUUAAGGACCAAAUUUGUUAUAAUUAGCAAAUAAUAUGAUGUUUUUAAUUUUUUCACAACUUUUGAAAAGUGUUUUAUGCCCGAAAAAAAGGAAAAAACUUUCCUGGAAACUAAACCAAAUUUUUCUUUGACCAGAAAAUAUUUGUGGUUGAUUAAUUUUUCUAAUAACAUAUAAAUACAAAAAAGUUCAAAAAAUAAUUUUAAAAAAACCACUUUCCACCAAAUAAACAAACAAAGCAUUAAUAAUACUACUUUUUGUAUAGUCUUAAUAGUAGGAACCUCUUAUUUGAACUCUAGGCGUUUAUUUUUUGAAAAGUGAUUUCCGGAAAAUCACUUUUUCAAAUUUUUUUGUGGUUGGUUGCCAUUAGAAAAGUUGAUCAACAGAAAAAACUUUACAGUCAAAAGAAAAUUUGGCUUGAUUUUCAUAAAAGUGUUUUCCUUUUAUUUUGAGCGGAAAACACUUUCCGGAAGUUGUGAAAAAUUUAGAAAUGUCAUAUUAUUUGCUGAUUAUAUCAAAUCUGGUACUCAAACUUGUGAUUGCUAUAUAUAUCUUGUUUUGAAUAUUUAUUUUUCAGUUUCAUCCCUUCCAAUUUAAUUUUUAUUUUAACUUUGAUCCUUAUUUUUAUAAUUGUUAUUUGCUUUUCCUUUAUCAUUUUUUAAUUGAAAAUUUUUAUCUAUCAAAUUUGAUCUUCAUUCUUUUGAUUGUUACUUAUUUUAUUUGAAAUAAUUUAUGAAAUGGUAAUUAUUAUCAUUUUAAUUUCUUCAUUUUUUUUUAAAGAUUUGAUCUCUAUUAUUUAUUUUAUUUGAGAUAAUUUAUGAAAUUAUAUUUUUUUUCAAUUUCAUUCUCAUUUAACUUUUUAAUUUGUAAGAUUAGUUUCUCGUUAUAUUAAUAAAUUUUUAAAAAUAAAACAUUAAUAAGUUCAUUAUCAUUUUCUUUGACAUAACUAAACACUGAAAAAUAUUUUCCAACUUUUUUUUUAUUAUAUUACCAACAUCAAAAAAUAAUUCACUUUAUCAAAAUUUAUUUUUUACUUUUCAUCAAAUAAACUACAUCUCCCACUUUUAUGCAUCACCUGCUGUCUGUUUUUUAUUCUAAGUUUGCAUGUAAAGUGUUUUUAAAAUUUAUAAAAGAAGUUACUGUUUACAUUGCUGUAGCCCUCGAGUAUACAAAGAGAUAUUCCUGGGAAGUAGCUUUAUGCCACUUCCCUUGAAUAUCCAAGAAGAUGCAUAAUUUUUUUAAAAAAAACAUUAAAAAAAAACAUAAUAAUUUACGAUGGAAGUCCUCAUAAUCAAUGCAUAAAAUGUUUUUUUUUUUGUUAAAAAUAAUUUUUAAUAUCAUAUAUUAAAAUAAUUUUAAAAUAUAAAAAAAUUCAAUUUUUUAUUGAAAAACUAAAAGUGCUUCAUAAGAAAGAGCGAAGGCGAUAUUCAUUAUAACUUUACUUCCCCACCUCUCUCGCCUACGUGCAGCAACCACUACUAGAUGUUCAUGGCGUCUUCUUCUUCUUCGUCUAGACCUGGUUGGGAUUACGAUGUAUUUCUAAGUUUUAGAGGUGAAGAUACUCGCAAAAAUUUUACGGAUCAUCUUUUCACUGCUUUACAGAAAGCAAAAGUCCGUACAUUUCGAGAUGACGACGAACUUCGUAUAGGUGAAGAAAUCUCCUUACAACUCCCCAAAGCAAUACAAGAAUCCAAGAUUUCUAUAGUGGUUUUCUCCAAGGGCUAUGCUUCCUCCACUUGGUGUCUUGAUGAACUUGAAAAGAUUCUUGAUUGCAAACACACAACUGGUCAGAUUGUUAUACCUGUUUUCUAUGAUAUUGAUCCUUCUGAUAUUAGAAAACAGACGGGGAGUUUUGCUGAAGCCUUUGAUAAGCAUGAAGAACGUUUUAAGGAAGAAAUGGAGAAGGUCCAUAAGUGGAGAAAAGCUCUCGUGGAGGCUGCAGAUUUAUCUGGGCUGGAUCCUCACAGUAUCGCAAAUGGGUACUUCUUUUCUUUCCCUGUAUCAAUAGCAAAUGCUUAUAACUUUUACUCUUAUUAUGUUUUGUAUUUUAAAUUUGCAUUAAAUUCAAAAGAUUUAUCUUUCAUCGAUGAGUGAUGACUUUUUUUUUCUAUGCGCAGGCAUGAAUCAAAAUUAAUUCAAAAGAUUGUCGAAGUAGUUUCAAGUAAAUUGAAUCCCAGAUUUUUGUCUGACGAUAGGCCGCUGAAGAGGUUGAAGACAACAAUGAUAUCUGGUGGUGGGCUGCUUGACGAUGCUGAGGAGAAGCAGAUAACAAAUACAUUUGUGCGGGAUUGGCUGGCCGAGUAUAAAGACGCUGUCUAUGAGGCCGAAGACUUCUUGGAUGAGAUUGCUUAUGAAGCUGAAGCUCAAACCUUCAUUAACCCACCUGGAAUAAUGGGGUUGAGAGAGAUAGAAGAAAAAUCAAGAGGCCUCCAGGAGAGUCUAGAUUACUUAGUAAAACAAAAGGAUGCCCUUGGUUUGAUCAACCGCACUGGAAAAGAACCAUCAUCAACUAAAAGACCAACAACUUCUCUGGUGGAUGAACGUCGUGUUUAUGGUAGAGAUUAUGACAGGGAAGCAAUACUGAAGUUGCUUGUAUCAGAUGAUGCAAAUGGAGAAAACCCAGGUGUUGUUCGCAUAGUGGGCAUGGGCGGGGUUGGUAAAACCACGCUUGCUCAGCUUGUGUACAAUCACAGCGAAGUACAGAGGUGCUUCAAUCUCAAAGCUUGGGUUUGUGUUUCAGAAGAUUUCAGUGUUUCAAAGUUAACCAAGGUUAUCCUUGAGGAGGUCGGCUCAAAGUCUGAUUCUGGGAGUCUGAAUCAGCUCCAGAUUCAGUUGAAGGAGAGGUUUCGGGAAAAUAAAUUUUUGCUUGUUUUAGAUGAUGUAUGGGAAGAAAAUUAUGCUGAAUGGGACACGUUGCUUACACCCUUGAAAUCUGGAGCACAAGGGAGUAAGAUUCUUGUGACAACACGCAAUGAAAGGGUAGCAUCAGUCAUGUCAACUGUUCAAACUCGUCACCUAAAAGAAUUGACGGAAGACAGCUGCUGGUUCUUGUUUGCCAAACAUGCAUUCGGUGAUGAAAAUCCCAUUGCGCAAGAAGAGUUAAAAAAAAUUGGUAGAGCAAUAACGAAAAAGUGUAAAGGCCUGCCUCUAGCUGCAAAAUCACUCGGAGGUCUGCUAUGCAACGAAAGAGAAGUCGAGGAGUGGCGGGAUAUUUUGGAAAGCAAUCUAUGGGAUUUACCCAAAGACAAUAUCCUCCCAGCUUUGAGAUUAAGUUAUCUUUAUCUCGUGCCACAUCUGAAGCAAUGUUUUGCUUAUUGUGCCAUAUUUCCAAAAGACUAUUCAUUUCGAAAGGAUGAAUUAGUGCUCCUGUGGAUGGCAGAGGGCUUCUUGGUCCGCUCUGCAGUAGAUGAUGAGAUGGAAAAAGCAGGUGCUAAGUGCUUUGAUGAUCUCUUGUCAAGGUCGUUUUUCCAGCAAUCAAGUGCCUCUCGCUCAUCAUUUGUGAUGCACGAUCUCAUGCAUGACUUGGCUACACAUGUGUCCGGUCAAUUUUGCUUCAGCUCCAGUUUGAGGGGAAAUAAUUCUUCCAAGGCCACCAGAAGGACUCGACAUUUAUCACUCGCAGUAGAUACGGAAGACACGGAUGGUGAAGAUACCGAAGAUGGAGAUACGGAAGGUGUUUUUUCAAGCACAAUAUUAGAAAACAUCCGUGAAGCCCAACAUCUACGCACAUUCCGAACUUCUCUAGACAAUCAGAUGUGUCCUCCCGAAUUUGAUAAGAUCUUUCAGUCAACACAUUGUCGCCUACGAGUGAUAUCGUUGUCUAAUUGUGCCGGUGUAGCUAAGAUGCUUUGUUCAAUUAGCAAGUUGAAGCAUUUGCGGUAUUUGGAUCUUUCCUGGUCAGAUUUAGUAACGUUGCCUGAAGAAGUGAGUGCUCUUCUCAAUUUGCAAACGUUGAUCUUGAAAAGGUGCCAACAACUUGCUAGUCUACCUGAUCUUGGAAAUUUGAAGUAUUUACGACAUCUGAAUCUUGAAGCAACAAGAAUAGAAAGGUUGCCUGAAUCUCUGGAAAGGUUAAUCAACUUGCGGUAUCUUAACAUCAAAUACACGCCUUUGAAAGAGAUGCCACAAUAUAUAGGUCAACUGGCAAAGCUCCAAACGUUGACUGACUUUCUCGUGGGAAGACAGAGUGAGACUAGCAUUAAAGAAUUGGGAAAGCUACGACAUCUACGGGGAGAACUUCAUAUUGGGAACCUUCAAAAUGUGGUGGAUGCUCGGGAUGCUGUUGAGGCAAAUUUGAAAGGUAGAGAGCACCUUGAUGAGCUGAGGUUUACAUGGGAUGGUGACACUCAUGACCCGCAACACGUGACAAGCACACUUGAGAAAUUAGAGCCAAAUAGAAAUGUGAAGGAUCUUGAGAUUGAUGGCUAUGGAGGUGUAAGGUUUCCGGAGUGGGUAGGAAAGUCCUCUUUCUCGAAUAUAGUGUCUUUGAGGCUCAGUAGAUGUACAAACUGCACCUUCUUACCACCGCUCGGGCAAUUAGCUUCUUUAGAGCGUCUCUCAAUUGAAGCAUUCGAUAAAGUUGAGAUUGUGGGGUCUGAGUUCUAUGGGAAUUGUACUGCUAUGAAGAAGCCAUUUGAAUCCCUCAAAACAUUACGGUUUGAAGGAAUGCCAGAGUGGCGCGAGUGGAUUUCAGACGAAGGCAGCCGGGAAGGCUUCCCUCUUCUAGAGGAGCUUUUAAUCCAAGAAUGCCCGAACCUUGCAAAGGCCCUACCAUGUCACCACCUUCCACGUGUAACAAGUCUUACAAUUCGUGGAUGUAAGCAGCUCGCGACUCCACUUCCUAGGUUUCCGGAGUGGGUAGGAGAGUCCUAUUUGUCAAAUAUAGUGUCCUUGAAGCUCAUUAGAUGUACAAACAGCACCUCCUUACCACCGCUCGGGCAAUUAGCUUCUUUAGAGCGUCUCUCAAUUGAAGCAUUCGAUAAAGUUGAGAUUGUGGGCUCUGAGUUAUAUGGGAAUUGUACUGCUUUGAAGAAGCCAUUUGAAUCCCUCAAAACAUUAUCUUUUAGAAGGAUGUCAGAGUGGCGCGAGUGGAUUUCAGACGAAGGCAGCCGGGAAGCCUUCCCUCUUCUAGAGGAGCUUUUAAUCGAAGAAUGCCCGAACCUUGCAAAGGCCCUACCUUGUCACCACCUUCCACGUGUAACAAGUCUUACAAUCGGUGGAUGUGAGCAGCUCGCGACUCCACUUCCUAGGUUUCCUGGGUUGCUCUCUCUCAUUGUUUUUGAUUUGCACUCCCUAGAGUCCCUACCCGAGGAAAUUGAUCAAAUGGGUUGUUCACCCUCUGAUUUAGGGAAAAUUAUAAUCCACCGCUGCGCUUCUCUCAAAGGCGUCGCACUGGACUUGCUCCCCAAGUUAAAUUUUCUUCGUAUUCUUGACUGUCCAGAUCUGGAAUCACUAUGUGCAAAUGAAAGACCUCUCAAUGAUCUCACCUCUCUCCAUUCUUUGGAAAUCGAGGGGUGCCCUAAAUUAGUUUCAUUUCCCAAAGGAGGGUUACCUGCUCCAGUCUUGACACAACUUGAUUUAUAUGAUUGCAAAAACUUGAAGCAGUUGCCUGAGAGUAUGCCUUCCCUCCUCCCAUCCCUUAACCGUUUGGGAAUAUAUGGUUGUUCAGAAGUUGAGUUGUGUCCAGAAGGGGUUUUCCCUCCACAUUACAAUUACUUUGGAUUCGUAAUUGCAACAAACUCAUUGCAGGCCGCAUGCAAUGGGGCUUGCUAACGCUCCCUUCUCUUUCACACUUCGAAAUUGGAAUGGACGAAAAUGUUGAAUCCUUCCCUGAAGAGAUGGUGCUGCCCUCAAAUCUUACAUCUCUUAGCAUCUAUGACCUCCAACACCUGAAAUCUCUUGACUACAAGGGGCUUCAACACCUCACCUCCCUUACACGUUUGAGAAUAAGUCGCUGCCCUCGGAUUGAGUCAAUGCCAGAAGAAGGGUUGCCCUCCUCCCUUUCUACUCUUGCAAUUUACAGGUGUCCUAUGCUGGGUGAAAGUUGUGAAAGGGAGAAAGGUAAAGAUUGGCCCAAGAUUUCUCACAUUCCUUACAUAAAUAUUUCCCAAGAUUAAAAGAAGGUUUUCUUUCAAUCGUCCAACAUAUUGAGGUAUUGCUACUAAAUAGUUUAUUUUCCUUUCAGUAAUCAAAGGCAAUUUCAGUUAAAAUUUGGAUGAAUGAAAUACAGAUAUUGUCCAUUUUGUCUGUUUUUAUUUGUUAAAUGUUGAAAUACAGAUAUUUUCUUCCUAUUGUCUCUCAUUCAUCUUCAUAUAUAAUAAUCAUUCUAUUGCAAUAUCUUUUUUGCUAUAAUUAAUGCUACUAUCAAAUGCGGCAAAUGCGGCAAAUAAACAUCACAUGCUUCAGAUUUUGAACUGCCAGCGCCACCCUUAAAAGACAACAGAUUUUUCACAAAAACUGACAAUGGCAAGGGCAGUAAUGGACUCGUUAAUCCAUCGAUGCUUCUCGAGAAGAUGACCAAUCAGAAUGCAAGCACAAAGGAGUGCCACAAACAAGGUAAUUGAAUGGAUUGGGGCUUGAUCAGGUUCCAUACCAUCCUCAAACCGAAAUUCAUCGUAUCAGAAUUGGACCCAACCCUAUAACUAUACAAGGAAAACGAAAACAAAAACAAAAACUGUCAAACAAACUGAAAUCAAUCAAAUUCAAGGUGAUCGAUCACGCAAUUAAUACACAGAGUAACUAGGGUUCCAAAUUACUUCUACAAAAGAAAUUAAUAAAAAAAAUGAAGUGAGAACCUAGAAAGACUCCUUCUCUGAUCUUUUUAGUUUUUACCUUGCAGUUGCAGCCUUGAGAUUCUCUUCAGAUAAAAAGGAAAAGGAAAGCGUUUGGAAUAAUAUAUAUAUAUUUGGUUCGAAGAAAGAGGGAGAGAAAACUUAAAAGCCAAGCAAGAGAAUAUGUUGUCCUUUCUGAGAGAAAGCCAAGUGUGAGGAGUGGAAUGGAGACGACGUCAACGUGUGUGGGCGUGUGUUCGCCUGGAGAGAACGAUUUUAAGUAUAUAUUCCCCCACUUCUGCUGCUGCUGCAUCUGACUAAACGAGAGAUAACCCGGAUUUAUUUGAUUUUGACUUGGAGAGACAGUUUGGCCGUUUGGGGGAUGGAGGGAAUCUUAAUGCAAGCAAAAACCGCGAAACUGCUUCCCUUCCUUUAUUUAUUUAUUCCUUUAUUCAUAUCACGUGAUUUCGAGGGUUCCACACAGGAUAUCACGUGAUUUCAAGGGUGCCGGAAUGUCUUUAAAAAGAUUGUUUUUUAAAAGUAUUUUUAAAAAACAAUAUAUUAAAAAUAAUUAUUUUCAACAUUGAUAAAUUAAAAUGAUAAAAAAAAACAUCAAAAAAUAAUUUUAAAUAAAAAAAUAAACUUUUGUGAAACGUUUUUUUGUACCUUGUCCCUAAACCUCAAUUUUCAUUGCCUAGCAGAGCUGAAAAGGAUUAAAAAAUAUUUAAGUAAUCUGCAACAGAUUUUUCAUUGUUGACGCGGCAAAAUCAAAAUUCAAAAUUUAAGUAAUCAAAAGGAUUAAAAUCUCCAUUCUCUCCUUUUCUCCUUUUCCGCAUCUCCAAAAAUUCAAAAAAUUUUCCCCACCUCUUUCUCUACAAAAAUUCAAAAUCCAAAAACUUUUGAUUUAUCUAUUUUAUUAUUACUUAACUUUGAUUAAAAAACUUUUCUUGAAGUUUACUUUCACCAAAGAUCUUUUAUAGAUAUAAAAAGAAGAGAUAAUAUAAAACAAGUAGAUACGUAGCUAUAUUAACAACAAUACUUCAAGCAUGCACAAAUGCGACUUCUUGAUGGUUACGCUGCUAAAGACAUUUACAAAUCCCCAUCAAUACUGGUGUUUAUUCCUCAUGAUGAUCCAGUGAGCUGACAAUAAAAGAAAACCUCGGCAUUACAAGUAAAUCGAUCGUCACUGCAAGCAUAAUGCAAGCAUGGAAGAGAUUCGGGUAGGAAUUACCCUUGUCUUCAUUGAGAGGCUUUAACCUCCCUAGCUCCUUCAUCAGCAGGCCCAUUGUUUGAUGCAUCCUCUGAAGCGUCUAAGCAAGGAUUGCUUUUACACUAACUUACAGUGUCACGACCCGAAUCCCGGAUCCAUGACCGGCACAUAGACAAGGUUCUCAUCCAAGGUUCCAUACCUAUACGAACCCAAACUUACACACAAACUUAUCCUAACUCAAUCAGAGUUCAACGCAGCAUUAAUAACAAAAUCAACUUCAUAAUAUAAUUGAAUUGUCUUAAUACAAGAGUUCAUAUAAUUCAUAGUUUUGGAGCACUAACUUGACAAAAAAAAAAGGUACAAAUUACAACCAAAAAGCAGGUUUGGAAGGUUCAACAAAAGUAACCUGCUAUCAAGCAAUAAGCCUGAAAAGAAUAAUAAUGAGAGGGUGAGUUCAACAACUCAGUGAGUAGAUAGCGUUCAAAAUACACACACGAGGUAAUACAGUAAUGAGAAAUAUAUAUACAAGUAUGACUCUAGGUUCUUAUAGAAAUGUUUCUCAAAUAGGCCAUAACAAGAAUAUCAUAUGGUAAAACUCGUCAGAAAAUCAAAAUGCAAUGAGCAUGAGGCUCCGUACUGUGGGAUGAUCAGUCCACACAGGUUGGUGACUCCCCCGACCAACUAAGGUUCAGAUACGAUGUGCACAAAGACUAACACUACCCUGUUAGCAUGGGUAUUCUGACUGACAUACCAUAGGUUCAUAAUCAUAAUCAAACAGACAUAUUCAUAUCUCAAAGCUCAACUCAUGACAUCAAUCAAAUGAGGAGCUAUCAAUUCAGAAGUCAAUUCAGAAUAUAUAUACUGGUUCAUAUCAAUAAUUCGGAUUCAACAAUUGAUCAUGCUUAUCAUAACAAGGAUAAUAAUCAACAUAUAUAUUAUCAAGAAGCAUGAUCCAAUUCAUAUUAACAAAUCAAAUAUUUAUAAUAUUUCUCAUGCAUAUGGAAAAUUAUCCACUCACCUGACUAGAAAGCAAACAGAAGUAAAAAUAAGACACCGAAGAAAAUCCUACUGACGUCCCGCCGAUAGAAUAUCAGGAUUAUCUGAAUACAAAGGAGGCAUAUUCAAGAACGACUCGAAAGAAUAUUUAACUUAUUUAAUACACUUAACUAGGUGUAUUCCGUAAUCCUAUAUGUUUUUGAACUAACUAGUCAAUUUUCUCAAAAACCCAAAACUCUAACGGUUUUUCCGAAAUCUAAUCCAUAACAAAACAAAUAAUAAAAUUGGUAAUAAUUUACUAAAUAACCCUCAAUUAUUCAUCAAACCAAUCUGAAAAAGGUAAUAUUACAGCUAGGGACUAAUCUGUAAUUUAUCAUAUUUUUAAGGCCAAAUUGUAAUUUUCGUCUAAUUAGAGGACCAAACUAAACAUAUCAUAAAUUCAUGAAUAUAGUGGAAUUAUGUCCAUAAUUCAUCCUCAUUUCUGUCCAGAUCAUCUCAUUAUACUCCAGGGACCAUUCUGGAAUUUUACCAAAUUUUUAGGGUCAAAUUGUAAUUUUUGUCAAAUUGGAGGACCAAAUUGAAAGUGUUAAAUUCUCUUAUCUAUACAGUAAUUCUGUCCAUAAUUCAUAUGUUAUUCUGUUCAGAAUACCGGAAUAUGCUCCAGGGACCAAUUUGUAAUUUUCCAAAGUUCAGGACUAAACUGUAAUUUUCGCAAAUUGAGGGACCAAAUUGAAUUUUCGUCAUCUUCAACCUCCAAUCCAGAAUUUUAACAGAAACCUACUGUUCUCCCCUGAUUUUUAACUCAAAAUUCACCAUUCAAACAAAAUUAUAACUCAAAAUCAUCACAAUCUUCCAUAAUCAACUAAAUCAUCAAUUAACCACAACAAUCAACCCCUAACAUUCAAUUUAAUUCAUCAGUUAAACUCAAAACACAAAUUUCAUAACCCUAACAUUUAUCAAAACCGAAAUUAAAGCUAAAGAAAACAUAUUAUACACAUUAAAGCAUAAUCUUACCCCUUUUUACUUAUUUCCUCCAACUCCUUUUCUUUUUCCCUUAUUUUCCUCUCUUUUCUCUUCUUCUUCUUUCUCACUUCACUCCUGUGGUUCUCUCUAAAUUUCAGAUUUCUCUCUUUCUUUUUUUUCGUUUUUUUACUUUGAAUUUACACUUUUUCAAGUUUUUAUUGAAAUUACCACUAUACCUCUCAUUUAUUUAUUCUAACUUUUAAACCUUCAAAGGUUUUAUUGUAUUUUUCAUCUCAUUAAUUCAAGACAUUACAUACAGGCUGAGCAUUGGUCAAGAGACUAGAAAGUUGAGACCCCUUUUGCGAAAAGUUUGGUUUACCUUUCGGAGUCUCAGACAGGCUUCCCGUUGACAGCUUUGCUAGGCCCAUUGUCUUGUGCUCACACGGGAGCUUGGUUGAAAAAGGUGAUUCAGGUGUAUUAGGAUGCUUCCCAGGAAUAUCCAUCGGUCUAUGAAACAGCAAAUGAGCCACAGUCCGGUCUACAGGAUUGGUCUCUGUUUCCACCUCAGGCAUCUUAACUACCCUGCAGAAUACUCAUAAAAUCCAUGAGGAAAAUGACAGGAAAGUUUGAGAUUGCCAUACUCUAAACAAAUUGAUAAAGACUUGAUUAAUAAUUUUGUGCAAACAAAUUGAAUAAUUUGAAAUGGGAAGGACGAGAUGUAAAUGAACAAACCCAUUGGAACAAGAAACAAUCACAUUGUCGCUUACAACAAAAAAUCGAGUUUCAGCUCAAAAGAGCUUAUGGUUUUGGCUGGAAGUAUCCCAUUUAGAUAUAGAUGAGCCCCAGUGGCGGAGCCACAGUGGGUCAAAAGAGAGCAAUUGUCCCCUUAUUUUUUUUAAAUAUUAAUAUAUUAGUGAGAGUGAAUUAUUGCUACAGCCUACAGGUAAGGAAAGUUUUUAACUUUUAUUAUUGUUGACUAACUUGACUUAUAUAUACAUAUAUAUAUAUAUAUAUAUAUAUAUAUAUAUAUAUAUAUAUAUAUAAUUACAGCUCCCCAACUUUUCCCCUUUUCCUUUUUGUUUCUCCUGUCUAACAAAACAAGGGUUUUUUUUCAGCUGCCGUUCUUGCCUCUCCUCGUCUCCUGAAUGCAAAUUUCUCAUGGAUUAAUUUUUUUUUGCGUUUUACUUUAUACUUUAUUUUUUCUAUUUAUUUUAUUGUUUAAUUUUAGUUUUAUUCUUUUAUAAUUAGUUAUUAAAAAUAUUAGGGUUUAUGAUAAUUUAGGGGUUUUGUUAUAAAUAUGUUCAAAAUAAAUAUUUAAAUCUGCUAAUUUAAUUAAUUAAAUAUUUAUUUUCUUAUUAUAAAUAAAUAAAUUAAUAUUCAUGCAAAACCACUAUUCUUGACAUCUCUUGCAUUGAUAGAGUAGUUUAUUGAAAUUUAAUAUUUUUACAUGAUUUGUUUGUAAGUAAAAUAUCAAGUAGAAAACAUGUUUUUCAAGCAUUGUCCCUCUUAUACAUACACUAGGCAUUGUUCCUUAAUUAAAUGUCUAGAAAUGAUUAAGUAUAAUUUAAUCAACAUACUUAUUAUAUGCAUAUAAAUAUGAAUUGAAAUAGGUUUUGAUUUUGAUGAAUUGACGUGUAUUUUGCUAUUAAUUUUAUAUGAAAGAUGUAUAAUUAUUGUGUAACUCAACUGACUUUUGUUUAAUAGUGAAUUAUUAUGUAGUUGUGUUAAUUAUUAUGUAGACACUAAUGAUAAAAAAAUCCAGCAGGUUCAUAUUAAAUUAACAUGUUACUAGACAAAUAUUUCAAGCGUAAAUCUAUUGAGGAUGAAGAGUCAAUCAAAGCUUCAAGUCAUGUAACUCAAUCAAGUUCAAAGAAAAGUCAUAUUGAAAUCAACCCCGACACUCUCCUUGUUGACCCUGGCUUAAGAAGACCAAUUUAUAAGUACCAUAUAAAUGAUAGGGAUGCAAUCCGAAGAGCUUAUCUACAAAAAGAUCCUUGUCAACCUUCACACUAUGAUUUUCCAUAUAUGUUUGAAUUGAUUUCUAAUGCAUGUCUAUAUAAUAUAGUAUUUGUUAAUAAUUUGCCUCCUCAUUUAAAAAACUCUGGCUCCGCCACUGAAUUGAGCCGAUUAGAAGAUGAUUUGAGUUCUUAAAUUUUCUUGCUUAAAAUGUAAUGUAACAUGAAUCUGCAGAUGAUCAUUAAAUUAGAAGGGAAAUUUAAUUUUGCCCUGUUUAUCUAAAGUUGUGCAAGUUCUCUGCAUUGAUGAUUUCAGUGAAUCUGUACAGAUCUUGUUUUCCUUCUAUUUGUCCUUGAAUAAACUUAUUGCACUUGUUUAACAUUCUUUGUCUCUCUCUCUUAGUUAAAUCUAGCAAAAUUUAUGAGGUAUGUUGUGCCACUCAUUUAGACUUGGAUGUGCGUGUUUAGCUCUCCUUUUUGGAUUAAGGUGAUUAUGCACAAAUUCAAUGGAAUCAACAUUGCAGAAAACUUGCAUAGAUUUUGUUAAUAUUGGAAAAAUUAAAUUUCCUUUUCUAAUUAAAUGAAAAUCUCUACUAAAUAAUAUGCUAUUUGAAUUGUCACUGCACUCAUGAAUGCUGCACCAGGGUAAAGCUACAAAUGUCAGUUUAAUAUCUGCCUCUACCUAGCUCGGCCUACAAUACCAAAGCUUCUCUCCUACAAAUGCCAGUUUAAUAUCUGCCUCUACCUAGGUUGGCCUACAUACAAUACCAAAGCUUCUCUCAACUAAACAUGAUGACCAGCACUCACAACCAUAACAGAACCAGUGGAAGCCAACUACUACAUAUUUGAUCAACAAGGUCAAAUUCAGUCAAGUUUUUAAGGAAAUCCAGUGAAAGAGGAACCUAAAAUUUUCUGUUUAGAUUUUCUUCUACUGCUAAGAACAAGCGCGGCCUUAAAUUGAAUUGUUUCAGUCACUACUCCUCCAUUGUAAAUAGAGGAUACCGCUUUCAAUAUUUAUUUCUAGAAGGAGAAUGGAAAACAGAAAAUGGCAUUAAAAGAUCCUAAUUUAACAUUUCCAUAGAGCAAAAAUGUUAAAAAAAGAGAGAGGAUAGAUUAAAUUUGAAAACAGAGGCAUGAGAAAUGCAUUGCCUUAACCAACCUUCUUUGACUGCUGGUUUCCUCUUUUGCAGCAACUUGUUCGUCCCUGCUACUAUUGUUUGUACUGCCAGUAUCACUAGCAUAAUGCCUUUGCAUUGCACUUUGAGCCAGCCGGAACAAGCUAUCCCGAAUACAAAGUCUAAUUCUGACAUCCAACUGUUGUAAAACAUUGGUUUGGAAUCGUAACCAAGCACAAAUUAUUUAGCAGGGAAAGAAUGCAAUAGUACGUGAAGCAUACCUUUGAAAUAAUAUCUUGAAGCCUGUAGAGUACUGUGUCCUCCAUUGAAUAAUCAUUAACCGCCAGAGAGACUGUAUUGGAAUCGUCUUGCUCAAUAGGUGAGUUUGGGUCAAAUGAAGCAAGUGUACUUAGAUCCUCUACUUCAAGGUCAGCUCCUUCAACAUGCUGAAUUUGAUUUUCUUGGGAACACUUUUGAUGAACAAGCUGCUGCUGCUGUUUCUGAAUGGCAAGCAUUGCCUGAAUUUGUUGCCGCCUCAAUUUUUCAAUCUUUUCCUGAGGUGUCAUUCUCUGGGGUUUCACUGGACAGUCAGCUAACUUGUUUAUAGGAUUUGCAUUGCCUGAAACUUCAUAACCAGAAAUUUUAGGUCGAUGAUUAAAUGACUAGAAAUUUUGUUGGGAAGUCAGAAAACUUUAACAGGAUUCGCAUUACCUGAAGAAACUUCAUAACCAGAAGCUAAAGGUUGAUGCUUAAAAUCCCCAGACUGAAUGUGGGACAACCCAGGCAUAGAAUAUGGAUUUGUAGUACUCCCGUAUGCAGAAGGGGCCACAAAUGGAUUGGAUAUCUGCUGGUACUGCAACUGCUGGUACAUCUAUAAUCAAAGUAAAAGGCCAAGAUUCAAAAUAUCCAAAAGAAAUAUUACCUACUUAUAUGCCAAAAAUGGCCAAAACUCUGAAUCCUGAAUAUGUGAAUCAAAGGUAUCUCUAACUGAUGCACCAUCAGCAGUCUCCUAUUUUGACUUGUGAUUAAUGACCUAGCAGUUCACUUCAACAACAUCAUUGAAAGGUCCCUAGUGAACAUAAGUUUGAAUUUCAGACCCAGCAAGAAGAAGUUCAUUUUCCAGUAGGCAUGCAUAUCACCUUUUUAUCAAUAUCCAUGGAAGACAAAAACCAAGCAAUAUCAAGUUUUUUUCUGCUGGAUAUCCAAUAAAAAAUACCUCAAAGUGUGAACAUCUUUAAGAAGGAGGAUAUCGCAUUGCACCCCAUCAACUGAUCCACAAAUAAAUUGGCAUUUUUCCAUCAGUUCCAAGCUACUUUGUAAGGAAAAGGGAGGGAAGUGCCUUCAAAGAUACCUUCUUCAUAGCUUCUUUAGAUAUGAAUCCACACGACUUUCGUAAUCACCAAUCACUAUGCGCACCUUCUCUUAUCAUCACAAGUUCCCAAGAAAAAUUAUAUUCUUCCCUCCUCCAGCCCUUUCCCUACAUAUUUCCACCAGCUUCAUAGCAAUGCGGCCCGUGAAAACGACUCCCAAAUUAAAACACUUGAGAAGCUCUAAUAGUUUUCCACAAAGACCUACUUUUCUUAUUAUUUCUUCACUCUAUAUAUGUCAGUGUGCCAUAUUCAAAUACUACUGAUCGAUUCUUCCUCCUCACAACCACUCACUUUCCCCUAAAUCCCAUACCACAACCACUCCUUAAUCUUCAACUAAAUCAAUAUCUCUCAUCACUUAUGAAAACUCCAUCUAAUUUCCAAAUGAAUCACACCAUUUGAACACUUUGCCAAUUCCUAAUUCCUUCAAAAUUUUCAUCCAUUAAAAAAAAAACUGCAAGUCAUACUUUUUCACUUUAACACAGUUCUCCUUAUAAUCAAUCUUCCAAAAUAACCAUACUAUUGCCUCUAAAUCUGGCACGCAAAGCUUCUACAUAACCUUCCAACGUUACUUCUUGCCGCCCAACAAGGGCGGCGGCAUGCAUGGGCUAGGGUAGGCUCUAGUACAGGUCAAGAUUUUAUCAAUAUUUUUGUAUUAGUUUUAUGUAAAGAAAAUAUGAUGCUUUAGUUUGGGUUAAAAUUUCAGAAUUUUUAAAGAAAUUCAGAAAUUUGAUAAAAAAAAUCAUAAUUUGACCAGUUUUACGUUAUUGAGUGUAAUUUUUAAUCUGAUUAUCAGAUUGAGCUAAAAUUUUACGAGGGAUCUUAAAAUAUAUUGAAUAAAAUCUGGUUUAAAUUUUAGAAUGAACAGAGUUUGGUAGUGCUAACAAAAAAAAAACAUCAAAUAAAAGCAAAACGACUCAUUAAAGGUAAAAUUGUUAUUUGCCAUUAAAAAAUAAAACAAAUCAGUUCUUCCUUCCUUUAUAUGUUGCCGACUGGGCAGAAGCAUAAUAGAAAAUGAAAGAAAAGAAAAGGCGAGAGAGAAAGAGAGAAAAAUAAGGGAAAAACAUAAAAAAAAUCCUAGAAAAAAAGAUAAGAAAAGUGAGAAAAUAACCGUGUAAACUUACAAAGUCCAACUUAUAAAAUAUUAAUCUAAGUAAGAAUCAAGUGAAGAAAAGAGGAAUUGAGAGAGAAACAAAAUUUAAUUACUCUAUUUUUAAUUAAUAUAAAAUUAUUAUUUUAUCCCGAUUAAGAGAUUGCUACAAACUCCUCAAAGUACUCAAAGAGGGACAUAAAUUGGUUAAGCCAACAUUUUUCAUUCUUCUAUUUUCACGCUGGCAUUCUGUUACAAAUACUAACUGAAAGAGCGGAUAAAAGAACAACUUCCAAUUAUCAAGCAAUAGCCAACACGUGGCAAGAUUCUCAGCUAAAUAAAAGAAACACCAACAUUUAAACGAUGUGUCUGGGUGGUAAUUGAAACGGUGUGUUUUGUGACACAAUACCCCUACAAUCGUCUAACAGCCAUGCGGUGCAUUUAGUAGGAUUCAAACAUCUUGCAACGGUCACUAGAUUCAAAUGCUCUCCAUCCUCGCCUCCUCCCCUUGAUGAUUCUUUUGACCCUGCAAGUUCUGUGACAAUCUCUCUCUCUCAAUUAAAUCUAGCAAAAUUUAUUCUUUCCAACUUUAUUUGUUUUGACUGAAAAAUAAUCUUUUAUUUUUGUACUUCACAGGCAUGUGGUGGCAAAAGUCGAGCACUAUAUAUAUAUAUAUAUAUUCCUGAAGAUACAUAUGGCUGGUGAUUAGCGGAUGAUGGUGCCAUUAAGACUCUUGGUGUGUACCCUCAUCCUUUCUGCUUAUAGUUGAGUCCAUUUGCAGCUUCAAUGGCUACUAUCAGUUGCUUUGGAACCUGAUAUCACUAGUCUCAUUAUGGUACAGACAAGCUCAGGAUGAUCAAUCCUUGAGAAUCCACAUCCAACCAGAAAUAAACCGAAUUUCGAGCAUAAAUGACUCGAACUCGCUGGAAUGCUUUGGCACCUCCUUCAAUCCUAGUUUGGGAAACAGAAACACUAUCACCAUUAGUUUUCACCGAGGAAGACAGCACCCCCAUUCUCUCCUGCUGUGCUGAUGAUGGGGCAUGAGAGAUAGUCCAAAGGAUUUGCCUCCCUCCUGCCGCAAGCAAUUAGAAUGGUUAUCACCAGACCUAUAAGGAUCAGUUUUUCUUUUCGGACUGAAAAAAACAUGAAGAGAGAAGUCACCAUAUGUGUACCUAGCCGCAGAGACAGCUGUUUCAGUGCUGGGGAAAACUCCAGGCUCUGAUAAAUCUUUGGCAGAUCGUUCUGUGGCGAACGAGGGCGGUGGUAUACUGCAAACUCAAAAGCAAUUUGUGACACAGAUUACUCAAAAUUAUGCCACAAGUGUCAAGGGUGUAAAUCUAUCAUGAAAUCAUCACGUCGUUGUUUUCCACUCGGUAUAAAAAAGAAGUCACACGCCUUAGAGGUUAAAUAAAUUUAUGAAGUUCACCAGCAUAAUUCACACUAAUUCCCCUCUCCAACUUGCACCUCAUCAAUUUUUAUACCUUUACUCUCGAACGAAAAUAAUAAUAUCUAAGUUAUUAAACCCAACUUGAAUUAUAAUUCAAGCAGUGGGUUAACAUAAAUCAAUACAAAGUGAUGUGACUUUUAAGAGUUUUUUGAAAAAACAAAUUAAAAUGAUGUGAAUCUUUUUUAAAUUAAACUGAGUUUUAAUUGAUUAAAUAAGUUGGAUUACACCAGUCAAAUCCUAUCCGAUUUAAUUUAAAAUCCAAUCCAAUCUCUUAACUUACCUUGAGUUGGGUUAACACUAUUAUUGACAGACCAAAUUCUCAAUCUUUAUUUAUUAUAAUCACGAUCCAACUCAUUAAUUUUAAAUGGGCCUACAAAACCUUCAACUUGCCAUAAAAAAUAAAACUUCAUACUCAUACUCAUUAGCGGUUCUGCAUCCUAUUUUAUAAAAGACACUCCAACAUAAUUAAAGUAGUAUUUAAUAUUUUGGUAGUAAUUAUUCUUUAAAGUAUUUUUUAUUUAGAAAUAUAUAUAAAUAAUUUUUAUUUUUUAUUUUUAAAAAUUAAUAUUUAACAUUAUAUAUUAAAACAAUCUAAAAACAUAAUUUUUUUAAAAAACUAUUAUUAUUUUAAAAAAACUGUAUCACCAUACAAACAAAUCCAAAAACACAAUUAUUUUAAAAAAAUUAUAUCACCGUAAAAACAAAUAAUUUUUAAGAGUGACAGUGAGCAACAGAAAUAAACCAUGGCAGAAACUAAAAACACCUUUAAUGAAAAUUGCGCUUCGAUUCACAACGUUUUCAUCCUUGACCAAUGCUCGACAAAGUAGACGAUGGGUCAAAAUAGGGCUAAUAUGCUGUGUAUGUUUGAUAAUGCAGUGAAUAUAAUUUUCUAAAAAUAUUUUUCGAUUAAUAAAAUAUUUCUUAAAGAAAUUUUCAAUAAUUUUGUUAAGAAAUUUGCGUGGACAGACAUUUUAAAGAAUGAUGCUAAAUUUGGUGUUACAUAGGCAGCUGCUGGCUCCUCUUGUAUCUUUUGGGGUUUGGCAUCGUUUGUUUCCUGCCGUUGUCUAUUCUCCGGUCGUCGAAGCUGACUGCAAUCCUCUGACUCUGUUCUCAUAGUCAGAUGCUUCCUCUGUUUUCUCCUGGCAUUAAAAUUACAGCUGACCUUCAAAUCUUAUUGAUGAUAUGCCUUUGGUCAUUUUCAUGAAUGGUGCUUGGUGUUGUCUUCUAGUGUUUGCAGUACUGAAUAUGAAAUGAGCUACGCCUGGUUACUCAAUUCAUUAACCUCCCUACUUUUAAUUAUAUAUAUAUAUAUAUAUAUAUAUAUAUAUAUAUAUAUAUAUUUUCUAAUCCAAGUAAAAUGAAUUAUAUUAUUUUUUAAAAUAAAUUUAAUCUCAAAUAAAAAUUUUACUUUCUAAAAUAAAAUAUGAAUUAUAUUAUUUUAAAAAUUUGCUUGAGUUACAUGAGGUUUUAUGGCAGCCCAGUAACGGACUCUUAGCAGAAUACCAGGCUGUUAGGCCUCCCUUUUCAUCAUUUUGAGCUUUACCGGUUACGCUUUUUUUGAGGAUGAAUAUUCUUAUUUAUUUUAUUUUUUCAACUUAAGGAUGAACAGUAUGUUUAUUAAAGACUGCAUUAACAGCCGGCUGCUAUUUUGAGUUCUGCGGGGCUUUUUGGAAGUGCCUUCCGUUUAGGGAAAAUUUGGAUUUUUUAUUUAAUUUUUUUUUACAUAAUGUUUAAAAUAAUUUUAAAAAAUAAAAAAAUUAUGGUAAUGUAUUUUUACUUACUUUAAAAAUCAUCCACUUGAUUAAUGGGCAUUAGCUGUUUAACACCACAUGGUAAAAACUUCGGGUUCCUUCCCUACGUACCCUUUUCCUCACUGGUUCUACAAUGUCUCUGGGUGGGUCCAUCUGUGCAAGUGCCUUGUAAAAUUGCCUUAUUCAGUAGUAUUUGUAAUUUUGUGUAGAGCUGGUAUCAUUCUUUGAAAUCAUAGUUAUUACGUCAUUGAGUUAACUCGUGUGUUAAUUAUAGGAUCAAUCAUUUUACUUUGUUUUUUUUCUUUAAAAAGAACAAAAUUUCUUGUAUUGACCUCAGUGUAUUUAGAUAAGAUUUUAUCAGUACAGUUGGGUAAUUAAGAAUCUAGUUGAGUCAAAUGGUUUUUGAUCAUAUUAAUGUUUUUUCUAGUUGAAUUUUAAACAUGAUCUAGAUUAGACUCUAGAUUAUGAAUUCCAUGUAUUAACUCACCAUCAAAUUUAACAGCUUUGCUAUAUUUUGGAAUAACAUAUAUAUAAAUAAAAAAAUUAAUAUAUUUUGAAGUAAAAUAUAUUUUUAAAACAUAUUUAAAAAAACAAACAAUAUUUUACUCACAAACAGAUAAUCCUAUUGCAUCUUAAACUCCAAGUUUCCAACAAUGAGUACCCCCAACUAAACAAUAUCUACAUUCAAUUAGAACUUGUGGUAUAGUUACCUGACAGCGAAAUAAAAAAGAAGAAGUAGGAACCCCCCUGGAUCUAGGAAAUUUCUAUUAGACCUGCAAACUGAGGCCGUAACGAGCUUUGGAUCUACACACAGGGAAGAGUAAUUUCAAUAGACCAUGAUCCAAAUCAACGGCUGAAAUCUAAUAACUCAAGGGAUAGUGACACGUUGCCAGGAGUGGAAGACAGCUGGUCUCCAGUACGAAGAGAAACAGCAACGUUUUUGUUGUUUAAAAUGGAGUGUUUGUCUUCAUUGUUUCAUGGGAAAUGGGCUGAUGUCAGAUGGAGAAAUUUCUGUGCCGAUCCACUGGAGAGAGAGACUUCUUCAACCACCAAUCAAAUUAUUCUUAUUGACUUUCUGUGCAGUUUGGCACUUUCCUUCGCUCAUUCUCUCUUUGCACCACAAACACUUGGUAUUUUAAAAAGAGAAACUAAGCACGGUUUUGCUGUCAAAGUUGUUGUUUUCGUAUUUUAAAAGAGUUUUUUUAAAAAAUUAAUUUGUUUUUUAUUUUUUAUCAAUUUUUUAAUUGUCUCCAUAAUAGAAAGAUACCAUCCCCACAAUACAAAACUCUUAAAAAAAAAGAUACCUGUCGUUGUGCUGUUUUAUCGAUAUCACAAGCCACGCGAGUAGCGUGAUUAGAGUGAUUUUGUAUGGGACCCAGUUGUGACAUCAGCUGCUUUUGUGUUUUUUCUUUCAAUCACAGCUUGAUAGUAGGCAUGGCAUGAUUGAUGAUUGAUGGGGGGAGGGGAAAUGGGAGCCACACGAUCCAUUUCAUGGUUGGUUGGUUUUUUUAUUAACGUGGUUUUACUGUCGGUUUGCUUCUAUUUUAACUAAUUUUACAAAUCUAAAAUAUAACUAGUUAACCUGCUGUUGUAUUAUUUUAUUUCACGGUUGUUUCUUGCUUGUGGAAGAUCAUGUCAUAACGGAUCUUACGGGAUCGAUACCUUGCUCGGUGUUGAUUUACUACAAUGGCUGCACGUGAACCCGUCCACCAGAACAAAUCCCAACCAGUGUCCGUCUAUCACACUCAAAUUAAUUUGAGAUUUCUGUUCCAGUGCCUCCAGAGAAGAGUAUAGUUGUUAAUCAUCUUUUAUUUUUGUGUUUUAUAAUUUUUUUAGGGUAAAUUCUCAUAUAACUUAUCAUAAUAUCUAAUCUCUACAAACCGACUGCAUCAUUAAAUUUAAUUUUCUUGAAAUAUUUUUUAUGAACAAGCUCCCAUUGCUGUUUCUGAUGACAAGCAUUGCUUAAUUUGUUAUUGCCUCCUUGAUUUUAAAUAUAUAUUUAAAAAUUAUAAAUCAUUUACAUAUAUAAAUUUGGAUACCGAGGUUAAUCAUGUUGGAUAAUAUCACUUCCACCUCCAUAUCCAAACAAGUAAGGUUUUUUUUAUCCAUCAUUAUGGAACAAAAAUCCCUCCAUAUUCACUUUUAUUCAGGUAAAUGGAUGUGAACGGGUUCAAUUGUCAUUUCUAAAAUUAAUUAAGCCCAAGUUAUCGAUAAAUGUAUUAGGAAAUCAAGUUUUUAUUAUUUAUUAUGAUUUUUAAUAUAUUUAUAUAGUAAAAUCCCUCGUAUAUAUAUUGAAUGCUCUUUCUCCAUCAAAGCUAAUGGAAAUGUGUAUAAAUUAUCAUUUUCUCCCCCAUUUAAGUUUUUGACAAUCAAUCGAUGGUUUGAUAGCAUUUAAUAUAUAGAUCACUGACCUGCUGGUGAGCAUUACCAAGCAUGUUCUGCAGCCGAAGCUAGAAAGACUACCUGCUGAGCAGAAGCAACAACUGGUGGAUAAGUAUAAGAUGGAAGACAAACAGGUAUUAUAUAGCUCUGAGGUGUGAUGGCAAAGAUUGAAUAACAUUAUAAAGGGGACAUACUCUUGCUUUCAGCAUCCUCGUGUGGAUUUAACUAGCACUCAUCUCAUUUCACAUUCACAGGCCUCCCUGUUCCCAGAAAUUAGCUCAAUGCUCCUUUUAGUUCCUCAAGAUUUAAUUUUGGUGGAAUCUAAUUAAUAACAGAUAAAAGCAACAUUCAUAAGCAGAUUGUUUCAGAGCUCUUAACUGCAAGUUCAGGGGAAAUGCAUUUAAGCCUGGAACGGUGCGGGGCCUGUAUCUACGUUUAUGCCUAAGAAUAGUUUCUCUUAAGUUAUGAUUAGAAGUAUAAAUUUGAAGUCACAAGCUAGCAGUGAUGGUGAAUUGUGUUUGAACUCUUUGCAUUUCAUCAUCCUCUACUGCCAUGACACGUCCUAGAUGACUGGAUGCUGUGGAUGUGACCUGGACCAUAGCCAUGACAGUCUCCUUUCCUACCCUUUUCCUCGCUGGUUCCUUGACAUCUUCGGGUGGGUGCAGGUGCCUUGUUAAAUUGUCUGAGUCAUUAUCGGUAAUUUUGUGCAGAACUGUUAUUAUUCUUUGAAAUCAGACCGGGUUCGAGGAUCGAGUAUAAAAGAAUUUGGAAUCAUUUUAUUAAAAUGAUUUUUUUAAAAACAAAUUCCUUAGUAUUUAUUUAAUCAAGUUUAAAUCAGAUUUUUAUCUGGUCAAAUAAAUCAUUAAAAAUUCAAUUGAGAUAAUAAGAUUUUAUCAUAUCACCAUUUUUUCUAAUUCAAUUUUAAACUUGGUUUAUAUCAAUAUUUGGAGGAUGUGCUCUCCAUAUGAAAUCAGUAUGCAGGAAAGAGUUUAAAAACUAUACUAUAUAUAGAAAAAAUAUUUUGAAAUAAAAUGAUAUAUAUAUAAAACCCUCAAGGUCUAGGGUCCACCGGUGAAAGCAUGAAGUGAAGGGUUCUUCUGCAUUAUUAGCACAAGUGAAAAGAAAGAUUAUAUUGGGCAUAUAAUAAAGUUAUUCCAACCAAACCCUCUUUUUCGACCGAUGGGGUCUCUUGGCAAAUAAAUCAAGGACAGACCGAUGGGGUCUCUUGGCAAAUAAAUUAUAAUUAAUUUUUUUUUGGAGUGAUUUUUUAUCUUUUGAUUAUGUAAAAUUUAGUAUUUUGUUUUUCCUUUAGCUUCUGCAAUUUGAUAUUUACGUUCAAUUUCUAUAAUUUGUGUUGUGUUUUGGAGUAAUCAUAUAAUUUCGAGAAUAUAUUUAUUUAGUUUCUGCGAUAUCUAUUCACUUUCUGUAAUUUGAUACUUUAUUUUUCGUUGCUUUUGCUUUCUGUUUUUUUAUUUGUUAAUUAUGGCUACCGAAAUAGAUGAUUCGUUUCAGUCUGUGAGAGGUUGGAUGAAAAUAAUUAUUCGUACUAGUAAUGAGAAAUUUCUUUAAGGGUAAGAAGAUGUGGGUGUAUGUUAGUGGAACUUAUAUGAUACCCAAGAAUACCGAGAAAAGUGAUGUUAUUUUGAUAGAUAUAUGGGAAGCAAAUAAUACAAAGAUUAUUAUUUGAAUCAACAAUUCUGCCGAGCAUUCUAUAGGUAUAUAGUUGGCGAAGUAUGAGACAACAAAGAAGAUUUAAAAUCAUCUGCAAAGAUUAUUCAUGCAAUCAAAUUUUAUAAAGCAAUAUAAUACCCCCAAAAGUCAUGGUAGUAAUGAAUAUUUGAUUUUUUUUUAAUGAAAACUAGAGAACUAUAUUAGAAGAAAAAAACCUGCUAUUUAGGAUUAAUUAAUUGCUUUAAUUCAAUUCUUUCUAUUGACAUUGAUACCAAACAUGUUAAUUCAUAAUAUAAUCAAGUAAUUCAAUUCAAAUUUACUAAUACAAUUCAACUCCACUUAAGCCUUUGAAUAUAGCCAAAUGCAAAGGUUAUUAAAGUGAAGGAUCUUAAUAAUUUUUAUGCUUUGCAACCCUAGGAGCCACACAAAAUAUAAUGUGUUUAGACCAUAUUUAUUUGCUGAAAAGUAAUUUCUUUUUAUAAAGAGAUUUUAUCAUAAGUGAAUUAUUUUUUUAUAUUUGAUAAUACCAUGAAAAAUAAGUUGGAAAAUAUCUUUUAAUAUUUAAUUAUGUCAUGAAAGAUGAGGUGAAAAAUAAUUUUUUUAUUUUUUAUUUUUUUUCAAGUUUAUUAAAAGAAUGAGAAACAAGUCUUACAUAUAAAAAUAUUAAAGGAGGAUGAAAUUGGAAAAAAAAUUUAUUUUCAUAAACUAUUUCAAAUAAAAUAAAUAACAAUAAAAAGAAUUAGGACCAAAUCUGAUAAAUAAAAAAAUUUAAUUAAAAAAAGAUAAGAUAAAAGAAAAUAAAAAUAAAAAUAAAAAGAAUGAGAAUCAAAGUUGAUAUAAAAAUAAGAUUAAAUCAAAUUAUACGGGAUAGAAUUGAAAAAAAAACAUUCAAAACAAAAUGUAUAGCAAUCAAAAGAUUAAGGACUAAAUUGGAUACAAUCAAUAAAUAACAAGAUAUUUUUAAAUUUUUUACAAUUUCUAGAAAAAUUUUUCAGUCCAAAAUAAAUAUAAAAUAAUUUUCUAGAAAUCAAAUCAAAUUUAAUAUUUUUUAUUUUUAAAAAAUGAUUUUUAAUAUAAAAUAUCAAAAUAAUUAUAUGUAAAGUAAUAUAAAUAAUGUUUUUUUCAUUUUAAAAUAUUAAUAUAUUAAAAUAAUAUGAUAACAUAAAAAAAAUAUUAAAUUAAAAUAAAAAAAAUAAUUUUAAUAUUUUUAAAAUACGUUCAAAAAGAAAUUCCAAACACUAGCAAUAUGGGUGCUUCAUAAGAAAGAUCGAAGGUGACAUUCAUUAUAACUCUACUGCCCCACAUCUCUCUCCUACCUGCAGCAACCACUAAUAGAAUGUUCAUGGCGUCUUCUUCUUCUUCUUUGCCUAGACCUGGUUGGGUUUACGAUGUAUUUCUAAGUUUUAGAGGUGAAGAUACUCGCAAAAAUUUUACGGAUCAUCUUUACACUGCUUUACUCCAAGCAGGAAUCCAUACAUUUCGAGACGACGAAAAACUUCGUAGAGGUGAAGAAAUCUCCUUCCAACUCUCCAAAGCAAUACAAGAAUCCAAGAUUUCUAUAGUGGUUUUCUCUGAGGGCUAUGCUUCCUCCACUUGGUGUCUUGGUGAACUUCAAAAGAUUCUUGAUUGCAGACACACAACUGGGCAGAUUGUUCUACCUGUUUUCUAUGAUAUCGAUCCUUCUGAUAUUAGAAAGCAGACGGGGAGUCUUGCUGAAGCCUUUGGUAAACAUGAAGAAAGUUUUAAGGAAGAAAUGGAGAAGGUCCAAAAGUGGAGAAAAGCUCUUUUGGAGGCUGCAAAUUUAUCUGGGUUGGAUCGUCGCAGUAUCGCAAAUGGGUGCUUCUUUUCUUUCCCUAUAUCGAUAGCAAAUGCUUAUAACUUUUACUCUUAUUACAUUUUGCAUUUUAAAUUUGCAUUAAAUUCAAAAUAUUAUCUUUCAUCGAUGAGUGAUGACUUUCUUUUUCUAUGCACAGGCAUGAGUCAAAAUUAAUUCAAAAGAUUGUCGAAGACGUUUCAAGUAUUUUGAAUCCCAGAAACAUAAACGAUAGGUUGCUGAAGAGGUUGAAGACAACAAUGAUAUCUGGCAAUGGGCUGCUUGACGAUGCUGAGGAGAAGCAGAUAACAAAUAAAGCUGUGCGGGAUUGGCUGGCCGAGUAUAAAGACGCUGUCUAUGAAGCCGACGACUUCUUGGAUGAGAUUGCUUAUGAAGCUCUACGGCAGGAGUUGGAAGCUGAAGCACAAACCUUCAGAGAUCAGACGCAGAAGCUUCUUUCUUUCAUUAACCCACUUGAAAUAAUGGGGUUGAGGGAGAUAGAAGAAAAAUCAAGAGGCCUCCAGGAGAGUCUAGAUGACUUAGUAAAACAAAAGGAUGCCCUUGGUUUGAUCAACCGCACUGGUAAAGAACCAUCAUCGCAUAGAACACCAACAACUUCUCACGUGGAUGAAUCUGGUGUUUAUGGUAGAGAUGAUGACAGGGAAGCAAUACUGAAGUUGCUUCUAUCAGAGGAUGCAAAUAGAGAAAGCCCGGGUGUCGUCUCCAUAAGGGGAAUGGGCGGGGUUGGUAAAACCACGCUUGCUCAGCAUGUAUACAAUCGCAGCGAAUUACAAGAGUGGUUCGGUCUCAAAGCCUGGGUUUAUGUUUCAGAAGAUUUUAGUGUUUUGAAGUUAACCAAGAUGAUCCUUGAGGAGGUCGGUUCAAAGCCUGAUUCUGAUAGUCUGAAUAUUCUCCAGCUUCAGUUGAAGAAGAGAUUGCAGGGAAAGAGAUUUUUGCUUGUUCUAGAUGACGUUUGGAAUGAAGAUUAUGCUGAGUGGGACAAGUUGCUUACCCCCCUGAAGUACGGAGCACAAGGGAGUAAGAUUCUUGUCACAACACGCAAUGAAAGUGUAGCAUCAGUCAUGCAAACUGUCCCAACUCAUCAUCUAAAAGAAUUGACGGAAGACAGCUGCUGGUCCUUGUUUGCCAAACAUGCAUUUCGUGGUGAAAAUCCCACUGCUCAUGAAGAGUUGCUAGAAAUUGGUAGAGCAAUAGCGAGAAAGUGUAAAGGCCUUCCUCUAGCUGCAGUAACACUCGGAGGUCUGCUACGCACCAAAAGAGAUGUAGAGGAGUGGGAGAAGAUAUUGGAAAGCAAUCUAUGGGAUUUACCCAAAGACAAUAUCCUCCCAGCUUUGAGAUUAAGUUAUCUUUAUCUCCUGCCACAUCUGAAGCAAUGUUUUGCUUAUUGUGCUAUAUUUUCAAAAGACUAUUCAUUUCGAAAGGAUGAAUUAGUGCUCCUGUGGAUGGCAGAGGGCUUCUUAGUCCACUCUGUAGACGAUGAGAUGGAAAGAGCAGGUGCUGAGUGCUUUGAUGAUCUCUUGUCAAGGUCGUUUUUCCAGCAAUCAAGCUCAUCAUUUGUGAUGCACGAUCUCAUGCAUGACUUGGCUACCCAUGUGUCCGGUCAAUUUUGCUUCAGCUCCAGGUUGGGGGAAAAUAAUUCUUCCAAGGCCACCAGAAGGACUCGACAUUUAUCACUCGUAGAUACGAGAGGCGGUUUUUCAAGUACAAAAUUAGAAAACAUCCGUCAAGCCCAACUUCUACGCACAUUCCAAACUUUUGUACGCUAUUGGGGUCGUUCUCCUGAUUUUUAUAAUGAGAUCUUUCAUAUAUUGUCAACACUUGGGCGCCUACGUGUGCUAUCCUUGUCUAACUGUGCCGGUGCAGCUAAGAUGCUUUGUUCAACUAGCAAGUUGAAGCAUUUGCGGUAUUUGGAUCUCUCUCAGUCAGAUUUAGUAAUGUUGCCUGAAGAAGUGAGUGCUCUUCUCAAUUUGCAAACGUUGAUCUUGGAAGAUUGCCUCCAACUUGCUAGUCUACCUGAUCUUGGAAAUUUGAAGCACUUACGACAUCUGAAUCUUGAAGGAACAGGAAUCGAAAGGUUGCCUGAAUCUCUGGAAAGGUUAAUCAACUUGCGGUAUCUUAACAUCUCAGGCACGCCUUUGAAAGAGAUGCUACCACAUGUGGGUCAACUGACAAAGCUCCAAACGUUGACUUUCUUUCUCGUGGGAGGACAGAGUGAGACUAGCAUUAAAGAAUUGGGAAAGCUACAACAUCUACGGGGACAACUUCAUAUUAGGAACCUUCAAAACGUGGUGGAUGCUCGGGAUGCUGCUGAGGCAAAUUUGAAAGGUAAAAAGCACCUUGAUAAGCUGAGGUUUACAUGGGAUGGUGACACUCAUGACCCGCAACACGUAACAAGCACACUUGAGAAAUUAGAGCCAAAUAGAAAUGUGAAGGAUCUUCAGAUUGAUGGUUAUGGAGGUGUAAGAUUUCCGGAGUGGGUAGGAGAGUCCUCUUUCUCAAAUAUAGUGUCCUUGGUGCUCAUUAGCUGUAGAAACUGCACCUCCUUACCACCGCUCGGGCAAUUAGCUUCUUUAGAGAAACUCUUAAUUGAAGCAUUCGAUAAAGUUGUAACUGUGGGCUCUGAGUUUUAUGGGAAUUGUACUGCUAUGAAGAAGCCAUUUGAAUCCCUCAAAAGAUUAUUUUUUUUAGAUAUGCGAGAGUGGUGCGAGUGGAUUUCAGACGAAGGCAGCCGGGAAGCCUUCCCUCUUCUUGAUGAGCUUUACAUAGGAAAUUGCCCCAACCUUACAAAAGCCCUACCCAGUCACCACCUUCCACGUGUAACAAGACUUACAAUUAGUGGAUGUGAGCAGCUUCCUAGGUUUCCUAGGUUGCAGUCUCUCUCUGUUUCUGGAUUCCACUCCCUAGAGUCGCUCCCCGAGGAAAUUGAGCAAAUGGGUUGGUCACCCUCUGAUUUAGGGGAAAUUACAAUCAAGGGCUGGGCUGCUCUCAAAUGCGUCGCACUGGACUUGUUCCCCAAGUUAAAUUCUCUUUCUAUCUAUAACUGUCCAGAUCUCGAAUUACUAUGUGCACAUGAAAGACCUCUCAAUGAUCUCACCUCUCUACAUUCUUUGAUAAUCCGGGAGUGCCCUAAAUUAGUUUCAUUUCCCAAAGGAGGAUUACCUGCUCCAGUCUUGACACGACUUAAGUUACGGUAUUGCAGAAAGUUAAAGCAGUUGCCUGAGUGCAUGCAUUCCCUCCUCCCAUCCCUUUCGCAUUUGGAAAUAAGAGAUUGUUUAGAACUUGAGUUGUGUCCAGAAGGGGGUUUUCCUUCCAAAUUACAAUCACUUGAGAUUUGGAAAUGUAACAAACUCAUUGCAGGCCUCAUGCAAUGGGGCUUGCAAACGCUCCCUUCUCUCUCACGUUUUACAAUUGGUGGCCACGAAAAUGUUGAAUCCUUCCCUGAAGAGAUGCUUCUGCCCUCAAGUCUUACAUCUCUUCACAUCUAUGACCUAGAACACGUGAAAUCUCUUGACUACAAGGGGCUUCAACACCUCACCUCUCUUACAGAAUUGGUGAUUUCUAGCUGCCCUCUGAUUGAGUCAAUGCCAGAAGAAGGGUUGCCCUCCUCCCUUUUUUCUCUUGAAAUUAAAUAUUGUCCCAUGCUGAGUGAAAGUUGUGAAAGGGAGAAAGGUAAAGAUUGGCCCAAGAUUUCUCACAUUCCUCGCAUAGUUAUUUUCCCAACAUCAGCGGAGCAAAAAAGUAGCAGUUAAAAGGAGCUUUUCUUUCAAUCGUCCAACAUAUUGAGGUAUUGCUACUAAAGAGUUUAUUUUCUUUUCAGUAAUCAAAGGCAAUUUCAGUUAAAAUUUGUCAUGUUCCACUAUUAAUUCUAUGCUUAUUUUUGGCAGGAUCCAAAUCCAUCUUUCUACUUACAGUUCAUGAAGGCUCUGUCACCCUUCCUUCUUGCCAGAACGAUAUGCACAGGAUAAAAUUGAUCUGCUUGCUCCCUCAGCUAUGACUCAUUGUGAGCUUUUCCAUUUGAUGUUCUUUCUCAGUUACUCUGUAUUUCUCCACCAUUAUUAAUUCUUUGCAUUUUCAUGUCAGUAUUACCAAUUGCCCAUUUUCACUAAACAAGAUUGUUUUUCAAAUAUCAUUACGUAGCUAUUUGUGUAUUUUACAUAUCCUUUUCAUGCUCUUGGUCUAAAUCCUCUAUUGUUUCUUUGCAGCAUUCUGAUCCAAAUUUUCCUCUACAAGCAUGGGCGGCUCAUAAGUUUGGAUGAAUGAAAUACAGAUACUGUCCAUGUUGUAUGUUUUUAUUUGUUGGAUGUUGAUAUACAAAUUUUCUUCCCAUUGUCUCUCAUACAUCUUCUUUCUCAUUUUAAAAUGUUUAAUGAGUUCUUUAAAAUAACUAAUUUAUAAUUUUAUUAUUGACCAUGCUUUAUUGUAGGUCAAGUUAAGUUUUUCUUAAAAAUAAAAAAUUAUUUAAAUUGUGAAUGUUUUAAUUUUUUCUGGUAAAAAAAAUUUAAAUCGUGUGGUGAUAUAUUUGGUGUGAGUUGAUUCAAUUUGCAGUUUAAAAAACAACCUAGAUAACCAAUAAAAAUAUAAUUUAACUUAUAAAAAAUUUCAAGAUUACAUAUAUUUUUUUAAUAUUAAGAUAACAACAAAUUAAAUUGAUUUGGGUCAACUCAAGUUAACUUGUUAAAUUCAUAACUUGAAUUAUGAGACUAUGAUAACUAUGUAGAAAAUAAAUUAUUAAGUCUAAUUUUCAACCAACCAAAUAUUAAAAGAUAAAAUUAAAAUAAAUAAAUAAGCCAUUUGGAGAUUGACCUGAUGCGACUUAAUUGAUUUAGCUUGUUUGAAAGCAACCCUGACAACCAGUAAAAAUAUAGUCUGACUUAGAAAAAAUUUCAAAAUGACACUUUUUUUUAAUAUGAAGAUAACAAAGUAAUAGAUUGAAUUGGGUUAACCAAAGUUAACUUGUUAAAAUUUUUAUCCAGGUAUGAGACUAUGAAGUCUAAUUCCUAAUCAACCAAAUAUUGAAUGAUAUAAUUGAAAAAAUAAUCAAUUAAAAAAAUAAUCUAAAAAUAUGAAUUGAGUUAACUUGUCAAGUCCAUAGCCUUGGUUAUAAUAGAGAUAUAAUCUUAUAGAAAAAAAAUAAAAAUAAAUUAUGAAGUUCAAUCUUAAUUAGCCAAAUGUUGAAGGAUAAAAUUAAAAAAAAAGAAAUCAAUUUUAAAAAGAACAUAAAAAUAACUCAAGUCAAUCCACCAAACCCAUAACUAGCUCGUCAUGAGAUCGAAAUAAUCUUAUAAAAAAAUUACAUGAUUUAACUCAUUAAAUAUGUGACUUUGGUUACAAGACCGAGACAACCUCUUAAAGAGUGAAUAAAAAUAAAUUAAAAAGUGCAAUCCCUAAUUGACCAUGUCAAACCCGAUGUGAAUGAUGCAAUUUCUAGAAAUUUGAAUUAAAAAAUAACAUAAAAAUGAUUUAGGUCAAUUAGGGUUAAUCGGUUAAGCAUCAUUUUUAGACAAUGAGGCUAGGAUAACAUAAUAAAAACAAAAUCAAAACAAACCAUGAAGCUUAAUUCCUAAUAAAACAUAAUAUUAAAUAAUAAAAUUGAAGAAAAAAGAUCAAUAAAAAAAUUGAGUCAAUCGGGUUAACUUGCUAAGCUUGCGAGUUAGGUUAUGAAACAUAAAUAAUCCAAUAAAAAGCAAAUUCACUAUUGAAGGACUCGUGACCCAGAUCAUGAAAUCAAGAUAACCUCUUAUAAACAAAAUUAAAAAACAACUCAAUUUAAUUUGGAUUAAAAUGCCAAAACCCCCGUCUCUAAUCAUGAGACUAGGAUAACCCUGUAGAAAAUAAUUUGAAAUAGAUUAUGAAGCUUUAUUCCCAACUGACUUGAUAUCGAAUGAUAAAAUUGAAAAAAAAAUUCAAUUAAAAAACAUAAAAUACAACUCGAGUCAACUUAGGUUAACUUUUUAAGUAUUAUUUCUGGGUUACGAGGUUAAAAUAAUCUAAUAUAAAACAAACAAAACAAAACAUGAAACUUAAUUUUUAAUUAAUCUAAUAUUAAAAGAUAAAAUUAUAAAAAUUAAAAAGUUAGCUAAAAAAAUCAAGUUAACCGAAUUAAUCCAUCAAAUCCACAAUUUUUAUUAUAAAAGUGAGACACCUUAAUAAAAAAACAUUCAUUAAAAAAAGCACUCAUUCAAAUAAUUGUAUAAAAUAUAAUAAUAUAAAGUAUAAUUUAUGAUUUAUUUAUUUAAUUUAUCAAUGAAAAGUGAUAGAAGGAAGAAGAGAAAAGAAAUAAAGUGAAGUCUUCUGCUGCAUUAUCAUAUCAUGUGAAAAGCUUCGCAUUUUGUGAAGUUUUUCCAAUCAAACCCCUUUUUUUAAAAGAUGUAAUUUCUAGGAAAAUAAAUCAAAGACAAACCGAGUAAAAUUCCAAAAGAAGAGAAAGAUGGAAUAGCGUUUCAGUUGCGGCUUGUAUACGUGUUUCAAAAAUAAUUUUUUUAUUUUAAAUUAAUAUUUUUUUUAAUGUUUUUAGAUUUUUUAAUUUGUUAAUAUUAAAAAUAAUUUAUAAAAAAUAAAAUAAUUUAUUUUAAUAUAUUUUUAAAUAAAAAACAAUAGAAACCCGUGACCCCUUAAAUGUACUCCUAAGCAUAACAAUUUAAGAGUUAAAGAGCCGAGAGAGAAAAAGCUUUUGCCAGUUCUUUACACAAAUUCUUUCCCCUUCUGUCAGCUGAACAAAAUCCCCUCUUCUUCUUCUUCUUGUUUGUUUACUCUUCCUUCGUUACUUUGCAAAGAGGAGAAACCAUGGCCGGGGCUUUAGUAGGAGGAGCUUUUCUUUCUUCUUUCCUUAAUGUUUUGUUCGACAGGAUGGCCUCUCCCCAGGUGGUUGCCUUCUUCAGAGGCCAAAAAGUCAACAAUUGGCUGCUAACGAGGUUGGAGACAGCAAUGACAUCUCUCAGGGUGGUGCUUGACGAUGCCGAGGAGAAGCAGAUAACAAACCAAUCUUUCCUGGGAACUUGCUUAGUUAAAGGAUUAUCCAUACGAUACUAUUUUUAUAUAUAUAGCAGUUUGUAAUGAAACGGUUGAAGACUAGCAAGACGACGACACAAGAGAACAGUUGGGUUCCGUAUGAUCAAGGAUCUGAUGGAGUGGUGAUUUCUUCAAAGAAGUUAGAUUCGGUGACUGUAAUUUCUCGAGGGAGAAUUGAUGAAGACCCUGAUAAUGGAAGAGAAAUACAGCAAGGGGAUAAAGAUUGACACCCUAUUUUGACUUGGAUAGGUGUUGUGACAUGAUGAGUUGCUGUCAAACAUAAGCAAGGAAUGGGGAGAAAUUUGGAGAACAGAAAUUGCACGAGGGCACAUGGAGAUUGUGUAGGAGUACCCGUGAUCCAACGAGGUACUGUAAUGAGACAACAGAUGCAAGGAGAAGAAGUGUUCCCGGAUGAAGCUCAAAGUAAAGAUUGUGAAAAGGAUGUACAACAGGAAGUCUCUUGUGCUCUUGAUGAAGACAACAGGCGAGGACCUUUCCAAUACAUGCAAGGAUAGAAAGAGAGCUAUUGCAGAGGCACCUAAUUGAGGGGGUGCGAACGCCUAUGAUAAAAGACGACCGCCUAUGAUGAAAGGCGAAGACACCAAAAAGAGUUGGUGUAGGUGGAGCUGUCAAGCAGAAAGGCGCAAAAGCUCCAAACAUAGAAAAUGAGAUGGAAGAUUGCGAGGAGUGUACCACAACUCUCUCUUUCUAUGUGUUCAAUGGAAGUGAUCUCUCCCAUAGUCCACAUGGUGGUAGAGAAUCUUAGAGCCACAUUGAAGCAUCUCCGAUGAAGGAGGAUGAGAACGCAUCAUGACGAGCGGAGACACCUCAGACAGAAAGUGUGCGGGCCACGAUAUGAGCCUAGUUCAGACCGCCUUAUGAUAACAGGCGAAGACACCUUAAAAAAGGUGUGAGAGCCACGAUAGGAGCCCCAGUUCAGAAUGCUCCAAAGCCAAUGUAAUGGUUGGAUAUGAGUGGACAAGUGUAUGGAUAGCCAAUGAAGUGGCUAUGAUGAGUAUGGAGACAAAUGCCAGAUUGACUUUCAUUGCCUCUAGGUUAAAGAUCAAUGAGCUAGAUAACAUAUGCCUUGGACAAUAAGUGGAUGACUUAUGGAGCAUUAAGACGCGACUGAUAAGAAUGAGCAGAGUACAUGCGCAAGUUCCGGGAAUAAGUUGACUCUUGUCAAGGUGGUGAGCUCGGUAAUGGCAUUGUAAUACUCAGAGUAUGAAGAAAGAUAUGGAUCAACCUUUAAUGGGCUGCCCCCAUGGUUAAAGGUGGAGAACUACCUGGACUCUUAGAACUAAAAGCGAGAGACUCAUGGAAAAGUAAGGUGUGGUUCCUAGAGUGGAACAGAGGGCAGACACAACUUCGGGAUGAGUAGAAUCUUGGAAGAGUGGUGAGCUCGUGAUCACAUUGAAAUACUCAGAUAAUGAAUGUCGCACUCGGAAAUAGAUAAUUCCAUUUGAGGGGGUGUUGUAAGCCUUGAUGUGAGGCUUGAUAAAUCAUUUCGGAUUGAGCAUGGUUAAUACGCUCGAAGGGGAAUUUUAUCCCAGAGACAAGCGUUAACACUCUUCAGAUGUAAUGUGACAGACCAUCUGGUUGUAGUGAUCCUUUUGUGUAAGAAAAGGUGUGCUUUGGUGACUCUGGUGAUUGAAAGGUUUGGCGAGUACCUGUAAACUUGGCCAAAGAUGCUCUCAGAAUGGUAAGCUUGGAAGAGUUGCAAGAUGCAAGCAUGUGCUGAAGAAGCAAGAGGACAAUUACCCACAUAAAUGGCAAAGGGGGUGAUUGUUAGAAUAUUACCAAUUAUGUGGCUGCCAUUGUCAAAGAAGAUGGCUGCCAUUGUCAAAGAAAAAAGGCCAACUUGUGAGAGUCAAAGAGAGUUGUUGAUGCAGCAUUUGCAGCCUUUUAACAUUGUCAAAGAAGGAGGCUAUAAUGGUGGGUUGUUGGUGGCAGCUGCUAAUGUCAAAAGAAGCUGCAACAACCAUUAACAAAGAGUAGCCACCAUUGUUGACAAAGGAGCAAGAGGAGUUGUUAUUGAAGCCUAUAAAUAGACACCAAGAGUGCAACACAAAGUGAGAGAGAGAGUCUUGUAGUAGAGCUACAAAAGAGAGAAGAAGAGAGAAAAAAAGAGAAGGGCUGCAACCAGCAGCCCUGCUGCCUUAUGCAGCUACUGCCCUAUGUAGCAAUGUGAGAUGGGAGUUGAGUGGAUGUGAUCCUCCUCCGUGUGUUGUAUUCUUUCUCUAUCUCUAAUAAUAUCGAUCUCUCCAGUGGAUGUAGGCGAUUUGCCGAACCACGUUAAAUAUUGUGUUAGUGUGCUUAGUCUCCUUUAAGCAAUGAUCAUGAACACCACCGUUCCGCAAGGGGGAGCAGAAAUCCCCAACAAUACAGAAGUUGCUUCUACCAGACGAUGCCAAUGGAGAAAACCCAGGUGUGGUUCCUGUUACAGGGUUAAAUUCGUCAGGCUGUAGGUUGACGAAAGUAUUGCUGGACAGUAGCUAUGAGGUGGCAGCCCGCAUGACGGUAGUGAAAAUCGGCAGCAUGCAACAGCAACGCAGCAGUGUGCUGACAAGAGCUGGAGACUUGGACUAUGGAUUGUCCAAGGCUCGAUGAAACAGUGCUGGAAUGACGUGAUGGGACAGUGUCGAAUUCGGCAGCAUUGAUGAGAUCAACAGCGUCGACAAAAUUGGCAGCAGGGGCUGACGAUAGGUCUAGGCGAUGGACAGUCCAUGACUGGACAUAAUACACUACUGGCAUGAAUGGCAGCACGCAUAGGUAGUGGCAACGUGCAUGGGCAGAUUCAGCAACAGUGUGCGUCAACGAUUCGACAGGACAUGGGUUGAUGUUCGACAGGAAUCCUAACUUAGACCAUGGACAGUCCAAGGCAUACAAACACCUACUCUGGCAGCGUGGAAGUUGGCAAAAGGGACAACUGGCUUGUUGGGUGGCAGGCUAUGGAAGAAGCAGCAAUUGCAGGCAAUUUUCGACAGUUAUCAGCAGUUUUCCAGGAGGCCAAACUGACCAGAACGUGGCCCAUGUCUUGGGAGGCAGUUAUGUUGUAUUAUUCCAUGUAAUAGGUUGUACAUAGGGUGUAGCAUGCAAUGUUCUGGUAGGCAGCAGAACACUUGUGCAUGGCACACACGCUAAUAAACUUGUGUAUCCUUUGUUGACGAGACUAAUGAAGGUUGGGAAUGUUUUCCUGUAAUAUCUUGUGUGCUUGGUUCUGUACAGCUUUGCUUGUGUAUUCCGCUUGUCUAUGUAAUGGGAGUGAGUGUGGGAAACCUCUUGGUGAGGGAAACACGAGUGAGGUGAGGGAAAGGCUGAGUCUAGCUAGUCAUCAACCUCCUGUCACGACCCGAUCCCCGGAUCCAUGACUGGCACAUAGGCAAGGUUCCCCUCCAAGGUUCCAUACCUAUGCGAACCCAAACUUACACACAAACUUAUCCUAACUCAAUUAGAGUUCAACGCAGCAUUAAUAACAAAAUCAACUUCAUAAUAUAAUUGAAUUGUCUUAAUACAAGAGUUUAUAUAAGUUCAGAGUUUUGGAGCACUAACUAGACAUAAAGGAAAGGUACCAAGUACAACCAAAAAGCAGGUUCUGAAGGUCCAACAAAAUGACCUGUUAUUAAGCUAUAAGCCUGAAAAGGAUAAAUAAUGAGAUGGUGAGUUCAACAACUCAGUGAGUAGAUAACGUUCAAUACACACACACAAGGUAAUACAGCAAUGAGAAAUAUAUAUACAAUUGGCUUUAGGUUCUUAUGGAAGUUUUCUCAAAUUGGCCAUAACAAGAAGAUCAUAUGGUAAAACUCGUCAGAAAAUCAAAAUGCAAUGAGCAUGAGGCUCCGUACUGUGGGAUGAUCAGUCCACACAGGUUGGUGACUCCCCCGACCAACUAGGGUUCAGAUACGAUGUGCACAAAGACUAACACUACCCUGUUAGCAUGGGUAUUCUGACUGACAUACCAUAGGUUUAUAAUCAUAAUCAAACAGACAUAUUCAUAUCUCAAGGCUCAACUCAUGACAUCAAUCAAAUGAGGAGCUAUCAAUUCAGAAGUCAAUUCAUAAUAUAUAUACUGGUUCAUAUCAAUAAUUCGGAUUCAACAAUUGAUCAUGCUUAUCAUAACAAGGAUAAUAAUCAACAUAUAUAUUAUCAAGAAGCAUGAUCCAAUUCAUAUUAACAAAUCAAAUAUUUAUAAUAUUUCUCAUGCAUAUGGAAAAUUAUCCACUCACCUGACUCAAAAGCAAACAGAAGCCAAAAGCAGACACCGAAGAAAAUCCUACUGACGUCCCGCCGGUAGAAUAUCAGGAUUAUCUGAAUAUAAAGGAGACAUAUUUAAGAACGACUCGAAAGAACAUUUAACCUAUUUAAUAAACUUAACUAAUAAUGUAUUCCGUAACCCUAUAUGUUUUUGAACUAACUAGUCAAUUUUCUCAAAAACCCAAAAUUUAACGGUUUUUUCCGAAAUCUAAUCCAUAAUAAAACAACUAAUAAAAUUGGCAAUAAUUCACUAAAUAACCCUUAAUUAUUCAUCAAACUAAUCUGCAAAAGCUAAUAUUACAGAUAGGGAAUAAUCUGUAAUUUAUCCUAUUUUUAAGGGUCAAAUUGCAACUUUUGUCUAAUUGAAGGACCAAACUGAAAUUUAUCAUAAAUCCAUGAAUAUACUGAAAUUCUGACCAUAAUUAGUCCUCAUUUCUGUCCAGAUCAUCUCAUUAUACUCCAAGGACCAUUCUGGAAUUUUACCAAAUUUUUAGGGUCAAAUUGUAUUUUUUGCCAAAUUGGAGGACUAAAUUGAAAGUGUUAAAUUCUCUUAUCUAUACAGUAAUUCUGUCCAUAAUUCAUAUGUUAUUCUGUUCAGAAUCUCGGAAUAGGCUCCAGGGACCAAUCUGCAAAUUUUCCAAAGUUUGGGGACUAAACUGUAAUUUUCCAAAAUUGAGAGACCAAACCGAAAUUUUGUCAUCUUCAACCUCCAACCCAGAAUUCCAACAGAAAACCCACUGUUCUUUCCUUAUUUCUAACACAAAUUCACCAUUCAAACAAAAUCAUAACUCAAAAUCAUCAUCUUUCAAUUCAAUCUCUCAAAUUCAACCAAAUAAUCAAAUACCCACAACAAUUAACCCUACAACAUCCAAAUUAACUCAUAAAUCAAACUCAAAACACAAAUUUCAUAACCCUAACAUUUAUCAAAAUCAAAAUUAAAGCUUAAUUAACACAUAUUUAUACAUAAUCUUACCUUUUUACUUAUUUCCUUCAAUUCCUUUCUAUUUCCCUUCUAAUUUCCCUCUUUUCUCUUCUUCUUCUUUCUCCCUUUCUCUCCUGCCGGUUCUCUCUCAAAAUUCAGAUCCCUCUUUCCUCUUUUUUUUUUACUUCCUAUUUAUAUAUAUUAUCUCUUUAUACAAUUAUUAUUAUACCCCUCAUUUAAUUUAUUCCUACAUCUAAGCAUUCAAGGGCCUUGUUGCCAUUUCCUAUCUUUUAAUACAAAACAUUACACCUCCGAGGACAGAUUUCUCUCUAAGGUCUGUUUUUGGGAUAAAAAAUUGACCCUGUGACAGUUCCCAUAGUGGGAAUGGGCGGGGUUGGUAAAACCACGCUUGCUCAGCUUGUAUACAAUCACAGCAGAGUACAAGAGUGGUUCGGUCUCAAAGCUUGGGUUUGUGUUUCAGAAGAUUUCAGUGUUUCGAAGUUAACUAAGGUUAUCCUUGAGGGGUUCGGUUCAAAGCCUGCUUUUGAUAAUCUGGAUCAGCUCCAGCUUCAGUUGAAGGAGAGAUUGCAGGGAAAGAAAUUCUUGCUUGUUUUAGAUGACGUUUGGAAUGAAGAUUAUGAUGAAUGGGAUAGGUUUCUUACCCCCCCUGAAGUACGGAGCACAAGGGAGUAAGAUUCUUGUCACAACACGCAAUGCAAGAGUAGCAUCAGCCAUGAGCACUGGUCCAACUCAUCAUCUAAAAGAAUUGACGGAAGACAGCUGCUGGUUUGUGUUCGCCAAACAUGCAUUUCGUGGUAAAAAUCCCAAUGUUUAUGAAGAGUUGCUAGAGAUUGGAAGAGAAAUAGGGAGAAAAUGUAAAGGCCUUCCUCUAGCUGCAAAAACACUCGGAGGUCUGCUAUGCACCAAGAGAGAUGUCGAGGAGUGGGAGAAGAUAUUGGAAAGCAAUCUAUGGGAUUUACCCAAAGGCAAUAUCCUCCCAGCCUUGAGAUUAAGUUAUCAUUAUCUCCUGCCACAUCUGAAGCAGUGUUUUGCUUAUUGUGCCAUAUUUCCAAAAGACUAUUCAUUUCGAAAGGAUGAAUUAGUGCUCCUGUGGAUGGCAGAGGGCUUCUUAGUCCACUUUGUAGAUGAUGAGAUGGAAAGAGCAGGUGCUGAGUGCUUUGAUGAUCUCUUGUCAAGGUCGUUUUUCCAGCAAUCAAGCUUAUCAUUUGUGAUGCACGAUCUCAUGCAUGACUUGGCUACCCAUGUGUCCGGUCAAUUUUGCUUCAGCUCCAGGUUGGGGGUAAAUAAUUCUUCCAAGGCCACAAGAAGGGCUCGACAUUUUUCACUCGUAGUAGAUACGGAAGACACGGAUGGUGAAGAUACCGAAGAUGGAGAUACGGAAGGUGUUUUUUCAAGCACAAAAUUAGAAAACAUUAGUGCAGCCCAGUUUCUACGCACAUUCCAAACUUAUCCACACUAUUUGAGGUGUCCUCCCGAAUUUUAUAAUGAGAUCUUUCAGUCAACACUUGGGCGCCUACGAGUGCUAUUCAUGACUGGUUGUAGAGAUGCAACUUUGAAGUUUUGUUCAACUAACAAGUUGAAGCAUUUGCGGUAUUUGGAUCUUUCCUUUUCACAGUUCUUAGUAACGUUGCCUGAAGAAGUGAGUGCUCUUCUCAAUUUGCAAACGUUGAUCUUGCAAGAUUGCUCCAAACUUGCUAGUCUACCUUAUUUUGGAAAUUUGAAGAAUCUUGAAGGAACAAGAAUCGAAAGGUUGCCUGAAUCUCUAGAAAGGUUUAUCAACUUGCGGUAUCUUAACAUCCAAUAUACGCCUUUGAAAGAGAUGCCACCACAUAUAGGUCAACUGACAAAGCUCCAAACGUUGACUGACUUUAUUGUGGGAAGACAGAGUGAGUCUAUCAUUAAUGAAUUGGAAAAGCUACGACAUCUACGGGGAAAACUGUAUAUUCGGGUCCUUCAAAAUUUGGUGGAUGCUCGGGAUGAUGUUGGAGCAAAUUUGAAAGGUUUAAAGCACCUUGAUCAGCUGUUUCUCAUUUGGGAUGGUGACACUCAUAACGUGGAACACGUAACAAGCACGCUUGAGAAAUUAGAGCCAGAUGGAAAUGUGAAGUAUCUUGAGAUUGAUGGUUAUGGAGGUAUAAGGUUUCCGGAGUGGGUAGGAAACUCCUCUUUCUCAAAAAUAGUGUCCUUGAAGCUCAGUAGAUGUAAAAACUGCACCACCUUACCACCGCUCGGGCAAUUAACUUCUUUAGAGGAUCUCUCAAUUGAAGAAUUCGAUAAAGUUGUGACUGUGGGCUCUGAGUUCUAUGGGAAUUGUACACAAGAAGCCAUUUGAAUCCCUCAAAUGUCUAUUUUUUAAAAGGAUGCCAGAGUGGCGCGAGUGGAUUUCAGACGAAGGCAGCCGGGAAGCCUUCCCUCUUCUUGAGAAGCUUUACAUCCAACAAUGCCCCAACCUUGCAAAGGCCCUUCCUAGUCACCACCUUCCACGUGUAACAAGACUUGUAAUUAAAGAAUGUAAGCAGCUCGCGACUCCACUUCCUAGGUUUCCGAGGUUGCAGUCUCUCUCUGUUUCUGGAUCCCACUCCCUAGAGUCCCUACCCGAGGAACUUGAGCAAAUGGGUUGUUCACCCUCUGAUUUAGGGCGAAUUACAAUCCAGGGCGAAUUACAAUCCAGGGCUGCGCUUCUCUCAAAUGCGUCGCACUGGACUUGCUCCCCAAGUUAAAUUAUCUUUCUAUCUGUGACUGUUCAGAUCUUGAAUCACUAUGUGCACAUGAAAGACCUCUCAAUGAUCUCAAUUCUCUCCAUUAUUUGUUUAUCGAGAAGUGCCCUAAAUUAGUUUCAUUUCCCAAAGGAGGAUUACCUGCUCCAGUCUUAACACGACUUGAGUUAGAAGAUUGCAGGAACUUGAAGCUGUUGCCUGAGAGUAUGCAUUCCCUCCUCCCAUCCCUUUCGCAUUUGGAAAUAAAAGAUUGUUUAGAAGUUGAGUUGUGUCCAGAAGGGGGUUUUCCCUCCAUAUUACAAUCACUUGUCAUUUGUAGAUGCGACAAACUCAUUGCUGGCCGCAUGCAAUGGGGCUUGCAAACGCUCCCUUCUCUUUCACACUUUACAAUCGGUGGCCUUGAAAAUAUUGAAUCCUUCCCUGAAGAGAUGCUUCUGCCCUCAAGUCUUACAUCUCUUAAAAUCCAUUCCCUAAAACACCUGAAAUCUCUUGACUACAAGGGGCUUCAACACCUCACCUCUCUUAGAAAAUUGCAUAUAAAUUACUGCCCUAGGCUUGAGUCCAUGCCAGAAGAAGGGUUGCCCUCCUCCCUUUCUACUCCUCUUUAUAUUUACUUUUGUCCUAUGGUUGAGUCAAUGCCAAAAGUAGGGUUGCCCUCCUCCCUUUCUACUCUUAGAAUUAACGAUUGUCCUAUGCUGGGUGAACGUUGUGAAAGGGAGAAAGGUAAAGAUUGGCCCAAGAUUUCUCACAUUCCUCACAUAAAAAUUAUGUAUUGAUGGCUAUUGAUUUUUCCAACAUCAGCGGAGCCAAAAAGGAGGUAUUGCCACUAAAUAGUUUAUUUUCUUUUCAGUAAUCAAAGGCAAUUUCAGUAAAAAUUUGUCCUUUUCCACUAUUAAUUCUAUGCUUAUUUUUGGCAGGAUCCAAAUCCAACUUUGCACUUACAGUUCAUGAAGGGUUUGUCACCCCUUCCUUCUUGCCAGAACAAUAUGCACAGGAUAAAAUUGAUCUGUUUGCUCCCUCAGGUAUGACUCAUUGUGAACUUUUCCAUUCGAUGUUCUUUCUCAGUUACUCUGUAUUUCUCCACCAUUAUUAAUUCUUUGCAAUUUCAUGUCAGAUUACCACUUGCCCAUUGCAGAGUGGAGCACCAUGGUUUCACAAAACAAGAUUGCUUUGCAUUGUUUAGCUAUUUGUGUAUUAUACGUAUCAUUUUCAUGCUCUUGGUCUAAAUCCUCCAUUGUUUCUUUGCAGGAUUCUGAUCCAAAUUUUCUUCUACAAGCAUGGGCGGCCCAUAAGUUUGGAUGAAUGAAAUACAGAUAUUUUCUUCAUAUUGUCUGUCAUUCAUCAUUCUAUUUCAAUAUAUUUUUUGCUAUAAUUAAUUUUUAAAGUUGAUUUGAUUAGUAUUGUACUUUUCUCAUUCUAACAUUUGUGGUUAGAACAAGGUAAUUUUCACUGGAGUGUCAUUUUGGGAUGAGAUGAUUUUGGUUCAAAUUCCAUAAAUUGUUUCUUAAAAAAAAAUAACAAUUUAAACAAGACAAGGAGAAUGAUCUAUAGGAGCGGUGAACCUUUGGCUUCUUUCCUUUGAAUCCAAAUUCAAAUCCUGUUCUGCUGCAAAUAAACAUCACAUGCUUCAGAUUUUGAAUUUAGUAAUAGAAAAUCCAUUGCUAGAAAGGAUUAAAAAAAUAUUGAAUUAUUUAAGUGAUCUGCAACUGAUUUUUCAUUGUUGACGCGGCAAGAUCAAAUCUGCAACUGAUUCAAAAAAUAAAUUAAACCCUUAAUUAUAUAAAAUCUCCCUUCUCUCCUUCUCUCCUUUUCUGCAUCUUCAAAAAUUCAAAUUUUUUUCUCCAUCUCUUUCUCUAGUCCAUUCGCCUUCUUCAAAAAUUCAAAAUCCAAAAAAUUUUGAUUUAUCUUUUUUUAUUAUUAUUUAACUUUGAUUAAAAAAAAUUUAUUCCAUAUAAAGCUGAAGUUAAAAAAUAAUUUUGGAGCGUAGGAAAGGCCCUUUCUAAUAAAAUUUAUUUCAUGGUGUUCAGGAAUAAUUAAUAAUAUUUUAUUAGUUAUUUUUAAAAUUUAUUUUCAUAAAACAAAUAAAUACAAAAAGAAAAAAUAAUAUAAAAUUCACCCGCGUUUUGGAAUCACAAUUCAGAAGCAAGUGAAAGUGGCCAAUGUCACUCAAGAGAGCAGGCACUUGCAAAUCUACUAAUGAUUUGUUUGGCAUGGUGUUGGUAAAUUGUUUUUGAAAAAAUUUAAAUUUAUUUUUAUUUUAAAUUAAUAUAUUUUUUUAUGUUUCUAUAUUAAAAUAUUAUUUUAAUAUAUUUUAAAAUAAAUAAUACUUUGAAAAAUAAUCAAAUAAAUAUGGGAGCAUCACCCUUUCGCACAAUCAACAGAAAGGAUUAAAGCACAGAAAGUCAUCAUCUCGAGAACUCACAGCAAAGAGUUCAAUGUUGUAGUAGAUAUGUAGCUAUAUUAAAAACAUUAAUACUUCCAGCAUGCACAAAUGCGACUUCUUAAUAGUUAAUAUUGGAAAAAUUAAAUUUCCUUUUCUAAUUAAAUGAAAAUCUCUACUAAAUAUUAUGCUAUUUGAAUUUUCACCUCAUGACUACAAGCUGCACUGCACUCAUGGAUGCUUCACCAGGAUAAAGCUACAAAUGUCAGUUUAAUAUCUGCCUCUACCUAGGUCGGCCGACAAUAUUACCAAAGCUUCUCUCCUACAAAUGUCAGUUUUUAAAAUCUGCCUCCACCUAGGUCGGCCUGCAAUAGAAUACCAAAGCUUCUCUCAACUAAAUCAAGACAUGAUGACUAGCACUCGCAACCAUAACAGAACCAAUGGAAGCGAACUACUACAUAUUUGAUCAACAAGGUCAAAUUCAGUCGAGUUUUUAAGGAAAUCCAGUGAAAGAGGAACCUAAAAUACUACAUGAUUGUGGAAUAGAAAGUUUAACGGCCUUAAUUGAAUUGUUUCAGUCACUAUUUUUUCAGUCACAAAGUAACAAUUUCUGUAUCAACUCUUCUCUUCUUCUUCUUCUUCUAUCACAUCUCAAUGGAUUGCAACAGAUUGUAACAGCCCCUGUAGUUUCUCUGUUUUGAAUUAUUCAAAUAAGUUGCACAGAUUGCAACAGCCCUUAAAGAUAGGAAGCAGUUUUGAACUGCUCUAUAGUUUAGGAUUUCAAAACAAAUGUUCGUUAUCAUGUAUGUGUAUUUAACUGCUGCAAAAUGUAAAUGAAAAAUAUGAUUGAUUUCAUCAUUCCUUUAUGGUAUCAGAGCACUAAACCGAUCCACUUUAUUUUUAUCUUUUCUUUUCUUUUUCCUUCCCUUGUUCAUUACCACUCAUGGCUACAGAGUCUAAUCCUGCAACCAUUCUCAACACCAAUGAAUCACACCAAACUCUCAUCAGCAUCAAUGUUGCUGCUCAAGCCCCUCUCAAACUCAACUCUACCAAUUACCUCUCUUGGAAACUUCAAUUCCAAACCUUAUUCAUUGGAUAUGAUCUUCUUGGCUAUAUUGAUGGCUCCAAACCAUGCCCGCCAGCUACCUUGACUCAAGCCAAUACCACCAUUUCCAAUCCCAAUUACACUCUAUGGAUCCGCCAGGAUUAAUUGAUUCUCAACGCUGUUAUUGGCUCCAUUUCACCUACUAUUAUACCUUUCAUUGCUCAAGCCACCACCUCUAGCCAAGCCUGGACAAUUCUAGCAAAUACCUAUGCUAAACCCUCUCGUGGUCGUAUUAAACAAAUCAAAAACCAACUCAAAAACACCACCAAAGGCUCCCUUGGCAUCACUGAAUUUAUGCAAACUAUCAAAACGCGAGCAGAUGAUCUUGCUCUUCUUGGUGCCUCCCUUGAUGCAGAAGAAAUCACGGACAAAAUACUUGAUGGUCUCGGUGAUGAUUACAAGGAAUUAGUUCGUGCUGUCCAGGCCAGAGAUACCUCCAUCACAUUUGUAGAACUUCACGAAAAACUUCUCAAUUUUGAGGCCUCCCUUCAACAUCUCCCAUCUGAGCCACACCAUUUUCCAGCUACAGCCAAUCCCACAUAUCGAACCAACACCAAAAAUUGGCGUCCUUCUCCACCUCGUAACAAUACCACAAACUAUUGGCGCCCAUCCUACAACUUUUCCAACCGCUCACCUAUUGUACCCAUUACAAGACCCAUUUCAGCACCGGCCUCUCGUCCUCACCACAAACCAUACCUUGGUCACUGUCAAAUUUGCAGGAUUCAGGGUCACACUGCCAAUCGGUGCCCUUCCUAUCGCCUUGUACCCAUUCAUCCUUUACCCACUUCCAGCACUCCCCAACAAGGAACACCCUGGCAACCACAAGCUCACCUUGCCACCCAUCCCUCCACCACGCCAUCCUGGCUUUUAGACAGUGGUGCUUCACACCAUGUCACCUCAGAUCUAAACAACCUCUCCCUGCAUGCUCCAUAUAGCGGUACUGAUGACAUCAUGAUCGGAGAUGGAUCCACUCUUCCCAUCACUCAUACUGGUUCCACCUCUCUCACCACUCCUCUCCAUACAUUUCAAUUACACAAUGUUCUUUGUGUUCCCUCUAUGGAAAAGAACCUCAUCUCUAUUUCACAAUUCUGCACUUCUAACAAUGUUUCCAUAGAAUUCUUACCAUCAACUUUUCUUGUUAAGGAACUUCAUACCGGGACAACACUGCUACAGGGACAGACUAAAGAUGGUGUCUAUGAGUGGCCCUCUUCCUCUCCUUUCAUUGCUUUCUCAACAAUAAAGCCCACGUCCUUCGACUGGCAUCAUCGCCUAGGCCAUCCAGCUUUUUCAAUUCUCAGACAUAUUGUCUCUAGCAAUCAUUUAGGCUUGUCUUCCUCCUUAUCUUCCAAUUACUCAUGUAAUGCGUGUCUUUGCAAUAAAAGCCACAGGCUGCCCUUCUCCAACUCUACAAUUGUCUCCACCAAACCGCUUGAAAUUAUAUUCUCUGAUGUGUGGACCUCGCCAAUUUUCUCUCAUAAUGGCUUUAAAUAUUAUGUAAUAUUUAUUGAUCAUUUCACUAAAUAUAUCUGGUUUUACCCACUCAAAAACAGAUCUGAUGUCAAAGAAGUUUUCAUUCGAUUCAGAGCCAUUGUCGAAAAACACUUUAAUUCCACCAUUAAAACACUCUACUCUGACAAUGGUGGUGAGUAUAUCUCUCUAGCUAAUUUUCUUUCCACCAAUGGUAUCUCUCAUCUCACAACUCCCCCUCACACGCCUGAACAUAAUGGUUACUCUGAAAGACGACAUCUUCACAUCGUUGAAACUGGUCUAGCCCUACUCACGCAUGCUUCUUUACCCCAUUCCUACUGGACUUAUGCAUUUUCCACAGCUGUCUAUCUCAUUAAUAGAUUGCCGACUCCCACUUUAAACUUGUCCUCACCCUACCACAAAAUAUUUCAAACAGCCCCAAACUACUCCAAGUUACGCAUCUUCGGCUGCCUAUGCUACCCUUGGCUCCGCCCUUACACCUCCCAUAAACUUGAAUCAUGGUCCAAGCCAUGUGUUUUCCUUGGGUAUUCUCUUACUCAAAGUGCAUACUAUUGCCUUGAUCCUUCCACCUCCAGAAUCUACGUCUCAAGACAUGUCAAAUUUAUUGAGUCACAGUUUACCUUCUCUUCACUAUCUGGUUCAUCCUCUACUUCCCUUUCCAAUCCCAUCACUACUUGGAUUCCUGCACCAAUUACAGUUCUUUCACCCGCUUCAGAACCACCACUCCCUAUGCCAUCUGCAGUUUUCAAUACUCAGCAACCCCAAAGUGCAGCUCCCCCAUCCAACCCCAUUCAGCUUCCAACCACCAUCGCCACCCAUACAACCUCCCCUUCCAUAACAUCUUCAACAGGUACAACCUCAACCCUCCAUUCCCCACCUAAAACUCCUACCCUUCCCACUCAUUCUAUGACCACUCGCGCUAAAAACAACAUUCACAAACCCAUCACUAAGCUGAAUCUUCAUACCCGACUAUCCACUUCCAGUGAUCUAGAACCAACCACCGUGACUAAAGCCCUUCUUGAUCCCAGGUGGCGUCAAGCUAUGUCUGCUGAAUGUGAUGCCUUAGUCAGAAAUGGAACAUGGGAACUUGUUCCACCAGAUUCUUCACAGAAUAUAGUUGGAUGUAAGUGGAUAUUUCGGAUUAAACGUAACACUGAUGGUUCUAUUGAUAGGUUCAAAGCACGUUUAGUCGCAAAGGGGUUUCACCAAAGACCUGGUGUUGACUAUCUUGACACAUUCAGCCCUGUAGUAAAACCAACAACAGUGCGUGUGGUCCUCAGCCUUGCAGUUUCUCGGGGAUGGACUUUACGCCAACUUGAUAUCAACAACGCUUUCCUUCAAGGCCAUCUCUCUGAGACUGUACACAUGCAACAACCACAAGGUUUUGUUGAUCAAGAUCAUCCAUCCUAUGUCUGCAAACUUCGAAAGGCAAUCUAUGGCCUCAAACAAGCACCUAGAGCAUGGUAUCAUGAACUUCGCACUUUUCUACUUCACUCAGGUUUCAAAAAUUCUCAUACGGAUACAUCAUUAUUUGUUCUCAAUACUGCUGGAAAGAAAAUGUAUAUCCUGGUUUAUGUGGAUGGCUUAAUAAUUACUGGUGACCACACUACCAUGAUCGACUCCUUUGUGGUUGUUCUUGCUCAUCGGUUUUCCAUUAAAGAUCUUGGACAGUUAUCGUGUUUUUUAGGCGUGGAGGUAGUUCACAAUCAGCAUGGAAUUUUGUUAUCUCAAAGGCGUUAUAUUUUGGAUAUUCUAGCUCGAACUCAUAUGGCAGAUGCAAAACCUGUGUUCACUCCUAUUCCAACUAGUCCACCUUUGUUAAAAUCAGGCACUGCGUUGCCUGAUCCCUCUGAGUACAGAACGAUUGUUGGCAGCCUUCAAUAUCUCUUGAUUACCAGACCAGAUCUUGCAUUUGCAGUUAACAAGCUCUCUCAGUACAUGCACACUCCAACAACUGAUCAUUGGAGCUUUGUUAAACGCCUCUUACGCUAUCUAUGUGGCACUAUUAAUGAUGGCCUCCAAAUACAUCGCAGGUCUCCAUUAAAUCUACAUGCCUAUUCAAACGCAGAUUGGGCGGGUAACAAAGAUGAUUUCUCAUCUACCAGUGCCUAUGUCAUAUAUCUUGGUCGCAAUCCCAUUUCAUGGAGUUCUAAGAAACAGAAAACUAUUGCAAGAUCUUCAACUGAAGCGGAAUACAGGUCAGUAGCAAAUGCAGCAGCUGAGCUCAACUGGCUUUGCUAUCUUCUGUCUGAUCUAGAUGUUCAACUUCCGUGUUGUCCGGUCUUAUACUGUGACAAUGUUGGAGCUACCCAACUCUGCUCCAAUCCUGUUUUUCACUCCAAAACGAAACAUGUUGCCAUCGAUUAUCACUUCAUCAGGGACCAAGUACAAAAUGGUGUCCUUCGUGUUGCCCAUGUAUCCUCAGCAAAUCAACUUGCUGAUGCACUGACCAAGCCUCUUCAUCGUAUCCGUUUUCUAGAUCUCAAAUCCAAGAUUGGACUUCUAUCUCGAGCUCCAUCUUGAGGGGGCAUAUCACAUCUCAAUGGAUUGCAACAGAUUGUAACAGCCCCUGUAGUUUCUCUGUUUUGAAUUAUUCAAAUAAGUUGCACAGAUUGCAACAACCCUUAAAGAUAGGAAGCAGUUUUGAACUGCUCUAUAGUUUAGGAUUUCAAAACAAAUGUUCGUUAUCAUGUAUGUGUAUUUAACUGCUGCAAAAUGUAAAUGAAAGAUAUGAUUGAUUUCAUCAUUCCUUUAUCUUCUACUUCUUCUCUCUUAUUCCUUUCUAAAGACAGAAAGACAGAAGAUAAGGCUGGAUUAGGGUUAAACACAAAAAAUUCUAAAACCGUAUUUUAUUUUUUAAUUACUAUUAUGUUCAAGUCGGCCUCUUGAAAAGGUUUACGCUAAAAAAAUUGACCUACACUAGAGAACAAAAUUAGAAUCCCUAAACAUAAAGAAAAUUAGCAUAAAAUCCGAAAUAAACAAUAAAUCUAAAAAUAUCAGAUGAUGCUGGUCCGUGUUUGCCAAACAUGCAUUUGGUUAUGAAAAUCCCAUUGCUCAUGAAGAGUUACGGGAAAUUGGUAGAGCAAUAGUGAGGAUUGUCUGAUGUUCACCUAUAAUUGUAGCUGAAGAAAAGCUAGAAAUGAAACUGCCUGUAUUGGAAGUGAAACUGCUUGCCUACAAUAUAUGUGAACAUUCUAUGGCUUUGUUGCCGCCUUCUAGCCUUUCGGUGUUGCACGGUGCUGCUGCUUUUUGGCUUUUGAUUUCAUACACUAUCAGAAAAUUGAUAAAUACAAACGGAAAUAUCAAGGAAAUAUUUCUGUCGGUAAAUUUUUGAGGGAUUUUACCGACAGAAAUAUUCCCCGGUAUAUACCGAGGGAAUUACCGUGGGAAAAAAAUUAAAACAAAGCAAAAAAAAUGAUGACGUGUCAUUUUUACCAACAGAAUUACCGACGGAUUUUUCAAUUCCGUCAGUAUUUUCCAAAGAGCUCCAAAAUUAUUCACUUUCCAAUUGCACUGUUAAUUGUUAUUCUUUACGGACAAAAUCACCGACGGAUUGAAAAGUCGUCGAUAUUAUUUGGCGGUUUUCUGAAAAAAUUCAAUUAAUUUAAAAUUUUCAUUUAAAUAUUACAGACGGAAUCACCGACGAAUUGAAAAAUUAUCGGUAAUUGUUGGCGAUUUCUGAAAAAAUUUUACAAAAUUGAAAAUUUAAAUUAAAUAUUACCGAUAAAAUUGCCGAUGAAAUAAUUAAAAAAUAUUAAUAUUCAAUUAUUUGUCGCUAACGCGCCUCAAUAAAAAGCCUGAAUCCCUUUAUUUCAGACUUAUUUCUUAUUAUUCUUCUACUUCUACUUCACUAUAUGUAAAAAACAUCAAUAUCUAUUUCUUUCUCUUCUUUUCUCUCCUCACCUCCUUAUCUUUUUCUCCAUACUUGGGUAUGUCUUCUUCUUCUUUCUUCUUUUAUCCUCUUAGUUUUUUUUUUUUAAUUAAUAUGCUUUACGAAAUUUUUUCUCUCUCCUUAGCUUCACUUGCAACUACAUUAAGGUAAGAUUUUUCUUUUUUCUUCUUUUUUCAUGAUUUUUUUCACUAUAUUUGUUUUUUAUUUUAUUUUUAAUUGUUUUUGUUCUUAAUAAUUAUAUAAAUGUUGUUGUGAGAUUUUUUUUUCAUAUGAGAUCAAGUUUUAGUUGAUUUAUUUAUAGGAUUUUUAAAUUUUUAGCAAUUGCAACUUCAUUUUUUUCAUAUGAAUUUUUUUAGUUGAAUUUAUUUUUUCAUUUUAUUUAUUUUUUGCAAAUUUGUUUGAGUUGAUUUUCUUAUUCUUUUUUUCCAAGCAUUUUGAGUAUAUAUUAUAGAGUGUUGAUUUAUGUUAAUUUAAUUAUUUUAUAAUUUUUUAAAAUGAAUAUUUUAAAAAUAUUUUUAAAUUAUUACCGACGGAUUUAUUGACGGAAUAGACGUGUCGGUAAUAAUAUUUUUUUAUUACCAACGGAUUUACCGACGGACAAAAAAUUACCGAUGAAAGAUGCACAGACAGAGCAUUUCUGUCGGUGAUUUUGUUGGUAAAUUAAUUACCAACGGAAUAUGUAUCUUACGCCGAUAGAAAAAUUCCAUCGAUAAAAUUGUUAAAUGUUGUAGUGAUAGAAAUGUUGUUCCCUCUCAUCCCUGGUGUUACAUAGGCAGCUGCUGGCUCCUCUUGUAUCUUUUGGGUUCUGGCUUCGUUUGGUUCAUGCCAUUGUCUGCUCUCCGGUUGUCGAAGCUGACAGCAAUCCUCCAACUCUGUUCUCAUAGUCAGAUGCUUCCUCUGUUUUCUCCUGGCAUUGAAAUUACAGCUCUCCCUCAAAUUUUAUUGAUGAUGUGCCUUUGGUCAUCUUAAUAGCUCUUUUUUUCUUGGGAUAUUUCAUUUGAUUCCUUUUUUCUCUUUUAUUUUAAUUAUUAUCUUCAUAGUUUUAACAUUAAGUCUCUUUGAAAAUAGAAGCAGCCUAUCUUUUAUAUUUGUAAAUCUUGUUCCAAGAGAGAGAGUAGAAGUUUAUUAAAGAAAAAUGUACAUUCUCAUUCGUCACAUUCCUUGUUCGUUUAUAUAUGAAAUGUUUUUUGUUUUUCAAUAAGCGAAUCUUCAAUCGGAAGGGAAAUUAUUUUAGUGAAUAGUGUAAUGGAACUAAAUUUUGGUUAAUUUAUAAUAAAUUUAAAUAGCUUGAAAGUGAAGCUCAUCUUCUAUUUAGUUUUCUCAAAUAUAUAAUUUUAAAAUAAAUUACUUUUAAAAUAAUUUUGAGUAAAUUUGACAUUAACUUUGUUGGAUGAAUUCCAAACCUAUAAUUUGAAACCAAAUGUUUGUAUAUUUUUUUUGUAAAAGACUAAUUUGAAAAAAAAAAUUCUAAAAAAAAUGACAAAGAGUUUUUAAAAAUUCAAGAACUAAUGAAAAAUUACUUUUUUGUCGACAAGGGUGCCUCCUUUUAAGUUGCCACCCACCUUGAUGUGGCUCCAUGUUCCACUCCAAACCAUUCAUAUAGGUAUCUUAAAUAGUGUAGCCUGAGCUUCACCGGUUAUGUUUUUAAUAUAUUUUUAAAUAAAAUAUAUUUUUAAAAAAUAUUAAAAAAAAAACUAACAUUAUUAUACUGUCAAACAGAUAAUCUCAUUGCAUCUAACGCUUUAAAUUCCAACAAUGAGUACCCGAUUAAACAAUAUCUACAUUCAAUUAAAACUUAUGGUAUCAUUCCUUGACAGCGAAAUAAAGAAAAGGAGACAGAGAACCGUACUUUCAGAAGACCAUGACACAAAUCGACGGUUGAAAUCCAAUCACUCAAGGGAUGGUGACACGUUGUCAUGAGUGGGAGACAGCUGGUCUCUAGUACGAAGAGAAACAACAGCGUUUUUAUUGUUUAAAUUUAGAGUGUUUGUUUUUCGGAGUGUCUUUGUUCUCGUGAUAGCUCCUGUGAUGAUGGGUAUCUUAGUAAUUGUAAAAACAAUUGAUUUUUUUUUUGAUGAAGUUGUCCGUGUGGAUGAGAAAAUACUGAGUUUGUAGCUUAGUAAAAACAUGUUGAUGUUACUUUUUAUUAGCCCAUGGUUGGCCCGUAAAUUGUAAUGGGUCCCACAAUCACAAACCUAUGAUUCACAUGUAACUAAAUAUCUUGUUUUUGUUAUCUGCAUUAAAAAUGCAAGAGCUGCUAAAAAAACAAACAUAUUUGAUCGUUGAACAUGUUUUUAAAUUGUUUUCUUAAUUAUUUUUUAUUUAAAAAAACAUUAAUAGAUGAAGUUUAAUAAUUAUUUUAUAAAGAAGUUUUGGAAUAAAAUGAUCUAUCUGCAUGAAAAACAAGGUCAUUUUUACAGGUGGAAGAUAAAACCAAUAAGACCUAAUCCUAUUGAACUGCAUCUUGUUAUUCAAAGCAAACAAUCAGUAUCUUUAAUACUGAUUAAGGAUAUUUUUAUUUUUGCAAUUCAACUGUAAUUUCUAAUAUAAUGAUUUUUUUAUUAUAACUUGCUCCACAAUUAAUCUUUUAGAGUUAAACAAAUACUACGCAACAUUCUAGAAUGUGUAAUGAAGUUUUUAUAAUAUUCAUAGCAAUGGUCAUCAGCUAAUUUAUAAUUUAUUUAUCUACUUUAUCAAUUAAUAAAAGUGAUAAAAGAAAAGGAGAGAAGAAAUAAAGUGAAGUCUUCUUCUGCAUUAUUAGCACAUCACGUGAAAAGAAAGAUUGGCAUUUAAUAAAAGUUAUUCCAAUCAAAUAAAGCAAGGACAAACCAAGUUACUCCAUUUUCCUCUCACUUUUUCAACCGAUGGGGUGUCUUGGCAAAUAAAGCAAGGACAGACCGAGUUGACGCGCUCCCUAACUCCAUUUUCCUGGCCCGCGCAAUUCACGCAUACACAAACACAUCCGGAACAAUAUUCAUAAAAUUAAUUAACAUCCCGUAAAAAUAUACUUUAAUACAGUAUAAGGCUUCCCGUCUACCUCUGUCUUUUCAUAAUUUCGAUCCUCUAAUCAUGUAUUUUCAGUCUAAAAUAUAGUAUAAAACUUUUCUAUACCCAAGAUCCUCUAAUACUAAUAAGACUGAAAAUUUGAGAUUUGGAUAACGAGAAAAGGAGAGACUGGGGAGUGGGAACUAUGUAGUGGAAUGUCAGGGGACUCGGAUAAGGAGACAGUAAAUUUUUUAACUUUUGCAAGUUAAAACUCAAAAUCAAUUAACGAGAACAAAAACGUACAAAAUAACAUCAAUUUAAUCUCAUGUCACCUCACCUUCCACCUUUUUUUAUGUUAGUAACAAGUUCUAGAAAUAAUAUCCUAAUAUCCCACCAAGCAAGACAUGCAUUUCAAGUUCUCUUUGAGUCUUUGUCGUCUCUCUUUGUAGUUAACAAAUAGUUAGUCUAAAACACAAUAUUUCUCUCUCUAUAUAAGUAUUCCUAUCUUUUAUUUUGCUCAUUUGAUUCCUCGCCAUCUACCUCUGUCUUUCCAUGGUUUUGAUUUUCCGAUCAUGCCUUCUCGCCCUAAAAUACAGUAUAAGAAUUUCUCAUACCCAAGAUCCUCUAAUGCUGGUGUUAGUCUACUAAGAUUGAAAAUUUGAGAUUUGGGCAACCGGGAAAGGGGAGACUGGGGAGUGGGGACUAUGUAGUGGAGUGUCAGGGGACUCGGACAGGGAGACAGUAAAUUUUUAACUUUUGCGGGUUAAAACUCGAAAUCGGUCAAACUCGGUCAAACUCGUAAAAUCAGUUCGAUUUUACCGAUUUUAACCGAUUUUGAUCGAUUUCGAGUUUUAACCCGAUUUGACACGUUAUAUACAUGUUGACUCGUAAAAUCAUAAGAUUUUAAGAGUCAACUCGUGAUUUUAAUAACCUUAGAAACAACAACGUUUCCAUUGUUUAAUUUGUUUUUCUGAGUAUCUUUGUUUUUGUGAUAGCUCUUGUGGUGAUAAAGAUUAAAAAAGAUAGUUUAGAUAAAUUAUUUUUACUCGUGAUUUGUUUGAUUUAAAUAAGUAUUUAAUUAAAAUUAUAAUUAAAAAUGUUUAGGUAAAAUUAUGAUUAAAAUGGAUGUUUUAACUUAAAUUACCACAAAAAUACUGCUGAAGGUGGAGAGGAUGUGAGAUGCGAUUGGGUAUCUUAUUUAAUUGUCAAAACAUCAACUGUUGUGGUCAAUAAAGCAAGGACAACCCGAGUAAAAUGUGGGACCUAACUCAAUUUUCCUGGCACACGCAACUCACGCAUACACCCAAACACGCUAUAACACUAAUGUGAGAUGUUUUUUGAACUUCGGAGUUUACAGGCAAAUAAAGUGAUGGAAGAAGGUCUUCUUCUGCAUCAUCACAUCACGUGAAAAGCUUGGCAUUUAAUGAAGUUUUUCCAAUCAAACCCAUUCCUUUCAAAGAUGGAAUUUCUAGUAAAAUGGAGUCCAGAGCAUAACAAGGGCCGAGAGAGAAAAGGCUUUUGCGAGUUCUGUGUUCUGUAUAUUUCUCAAGGGGAAAAAAGGAAGACGAAGAAAGGAAUAUCAUAUUUCUUGUAGGAGUAUGGUUAGCACGAACUAUAAGAGAUGUACAUGAGAGAAAAGAAAAGGGAAGGCCUAUCGACUCUCUUUUUUUCUAUAUUCACAGGUAGUACGGAUCGCUUACCAUGACUAAUCCAACAUCAAGCCUUAUCGUUCAUGAACUGUGCCUAGACUUCUUUAAUCAUUUACAUAUAUAAAUUUGGUUAAUCAAGUUGGAGAAGAUCGUGUCAAGAACCAUGCUGUGUAUGUUUGAUAAUGCAGUGAAUAUAAUUUUACAAGAAUAUUUUUCAAUUAAUAAAAUAUUUCUUAAAGAAAUUUUCAAUAAUCUUGUUAAGAAAUUUGGGUGGCCAGACAUUUUAAAGAAUGAUGCUAGUUUCUGGCCACAAGAGGUCAUGCUAGUCACUUUUUGAUCAUGUCUGUGAUCUUUUUGAAUGCUCUGUUCUCCAUCAAAGCUAAUGGAAAUGUGUAUAAAUUAUCAUUUUAUCUUUAUGAAGCAUAUUGUCAGAUCACUGACCUGCUGGUGAACAUUACCAUGCAUGUUCUGCAGCCGAAGAUUUCAAAGAAGAAAACAUAAUGAUUUUGGUGAAUUGUGUUCGAACUCUUUGCAUUUCACCAUCCUCUACCUUUUAUCAUUUUGAGCGUAGUUGCCACCCACCUUUCUGUGGCUCCAUCAUGUUCCCGCUCCAAACCAUUCAUAUAGGUUAUCUUAAAUAGUUUAGCCUGAGCUUUACCGGUUAUGCUUUUUAAUAUAUUUUAAUUUAAGUAAAAUAUAUUUUUUAAAAAUAUUAAAAAAAAACAUACCAUUAAUGUACUCUCAAAAACAUAAUCCAAUUGCAUCUCACGCUUUAAAUUCCAACGAUGAGUACCCAAUUAAACAAUAUCUACAUUGAAUUAAAACUUAUAGUAUAAUUACCUGACAGCGAAAUAAAGAAAAGUAGGAACCCUGCAUUUGGGAAAUUUCUAUAAGGCCUCCAAUCUGAGGCUGUAACGAGCCCUGGAUCCACACAGAAGAAAUUUCGAGGGAAAUGGGUUGAUGUCAGAGGGAGACAAGGAAGCGUACUUUCAGGAGACCAUGACACAAAUCAACGGCUGAAAUCCAAUCACUCAAGGGAUGGUGACACGUUGCCAUAAGUGGGAGGCAGCUGGUCUCCAGCACGAAGAGAAACAGCAGCGUUUUCAUCGUUUAAAAUGAAGUGUUUGUUUUUCUGAGUGUCUUUGUUCUCGUGAUAGCUCGUGGUGGUAGUGGAUAUUUAAAGAUGAUUGAGUAUCUUAAUAAUUGCAAAAACAAUUGAUUUUUUUUUUUUAUGAUUGACACACAAAACCCUAUUUUCAUAGUUAUGUUAAUUGAAGGAUAAUAAAUGGAAGAAUGACAAAUUGCCAGGUGGAAAGUUAUAGCUCAUCACAACAAAUACUUUCCAGCAAAUUGAUUAAUGGCUGUUACAACUAAUUACAACGAAUACUCUUCAUUUCUUCUCUAUAGUUAUGUUAAUGGUAAAAAAAAGUUGGAAAUUAUAAUUUUGAAAAAUAAAUUAAAAGAUAAGUGAUGAUCAAAUUAGAACUUGAUAUUUGAUAUAAAAUAUAAUUUUUUUUAAUUAAAUCCUAACAACAAAUCACAAAUCAGUUUCAAAUUAGUGAAUGUUGCCGAAGAGAAUGGCAAAAAAGAAGAAAAUUAUAUUUUAAGAAAGUCAUGGAGCCGUAUAUUUUUAUUAGAAAAGAAAAAACAUUAGAAUUGAUUGUUAUAUUUCUUGAAACAAAUAAAAAGAAACAAAAAACAAAAUAUAAAUCAUGGAUGAAUUAAAUCCUCUUGAAGACCUGCUUCAAAUAAGAAAGAGGUAAAUACUAUUGGAAUUUAAUUGAUAUACGUUUCUUGCAUGUUGUUUCAAGUUGCAUAAAUACAAGCAAAAUACAUUUAUACAUAUUAUAUUACAAUUGAUAUAUUUUUGGUGCAGAACUGAUAUUAUCUUUUGAAAUUAAAUCCGGUUCAAGGAUGGAGCAUAAAAAAAUUUGAAUUAUUGAGUCAUUUAAUUAAUCAGCAAGGAUUAGGGGAUGAUAAAAAAAUCAAAACACCGAUUAAACUGAGAAAACUGGAAAAAAAAUAAUUCAAAAAACUAAACCUUAAAAAAACCCGAUUAGAAUAUUUAAAAAACUGGCCAAUUCGGUUUGGUUUUGGUUUUAUAAGCCUGAAACUGAAAAACAAAACCGAACCAAAAUUAAUAACCGAGCCAAACCCGAAAAAACCAAGCUAAACAGAAAAAAACGAGCCAAACAGCAAAAAAACGAGCCAAUCGGUUAGGUUUUGGUUUUUACUCUAAAAUAACCAAACCGAACCGAAACCGGUCGGUUUGAACCGAUUUUGAUUUUUUUGUUUGUUUUGAUUUUUAAAUUUGGUUUGGUUAUUAUUUUAAGGAAAAACCAAACUGAAUAAAAAAUAAUCAUCUCUAGUAGGGAUCAUCGAUGAAUCAUUUUAUUAAAAUAAUAUUUUUUUAAAAAAAUAUUUGAUAUUAUUUUAACUAAAUUUGUAUCAAGUUUUAUUAAAUAAAAUAAAUUAUUAAAAAACCAAUCGAGAUAAUAAAAUUCAUAUCAACAUUUUUUCUAAUUCAAUUUUAAAAUUGUCUAUGUCAAGAUCUGGAGGAUGUGCUUUCUACAUCAAAUCAGUAUGCAGGAUGGAGUUUCAAAACUAUAUUAUAUAUAAAAAAAGAUUUUGAAAUAAAAUGAUCCAUUUAUAUAUAUAAAAACAAAAACCUCGAGGUCUCGGGUCCACCGGUGGAAGCAUGAAUGGCGGUCUUCUUCUGCAUUAUUAGCACAUGUGAAAAGAAAGAUUAUAUUUUCCUGUGCAUAUAAUAAUGUUAUACCAAUCAAACCCUCCUUUUCCUGUGCAUAUUUUCCUGUGCACAUAAGUGUGCUUGUAACGUUUUUUUAUUAAGAAAUGUAUUAAAAUAUUAUUUUUUUAUUUUUUAAAAAUUAUUUCCAUAUUAACAUAUGAAAAUACAUAAAAAAAAAUUAAUUUAAAAUAAAAUUUUUUAAUACAUUUCUUAAUAAAAUAAUAUUUUAAAAACUGAGUUCACAUUGCAGAAAGCCUUGGCAGUUGGCACAAGUGGAAGGCAACCUAGAAACAGGUUUAUUUCAACAAUCCAUGUACUGACAUCUGUGUUUGUGGAAACAAAGUUGAAAAGGGCUACAUUUUCCUGUGAUGUGAUAUUGAUUCAGAGAUUUGUAGAAUAAGACGUGGUGCAGAACUGUAGAAGAUAAGGUACAAGACUAUGAAAGUCCUCAGGAAAACUGUAGAAUUGCACAGUUUGAGUGAGAAGUAUUAGACACCGCACUAGCCGCUGCUGUUUUUGGUAUUGUAAUACAUUCCGUAAUCUGAAAAAAAUUAUUUUAUAAAAAAUAUUUUUAGUUGAAAUUUAUUUAAAAAAAAUAUAUAUUUAAUUAAAAUUAUGAUUAAAAUUAAAGUUGAAUGAAAAAUAGCUUAAUAUAUUUAGUUAAAUUUUUUUUUAAAUUAAAGUUAUAUAUAUAGUUUUAAAUUUAAAUAUUAUAGAUUUAAGUAUUGUUAUUACAUCAUGAAAUAAAUAAUAUUGAUAUCAAAUAUUUUUUAUUAUUUUAUUAAACUAUGUGCAAUUUCAUCACGUUCGAAAUCUAUCCGGCAAGGACUACAUUUUCCAUUGUUUAUUAAGCGCGCAACAACAUCAGGUAAAAAUAUUAUUAAGAACAAAAUUUGAAUUGCAAUCAAAUUCUGCAAAUAUUAUGUCAUCAAACGAUCUCCUUCUAAUUUUUUAAAUAAAACACAAAUAAAAAUAAAAAUAAAAACUGAAUUUUUUAAUCUGGGUCGGACCCGGCAAUAACAAAAUUGGAAUUGCGAUCAAAUUCUGCAAAUACUACGUCAUCAAGCAAUCUCCUUCUAAUUUUUUUAAUAAAACACAAUUAAAAAAUAAAAAUUAAAUAUUUUUUUAACCGAAUCCAACCCGGUUCAAUAUAUUUAGCUUUGGACCGAACCUGGUCGAUCCGAAACAAUAACAGUAAUAGUGGAGAGUGAACUCCAGUGGAGUUCACUCUCCACUGCGUAGAGAAGCAGCUUUUGAUCAACCUGCGGUGCAACCUUAAUAAAAUGAUGGGUCCUAUCAAAAGAAGUUGUGUUUUUUACUUAACCAAACAAGAAAAAUUGUGGUUGCAGGUGAACUUUACCUGCGACCACAAUACCAAACAACUAUAAAAAAAAAUUAUUUGAUAUUAUAGUUGAAAAUGUGUUUUGUUCCAACCACAAAAAAAAAAUAAUGGUUCGGUAACCAUUUGAAACGUAAAUUUUGAAGAUGGGUCUCACUAAAAAUUAAGUUUACACAACCGGUUUUGUGAAGCAGAAAAUUACUGCUUUUCAAUUUACUUUUGCCCGCUGCUGCCAAGGGAAAGGAAAAAGGGCCCACCCAAUUUCUUAUUUGCUUCUUUUCUUCUCAGCUCAAGUAAGAGUAUUUCUUUUACUAUCAUCAUUUGUGCACUGCCAAGUGGAUUUAUCCGGCACUGUUCACGUAAACAGUACCCCUACUAUGAACAGUGUUUAUUGAACUGCGUCCAACUCAAAAAAAUUUAAUUUUUUUAAAAUUAUAUUUAUUUAAAAAAUUAAUGUUUAAUAUUAUUUAAUAACACUAUAUAAAUUAGAAAGAGAUUCUAUAAUAAUAUAGCAUUUGUGAAAUUUGAUCGCAAUUCUAAUAUUAUAAUCUUAAUUUGAAAAGUAUCUUUAAUCAAACACAUUAAACUACUUUUUAUUCGAUCUUAAUUUCAACCACAGUUUUAACCAAACAUAUAUAAAUAUGAAACCAAUCUAAACAGUUAAAUAAAUACUAAAAGACAUAAAUUGAAGUUUUUAUAAUAUUCAUAGCAAUGUUCAUCAGCUCAUUUAUAAUUCAUAAUUUAUUUAUCAAUGAAUGAAAAGUAAUAAAAGAAAAAGGAGAGAAGAAAUAAAGUGAAGUCUUCUUCUGCAUUAUUAGCACAUCACGUGAAAAGAAAGAUUGGCAUUUAAUAAAAGUUAUUCCAAUCAAAUAAAGCAAGGACAAACCAAGUUACUCCAUUUUCCUCUCACUUUUUCAACCGAUGGGGUGUCUUGGCAAAUAAAGCAAGGACAGACCGAGUUGACGCGCUCCCUAACUCCAUUUUCCUGGCCCGCGCAAUUCACGCAUACACAAACACAUCCGAACAAUAUUCAUAAAAUUAAUUAACAUCCCGUAAAAAUAUACUUUAAUUUAGAAAAGAUUUUAAAAUGUUAUUUUUUUAAUUUAAUAAUAACAAAGUUUUAUAUUAAAUUGUUUCAACUAAGUUAACAGGUUAGAUUUAUAAUUCGGGUUAUGAAAUUAUAAUACCUAGUUCCCAAAUAAACAAAUAUGGUGAAGUUUUUCCAAUCAAACCCCCUUUUUUUUUAGAUGUAAUUUCUAGAAAAAUAAAUCAAAGAUAAACAGACUAAAAUUUCAAAAUAAAAGAGAAAGAUGGAAUAUCCCACCAAUAUUUAACCCACUUAAAUUGAGCAUAUAAAAGAGUGUUAAAUGAAAAGUUAAAAAUUAAAAAAUAUUAUUUUGACUCUUUCAACUUUAUUUUAUACACCUCAAAAAAAUAUUAAAUAAAAUGUCAAAAUAUCUUUUCUUUCUUAUAAAUACUAUUUCUACAUGUCUAUUAAAAAAACCAAUACUAAAAAAGUGGAGCCAUCAAAAAAAUAAAUCAAUUAAAUAUAAUCAUUAAAAAAAAUAACAUCAAACUCAUUAAAAAAAAUAAAACACUUAUUUCUCUCACUCCAAUACAAUUAGCUUUUCAAAUAGUUUUUUCCAUUAAAAUAUAUAUAAUAAAAAAAAUUAUAUUUAUAUUAUUCAAAAUACUAUUUUAUCAAUUUAGCUAUUCAAAACAUUGUUAUUAAACCCAGACCGGCCCGACAAAUCGACCGGGUGGCUAGACCGGUUCGGGUUUGUCAAAAGACCGGUCAGUGCAACAACCCGGCAAAACUCAGUUGACCCGAUGAGUUGACCCAUGACCUGGGCGAACCCGGACGAGACCAGUUUUUGUUUUUUAAAUGUGGUUUUUCUCCUAUACCCUUCUUUUUUCAUUUUUUUUUUAGUUGGUUAUUAACACUUUUUAAAGUUUACUAUAUAAAUAUUAUAAAAAUAUUUUAUUUUUUCAAUGUAGGAUUUGAAACCCUUUAGUAUAUAUACUAUAUUUUUUCAAGAAAAAAAUUAUUUUUUCAAUGUGAGAUUUGAAACCUUUUGUAGAUAUAUUUUAUGUUCACAAGAAAAAAAUUAUUUUUUUUCAAAGUGUGAUUUGAAACCUUUCAGUUUAUAUACUGUAUGUUUCAAAGAAAAAAAUUAUUUUUUCAAGAUGAGAUUUGAAAUCCUUUAGUAUAUAUACUAUGUGUUUUUAGAUUAUUUAGAUGUGCUGAUAUCAAAAAUAAUUCUUAAAAAAUAAAAAAAUAUUAUUCAACCAACUUGGGUUAACCCAUUAAGCAUUAUUCUCGUAUCAUGGUUCAGAAUAACCUAAUAGAAAAUAAAUAAAACAAAUCAUGAAGUGUGAACCCCGGUUGAAAAUUAGGCAGAAAAGUAAUCUAAAUGUUUAUACAAUAAAUUUAACAGAAGUACCAAAUAAGCAUUAGAACAAACCAAAUACAGACAAAAGAAAAUAUAUACGUAAAUAUGAAUAAAAUAUUGUUGGGAGUGAGUUACCUGGAAAUAAAAUUAUCAAUAUGUAACUAAAUAAAAUUCAAAUUCACCCAGGUAAAAUUUUUAUAUAGACAAAUGCCGGGAAUUAGGAAUUUUAUCCCGGGAACAUGAAAUUUAAUAUUUGGGAUAUAAAGGGAAUUUGGUAAAAUUUAAGAGUGCGUGUGCGCGCACUCUCGGGUAAAAAGAAAAAUGGAGAGAAAAAAAGGAGAGGGGAAACUACCAUUUACAUGUGAGAGAGAUAGAAUUGUAACAAAAACAUAAAAUCUUAAAGGAAGAUCUUGAGGGAACAUUACCCAAGCCUAGUGAGCAUUAAUUGGAAGGAAUAAAAAUCAAGUGAAGGUGAGUAUAAAAGGAGAGAGGAAGUUCAACCAAGAUUAAAGAAGAGGAGUUGAAAGCUUGAUUUAGGAAGUGUUUAGAGUUUAAUUACUUGCUUGGUAAUGCAUUCUAAGGACUUUUGAUCUGAAUUUUAAUGGCUUAAAGUUCUUAAUUGAUUGAAUUUUUAAAAUUAAAAAGUUAGGGUUCUUGAAUAAAUUAAAAGGAAAUAAAAAUUUAUUGUAAUUUGUCAUGGGGAAUAAUGUGAAAAUUAGAGUAAAGUGAUUAAAUUAUUGUAAUUGAAGUAAAGAUUUUGAUAAUUAAAUAGAGCUAGUGGCCAACCAAAUGACGAGAGAUUUUAUGGGAUUUAAUUGUUAAUAAAUGUUGUGAAUUGAUGAAUAAUGUAGUAAGUAGAACUGUUUUUUGAAUAUCUCUUUAUAACUUUUUAAAUUUCAUGGAACAUUUGUGUUGAUUAUUGAGAUGGUGUUAAAUAUUACUAUCAUGAAAAUCAAAAAAGGAAUUGAUGUCUAGAUGAGGAAUAUCAUUGAAUUGUUGGUUCUUAUUAGAUUUUGGUAUGUAAUGGAGUCAUGAGACGUUAAAAAUUCUUGAGAAAUGUUAAAUUAAUAGCUAAAAUUCAUAGAAUGGUAUAUUUUUUAGAAAUAUAGUUAACUAUGAAAUUUAUUUGAUAAAAGAAAAGCAGGAACUUAUGGUAUAUUUCCUUGACAGUGAGUACCCGAUUAAACAAUAUCUAUAUUCAAUUAAAACUUAUGGUAUAUUUCCUUGACAGCGAAACAAAGAAAAGUAGGAACCCUGUAAUAUCUAGGUAAUUUCUAUACCCUUUUAGGUUAUGUUUGUUUUUGAGAAUUCACUUUCUGGAAAAUCACUUUUCACAUUUUUCUGUAUUUAUUUGCCAUUAGAAAAGUUGGUUAACGGAAAACACUUUCCACUCAAAGAAAAAUUUGGCUUGGUUUUUAGAAAAGUGUUUUCCUAAAAAAUUUGGGCGGAAAACACUUUUCGGAAGUUGUGAAAAAUUAGAAAUGUCAUAUUAUUUGCUGUUUAUAUCAAAGUUGAUCCUCAAACUUUUAAUUGCUAUAUAUAUUUUGUUUUGGAUAUUUAUUUUUCAAUUUCAUCUCUUAAAAUUUAAUUUUUAUAUUAAUUUUGGUCCUCAUUUUUAUAAUUGUUAUUUGCUUUUCCCUUAUCAUUUUUUUAUUGAAUUUUUUUAUAUAUCAAAUUUGGUGCUCAUUCUUUUGAUUGUUACUUAUUUUAUUUGAAAUAAUUUAUGAAAUGUUAAUUAUUAUUAUUUUAAUUUCUUCAUCUUUUAUUUUUUUUAUUUUUUAGAUUUGAUCUCUAUUAUUUUGAUUAUUAUUUAUUUUAUUUGAGAUAAUUUAUGAAAUUAUAUUUUUUUUCAAUUUCAUUCUCAUUCAACUUUUUAAUUUGUAAGAUUUGUUCCUCAUUAUUUUAAUAAACUUGAGAAAAAUAAAAUAUUAAUAAGUUAUUUUUCAGUUCAUUUUCCAUGACAUAACCAAACACCGAAAAAUGUUUUCCAACUUAUUUUCCAUUACACUGUCAAAUAUAAAAAAAUAAUUCACUUUUCUGAAAUUUAUUUUUCUAAAAUUUAUAUUUUUUAAAAAAUUAUUUUUCAAUAAACAAACAGUUCUUAAUAACUACUACAAGCUGAGGCUGUAAUGAGCUCAUGACAGAGGGAGAUCUGAAAGCGUAAUUUCAGAAGACCAUGACACAAAUCAACGGCUGAAAUCCAAUCACUCAUGGGAUGGUGACAUGUCGCAUGAGUGGAGACAGCUGGACUUCAAUACGAAAAGAAACAUAGCGUUUUCAUUGUUUAAUUUGUUUUUUUGGAGUAUCUUUGUUCUCAUGAUAGUUCUUGUGGUGAUGGAGACUUAAAAAAGAUAGUUUAUAAAAAUUAUUUUCACUCGUGAUUUGUUUGUUUAAAUAAAUGUUUAACUAAAAUUAUGAUUAAAAAUGUUUAACUAAAAUUAUGAUUAAAAUGGAUGUUUUAACUUAAAUUACCACAAAAGAUACUGGUGAAGGUGGAGAGGAUGUGAGAGACGAUUGGGUAUCUUAAACAUCAACUGUUGUUGGUGGACUAAAAGCCAUCCGCUUGAUUAAUGGUAAACACUUCAGGCUCCUUUCCCGCCCUUUUCCUGGCUGGAUCCUUGAUAUCUUCAAGGGGUGCCAGCGCCUUGUUCGAGGAUUGAGCAUAAAAGACUAAAAAGAGUUAAAUAAAUACUAAAAGACAUAAAGUGAAGUUUUUUAUAAUAUUCAUAGCAAUGGUCAUCACCUCAUUUAUAAUUUAUCAAUUAAUGAAAAGUGAUAAAAGAAGAAGAGAGAAGAAAUAAAGUGAAGUCUUCUUCCGCAUUAUUAGCACAUCACGUGAAAAGAAAGAUUGGCAUAUGAUAAAAGUUAAUCCAAUCAAACCCACUUUUUCGACGAUGGGAUCUCUUGGCAAAUAAAGCAAAGGACAAACCGAGUAAAAUGUGGGACAUAACUCCAUUUUCCUGGCACACGCAACUCACGCGUACACUAACACUAAUUUGCGAUAUUUUUUUACUUGGGAGUUUACAGGCAAAUAAGGGCUUCUUCUGCAUCAUCACAUCAUUUAAUGAAGUUUUCCAGUCAAACCCACUUUUUUCAAAGAUGGAAUUUCUAGUAAAAUGGAGUCCAGAGCAUAACAAGUGCGGAGAGAGAGAAGGCUUUUGCGAGUUCUGUUUUCUGUAUAUUUCUCAAGGGGAUAAAAUAAUGUCUUGUUACAGAUUUGUUUUUGGUAGAAUUGUUAGAGAUCUUAGCCGAUGCAUCUGAAUUAUAAUUUUUAGCAAUUAUACUAUUUUAUAGCCCUAAUAUCUUAAAAAAAACUUAUUUUCUAGCUUUUUUUUAUGGUAUGAUCAAACAUUGCAUGCUUACUCUCUGGUCUAUAUGACCAUUAACAACAAUCACUCGAAACCCACAGUCAUUGCCAUACAUAUUUAACUUGAUGUUUGAGAAUGUGAUAAUGAUUGUUUUUUAAAGUGUUUUUUAUUUUAAAAUAUAUUAAAAUAAUAUUUUUUAUUUUUUAAAAAAUUAUUUUUGACAUCAACACAUUAAAAUAAUAUGAAAACAUCAAAAAUAUAUUAAUUUAAAAUGAAAAAAAUAAAAAAAAUUUAAAUUUUAGUCAAAAAUAUAUUAGUCAAUAUCUGAAUGCAUGAUUAAUUAUGCACUUUGUAACCAUAAAUCUUCCUUUAAUCAUUCCAAAUAAGAAAAAAAAUAGAAAAGAUUUUCUCUAAUCUGUAUGGUGAGUCCCAAUUAUCACUGGCUUCCAAUUUCCAUCCCGUGCUUUCUAGCUGGAUUGGGUGUUUUUUCUCUUCUUUUCUCUUUGUUGGAAUACAAUAAUGCAUCACAACGGUUAAUUCCUUAUCGGUUCGUGUUGCAGUAAUUAUGAACGAUGAGUCCAUUUGACCUUAAAAGUAAAAGUAUCUGCUGUUCAUAACGACUCACUUAAGUUUGCAAUUGAGCUAAUUGUUCUAUAAUUACUGUAGCUAUGAAAGGUGAAGCACAAUUUCAUCCAAAACAAAACUCGUUAUUUUCAAAAAGAAAAAUUACCCCAAUUUUUUUCUUAUAUUUUAGUAUUUCUUAUAUUUAAAGGCAGUAUAGUUGUAAUAUUUUCAAGUAAUCGAAACAACCACCUAUAUAUCAAUUAUAUGAUAUACUGACUUGACUUUCCAAGUGUUUUGACUUUUGAGUACUAGAAGAAGAAAAUAUACUUCUCUCUAAAAAAUAAGGAAAUUUCGGAUGUAUUUUCUUUUAACUGGCGAAAAAACAGGAAGACGAAGAAAGGAAUAUCAUAUUUCUUGUAGGAGUAUGGUUAGCACGAGCUAUAAGAGUUGUACACGAGAGAAAAGAAAAUGGAAGGCCUAUCGACUCUCUUUUUUUCUAUGUUCACAGGUAGUACGGAUCGCUUACCAUGAACAUCAAACCUAUCGUUCAUAAACUGUGCCUAGACUUCUUUAAUCAUUUACAUAUAUAAAUUUGGUUAAUCAAGCUGGAGAAGAUCGUGUCAAGAACCAUGCUGUAUUGUUUGAUAAUGCAGGGAAUAUAAUUUUACAAGAAUAUUUUUCAAUUAAUAAAAUAUUUCUUAAAGAAAUUUUCAAUAAUCUUGUUAAAUUCCAACAAUGAGUACCCGAUUAAAUAAUAUCUACAUUCAAUUAAAACUUAUGGUAUAAUUAUCUGACAGCGAAAUAAAGAAAAGUAGGAACCUUGCAUUUGAGAAAUUUCUAUUAGGCCUCCAAUCCAAGACUGUAACGAGCCCUGGAUCUACACAGAAGAAAUUUCGUGGGAAAUGGGUUGAUGUCAGAGGGAGACAAGGAAGCGUCUUUCAGAAGAACAUGACACAAAUCAACGGCUGAAAUCCAAUCACUUAAGGGAUGGUGACACGUUACCAUGAGUAAAGAUGGAGACACUCACGUUUGGGAACGCUGCUACGGCUGCGUUCUCAAAAAAUUUGAUUUUUUUUUUUUUACUAAAAUUUAAUAUGAUUUGUAUCGUUUUGAUGUGAUGAUAUCAAAAAUGAUUUUUAAAAAAUGAAAAAAUAUCAUUAACAUUCAUUUUGACACGAAAAGUAAUUUAAAAAACAUCCACAACUACACUGACAAACAUGACAAGGGAGACAGCUGGUCUCUGGUACGAAGAGAAACAGCAGCGUUUUCAUCGUUUAAAAUGGAGUGUUUGUUUUUCUGAGUGUCUUUGUCCUCGUGAUAGCUCGUGGUGGUGGAUGUUUAAAGAUGAUUGCGUAUCUUAAUAAUUGCAAAAACAAUUGAUUUUUUUUUUUUUUUUGAUGAUUGACACACAAAACCCUAUUUUCAUAGUUAUGUUAAUUGAAGGAUAAUAAAUGGUAGAAUGACAAAUUGCCAGGUGGAAAGUUAUACCUCAUCACAACAAAUACUUUCCAGCAAAUUGAUUAAUGGCUGUUACAACUAAUUACAACGAAUACUCUUCAUUUCUUCUCUAUAGUUAUGUUAAUGGUAAAAAAAAAGUUGGAAAUUAUAAUUUUGAAAAAUAAAUUAAAAGAUAAGUGAUGAUCAAAUUAGAACUUGAUAUUUGAUAUAAAAUAUAAUUUUUUUUAAUUAAAUCCUAACAACAAAUCACAAAUCAGUUUCAAAUUAGUGAAUGUUGCCGAAGAGAAUGGCAAAAAAGAAGAAAAUUAUAUUUUAAGAAAGUCAUGGAGCCGUAUAUUUUUAUUAUAAAAGAAUCAAUAGAGAAAAGAAAAAACAUUAGAAUUGAUUGUUAUAUUUCUUGAAACAAAUAAAAAGAAACAAAAAACAAAAUAUAAAUCAUGGAUGAAUUAAAUCCUCUUGAAGACCUGCUUCAAAGUAAGAAAGAGGUAAAUACUAUUGGAAUUUAAUUGAUAUACGUUUCUUGCAUGUUGUUUCAAGUUGCAUAAAUACAAGCAAAAUACAUUUAUACAUAUUAUAUUACAAUUGAUAUAUUUUUUUGGUGCAGAACUGAUAUUAUCUUUUGAAAUUAAAUCCGGUUCAAGGAUGGAGCAUAAAAAAAUUUGAAUUAUUGAGUCAUUUAAUUAAUCAGCAAGGAUUAGGGGAUGAUAAAAAAACCAAAACACCGAUUAAACUGAGAAAACUGGAAAAAAAAUAAUUCAAAAAACUAAACCUUAAAAAACCCCGAUUAGAAUAUUUAAAAAACUGGUCAGUUUGGUUUAGUUUUGGUUUUAUAAGCCUGAAACUGAAAAACAAAACCGAACCAAAAUUAAUAACCGAGCCAAACCCGAAAAACCAAGCUAAACAGAAAAAACGAGCCAAACAGCAAAAAAACCGAGCCAAUCGGUUAGGUUUUGGUUUUUGCUCUAAAAUAACCAAACUGAAUCGAAACCGGUCGGUUUGAACCGAUUUUGAUUUUUUUGUUUGUUUUGAUUUUUAAAUUUGGUUUGGUUAUUUUUUUAAAGAAAAACCAAACUGAAUAAAAAAUAAUCAUCUCUAGUAGGGAUCACCGAUGAAUUAUUUUAUUAAAAUAAUUUUUUUUGAAAAAUAUUUGAUAUUAUUUUAACUAAAUUUGUAUCAAGUUUUAUUAAAUAAAAUAAAUUAUUAAAAAACCAAUCGAGAUAAUAAAAUUUUAUCAUAUCAACAUUUUUUCUAAUUCAAUUUUAAAAUUGUCUAUGUCAAGAUCUGGAGGAUGUGCUUUCUACAUCAAAUCAGUAUGCAGGAUGGAGUUUCAAAACUAUAUUAUAUAUAAAAAAAGAUUUUGAAAUAAAAUGAUCCAUUUAUAUAUAUAAAAACAAAAACCUCGAGGUCUAGGGUCCACCGGUGGAGGCAUGAAUGGCGGUCUUCUUCUGCAUUAUUAGCACAUGUGAAAAGAAAGAUUAUAUUUUCCUGGGCAUAUAAUAAAGUUAUUCCAAUCAAACCCUCUUUUUCAACCGAUGGGGUCUCUUGGCAAAUAAAGCAAGGACAGACUGAGAAAGAUAUCCAGAACAAUAUUCAUAACAAUAUUUAUAAAAUAAUAUAUAUAAUCUUUCUCAACCGAUCGGCAACUCACGCAUACAUAAACAUAUCCAGAACAAUAUUCAUAAAAUUAAUUAAUAUCCCAUAAAAAUAUAAUUUAAUUAAAAAAAAAAAUUAAAAUGAUACUUUUAAUAUAAAAAUAACAAAGUAUUAGAUUAAAAUGACUUGUUAUCAAGUAAUCAAAUAUUAACAUGAUCAUAAGAUUGAGAUAACUUCAUAUAAAAUAAAAUAAAAAUAAAUUAUAAAGUUCAAUUUAUAAUUAAUUUAAUAUUAAAGGAUGAGAUUAAAAAAAUUAAUUUAAAAAAAACAUAAAAAUAAUCCAAGUCAAUCUGUUAAACCCAUAAUUCGUCAUGAAACAAAUAUAACCUCAUAGAAAAAAAUAAAAAAAUAACUUGAUUUAAUUCGCUAAAUCCGCAAUUCUGAUAACGAGAACGAGAAAAUCUCAUAAAGAGCAAGUCAAAAUAUAUUAUAAAGUUUAAUUCUCAGUCGAUCAAAUAUUGAAUGAUAAAGAUGGAAAAAAAUUCAAUUAUAAAAACACAAAAAAACAACCUGAAUUAACUCAGGUUAACCCAUUAAGUAUUAUUCUCAGGUCAUGUGGUCAGAAUAACCUAAUAGAAAAUAAACAAAAUAAAAUUUAUAACUUAAUUUUCAAUUAACCUAAUAUUAAAAGAUGAAAUUAUAAAAAAAAAAUUAAAAAAAUCAAGCCAACUAAAUUAACCUAUCAAAACUAUAAUAAUAAUUAUUAUAAAAGUGAGAUAACAUACAAAAGACAAAUUUAAUAAUAAAAAAAAACACAUUGAUUAAAAGAAAAGGCAAAGCACUUAUUCAAAUAACUGUAUAAAAUAUAGUAAUAUAAUGUAUAAUGUAUAAUUUAUUUUUUUAAUUUAUAACUGAAAGUGAGAAAAGGAAGAAGAGAAAAGAAAUAAAGUGAAGUCUUGUGCUGCAAGAUCACCUCACCUGAAAAGUUUGGCAUUUAGUGAAGUUUUUCCAAAUCAAACCCACUUUUUCAAAGAUGGAAUUUCCAAGUAAAUAAAUCGAAGACAAACCUAGUAAAAUGGAGUCUAGAGCAUAACAAGUAGUUACAAAGCCGAGAAAGAAAAAGCUUUUGCGAGUUCUUUACACAAACUCUUACUUCUUAUGUAACCUGAACAAAAAUCCCUCUUCUUCUUCUUCUUCUUCUUCUUCUUUGUUUACUCUUCCUUCGUUACUUUGCAAAGAGGAUAAACCAUGGCUGAGGCUUUAGUAGGAGGAGCUUUUCUUUCUGCUUUCCUUAAUGUUUUGCUUGACAGGAUGGCUUCUCGCCAGGUGGUGAACUUCUUCAGUGGCCAAAAAAUCAACAAUAGCCUGCUGGAGAGGUUGGAGACAGCAAUGAGAUCUGCCAGUCGGGUGCUUGACGAUGCCGAGGAGAAGCAGAUAACAAGUACAGAUGUGUGGGAUUGGCUGGCCGAGAUUAAAGACGCUGUCUAUAAAGCCGACGACUUCUUGGAUGCGAUUGCUUAUAAAGCUCUACGACAGGAGUUGAAAGCUGAAGAUCAAACCUUCACAUGUCAUAUGCAGAGAUUUCUUUCUUUCUUUAACCUAUGUAAAAAUGGGCUGGGAGAGAUCGAAGAAGAAUUAAAAGUCCUCUUGCAGGAUCUAGAUCGCUUAGUUGAUCGAACGGUUGCCCUUGGUUUGAUCACCCGCACUGGAAAAGAACCAUCAUCGCCUAAAACACCCGGAGAAACUUCUCUGGUGGAUGAACGUGGUGUUUAUGGUAGAGAUAAUGACGAGAAAGCAAUACUGAAGUUACUUCUAUCAGACGAUGCAAAUGGACAAAGCCUAGGUGUUGUUCGCAUAGUGGGCAUGGGCGGGGUUGGUAAAACCACGCUUGCUCAGAUUGUAUACAAUAACAGCGAAGUACAGAGGUGCUUCAAUCUCAAAGCUUGGGUUUGUGUUUCAGAAGAUUUCAGUGUUUCAAAGCUAACCAAGGUUAUCCUUGAGGAGGUCGGUUCAAAGCCUGAUUUUGAGAGUCUGAAUCUGCUCCAGAUUCAGUUGAAGGAGAGGUUGCUGGAAAAGAAAUUUUUGCUUGUUUUAGAUGAUGUAUGGGAAGAAAAUUAUGCUAAAUGGGUCAGUUUGCUUGAACCCUUGAAGUCUGGAGCACAAGGGAGUAAGAUUCUUGUUACAACACGCCAUGAAAGGGUAGCAUCAGUCAUGCCAACUGUUCCAACUCAUCAUCUAAAAGAAUUGACGGAAGACUUCUGUUGGUCCUUGUUUGCCAAACAUGCAUUCGGUGAUGAAAAUUCCAUUGCGGAUGAAGAGUUGCAAAAAAUUGGUAGAGCAAUAGCGAAAAAGUGUAAAGGCCUGCCUCUAGCUGCAAAAUCACUCGGAGGUCUGCUAUGCAACGAAAGAGAUGUCGAGGAGUGGCGGGAUAUUUUGGAAAGCAAUCUAUGGGAUUUACCCAAAGACAAUAUCCUCCCAGCUUUGAGAUUAAGUUAUCAUCAUCUCCCGUCGCAUCUGAAGCAAUGUUUUGCUUAUUGUGCCAUAUUUCCAAAAGACUAUUCAUUUGGAAAGGAUGAAUUAGUGCUCCUUUGGAUGGCAGAGGGCUUCUUGGUCCACUCUGCAGUAGAGAUGGAAAAAGCAGGAGCUAAGUGCUUUGAUGAUCUCUUGUCAAGGUCGUUUUUCCAGCAAUCAAGUGCCUCUCGCCCCUCAUUUCUGAUGCACGAUCUCAUGCAUGACUUGGCUACCCAUGUGUCCGGUCAAUUUUGCUUCAGCUCCAGGUUGGGGGAAAAUAAUUCUUCCAAGGCCACCAGAAGGACUCGACAUUUAUCACUCGUAGUAGAUACGGAAGACGGAGAUACUGAAGGUGUUUUUUCAAGCACAAAAUUAGAAAACAUCCGUAAAGCCCAACAUCUACGCACAUUCCGAACUUUUCCACACAAUCGGAUGUGUCCUCCUGAAUUUUAUAAGGAGAUCUUUCGGUCAACACAUUGUCGCCUACGAGUGCUAUUCAUGACUAAUUGUCAAGAUGCAUCUAUGUUGUCAUGUUCAACUAGCAAGUUGAAGCAUUUGCGGUAUUUGGAUCUUUCCGGGUCAGAUUUAGUAACGUUGCCUGAAGAAGUGAGUGCUCUUCUCAAUUUGCAAACGUUGAUCUUGGAAAGUUGCCACCUACUUGCUAGUCUACCUGAUCUUGGAAAUUUGAAGCAUUUACGACAUCUGAAUCUUCAACGUACAAGAAUCGAAAGGUUGCCUGCAUCUCUGGAAAGGUUAAUCAACUUGCGGUAUCUUAACAUCUCAGACCACACCUUUGAAGGAGAUGCCACCACAUAUAGGUCAACUGACAAAGCUCCAAACGUUAACUGCCUUUAUCGUUGGAAGACAGAGUGAGUCUAGCUUUAAAGAAUUGGGAAAGCUAAGACAUCUACGGGGAGAACUUCAUAUUCGGAACCUUCAAAAUGUGGUGGAUGCUCGGGAUGCUGUUGGAGCAAAUUUGAAAGGUAGAAAACACCUUGUAAGCUUGAGGUUUACAUGGGAUGGUGACACUCAUGACCCGCAACACGUAACAAGCACACUUGAGAAAUUAGAGCCAAAUAGAAAUGUGAAGGAUCUUCAGAUUGAUGGUUAUGGAGGUUUAAGGUUUCCGGAGUGGGUAGGAGAGUCCUCUUUCUCAAAUAUAGUGUCCUUGAAGCUCAGUAGAUGUAAAAACUGCACCUCCUUACCACCGCUCGGGCAAUUAACUUCUUUAAAGGAUCUCACAAUUGAAGCAUUCGAUAAAGUUGAGACUGUGGACUCUGAGUUCUAUGGGAAUUGUACUGCUAUGAAGAAGCCAUUUGAAUCCCUCAAAACAUUACGGUUUGAAGGGAUGCCAGAAUGGCGCGAGUGGAUUUCAGACGAAGGCAGCCGGGAAGCCUUCCCUCUUCUUGAGUUUCUUUCAAUCAAAGAAUGCCCCAACCUUACAAAGGCCCUACCUGGUCACAACCUUCCACGUGUAACAAGACUUAAAAUUAAAGGAUGUGAGCAGCUCGCGACUCCACUUCCUAGGAUUCCUAGGCUGCACUCUCUCUCUGUUUCUGGAUUCCACUCCCUAGCGUCCCUACCCGAGGAAAUUGAGCAAAUGGGUUGGUCACCCUCUGAUUUAGGAAAAAUUAAUAUCAAGGGCUGGGCUUCUCUCAAAUGCAUCUCACUGGACUUGUUCCCCAAGCUAACUACUCUUUCUAUCUCUGACUGUCCAGAUCUCGAAUCACUAUGUGCACAUGAAAGACCCCUCAAUGAUCUCACCUCUCUCCAUUCUUUGGAAAUCGAGCAGUGCCCUAAAUUAGUUUCAUUUCCCAAAGGAGGGUUACCUGCUCCAGUCUUAACAGAACUUACGUUACGACAUUGCAGAAAUUUGAAGCAGUUGCCUGAGAGGAUGCCUUCCCUCCUUCCAU